rnacentral:lncRNA from 1 species
AUUUUUUUGGUAUUUUGCGUUUCCUGCCCAUAACUAAAGAUAGGAAACAACUAAGAACAGCAAAUAAAAAUUACUUAGUGAUAAAGCAAACAAGCACACACGAGAAUAUUCACCCCACGCUAUUGCUCCCCGGCAACGGCGCCAGAAAAAGGUCUUGAUAACCCACAAGUAUAGGGGAUCGCAACAGUUUUCGAUGAGUAAGAGUGUCGAACCCAACGAGGAGCUAAAGGUAGAAUAAAUAUUCCCUCAAGUUCUAUCAACCAUCGAUACAACUCUACGCAAGCUUGACGUUCGCUUUACCUAGAACAAGUAUGAAACUAGAAGUACUUUGUAGGUGUUGUUGGAUAGGUUUGCAAGAAAUUAAAGAGCACGAAAAUAAAACUAGGGGCUAUUAAGGUAAAGAAGCAACUAAAGUAAAUAUAGCGAGAGUGGAAAAGUGGUGGUAGGAGUUGCGAAAUUGUCCCUUAAGCAAUUGACUACUUUACUAGACCGAUAGCAAGUAUUAUGUGGGAGAGGCCACUGCUAGCAUGUCAUCCCUUACAUGGAAUUCUAUGCACUUAUGAUUGGAACUAUUAGUAAGCAUCCGCAACUACUAAUGUUAAUUAAGGUAAAACCCAACCAUAGCAUUAAGAUAUAUUGGUCCCCCUUCAAUCCCGUAUGCAUCAAUUUCUAUGCUAGGUUGAAGCUUCUGUCACUCUUGCCCUCCAAUACAUAGUCCUAUCAACAUACAACUAACCCUAGGGUGUGAUCCACGCGCGCAAUCAUAUGAUGGGCACCAAAGGACAACAACAUAACCACAAGCAAUUUAAAUCAAUCAUAGCAAUUCAUCAACCACCGAUAGGACAACGAAAAUCUACUCAGACAUCAUAGGAUGGCAACACAUCAUUGGAUAAUAAUAUGAAGCAUAAAGCACCAUGUUCAAGUAGAGGGUACAGCGGGUUGCGGGAGAGUGGAACGCAGUAGAUAGAGGGGGGUAGGUGAUGGAGAUGUUGGUGAAGAUGGUGGAGGUGUUGGUGUAGAUCGCGGUGAUGAUGAUGGCCCCCGGUGGCACUCCGGUGCCACCAGAAGCGAGGGGGAGAGAGCCCCCCCUCCUUCUUCUUCUUCCUUGACCUCCUCCCUAGACGGGAGAAGGGUUUCCCCUCUGGUCCAUGGCCUCCAUGGCACGGGAGGGGCGAGAGCCCCUCCGAGAUUGGAUCUGUCUCUCUCUCUCUCUCUGUUUCUGCGUUCCCAUAUUCUUCCCUUUCACCGUUUCUUAUAUUCCUAGAGAUCCGUAACUUCGAUUGGGCUGAAAUUUUAACACGAUCUCUAUUCGGAUAUUAGCUUUCUUGCGGCGAAAGAAGGGGUCCAACUGCCUUAUGGGCUGGCCAUGAGGGUCAGGGGCGCGCCUGACACCCUGGGGGGCGCCCCCCUACCUCGUGCCCCCUCGGGCACCGUCUCGCGAUGAUUCCACUUCCCAAAAUUCAUAAAUAUUCCAAAAUAAAUCUCCGUCAGUUUUUAUUCCGUUUGGACUCCGUUUGGUAUGGGUUUUCUGCGAAACAAAAAACAUGCAACAAACAGGAACUGGCACUGGGCACUGGAUCAAUAUGUUAGUCCAAAAAUAGUAUAAAAAGUUGCCAAAAAGUAUAUGAAAGUUGAAUAAUAUUGGCAUGGAACAAUCAAAAAUUAUAGAUACGACGGAGACGUAUCAGUCCUUUGCCAGUGUUCGCUUAAUCCGUAGUCCCUGUUUCGAGUUGCAAAUAUUAGCAACAGAACCAGUAUCAAAUACCCAGGUGCUACUGCGAGCUCUAGUAAGGUACACAUCAAUAACAUGUAUAUCACAUAUACCUUUGUUCACCUUGCCAUCCUUCUUAUCCCCCAAAUACUUGGGGCAGUUCCGCUUCCAGUGACCAGUCUGCUUGCAGUAGAAGCACUCAGUCUCAGGCUUAGGUCCAGACUUGGGCUUCUUCUCCUGAGCAGCAACUUGCUUGCUGUUCUUCUUGAAGUUCCCCUUCUUCUUCCCUUUACCCUUUUUCUUGAAACUGGUGGUCUUAUUGACCAUCAACACAUGAUGCCCCUUCUUGAUUUCUACCUCCGCGGCUUUUAGCAUUGCGAAGAGCUCGGGAAUUGUCUUAUUCAUCCCUUUCAUAUUAUAGUUCAUCACGAAGCUUUUGUAGCUUGGUGGCACUGAUUGAAGAACUCUGUCAAUGACACUACACUACUAGGGAAAAGGCUAGCAUCAGCGCAGGUUUUAGGUGUAUCAGUAGUGCGCGGACCGGCGCUACUAAUAAGGCGCUACAGCUAACACAUAGCAUUAGCGCGUGCUCACCAGCGCUACUGCUACACAAGUGUAGCAGCAGCGCGCUUAGUGGAAGCUCGCUACUGCUAAUAGCUAUAGCGCGCUUCUUCCGUGCGCGCUACUGCUACUACCGUGCUGCUGCUAACUUUUCUCCACUCGCUACUGCUAAUUUUAGUAGUUUUUUUUGGCAUAUUUGUUUUGUAUUUGAACAGGCUUUAUAGAAGAAUCUUUAGCACAUACAAAUGUCAUCAUGAUACACAUACAAAUGCCUGCGAGACCACAGAUGUAAUCAUAGCAUAUACAUACAAAUAGUCUCAUCAUAAUCAUCAUCCAACACAAAGUGGUCUCUCGUCAUCAUCUCGAAAAUAACGAUACAAGUCUCGAUUACUUGCAAAUACAUCGUCAUCCAUCUAAACAAUGAUAUACGCGAGAAGAGCUAUCACUUUGAGUACAUGAGUUCGUAUCCCUCUCUCGCAUUAGCGUGAACCUAAACUAACUACUGCCUGUCGCUCGGAAACCGGAAACCGGUACACCUGGGCCUGACACUCCGGCCACUUGUCGUAUAUAUACUCCUGGCGUAGCACUUCUUCGCCAUCUAUGAUCUAUGCACCUGCAUCGUCACAUGAGUUGAUGAUAUGCAACAUAUAUAGUUGAGCAACAGAAAGAGACAGACUUGGCAAAAAUAGAAACAACAUAUUAUAAGCAUAAAUAACAAAGUUCAUCAUACCCCAAAAUGCCCUAACUAGAGUGAUUUUCGCUAGUCGGGGAGGAGGAUGGUUUAAUUACAUCACAAAUAAAGUUUCACCGUGCAUAACUCAAAGUUUUGUCAUACAGAAAGUAUGGACUAAAUGGACACAUUGUCAUAUAUCGACAAUCACUCCAACAUGUCGUUCCAUCCAUCCAAGUCAGGGAGAUAGUCCUUGAGCUUAGUGAAAGGCUUCAUGUCGAGACGCUGAGAGGCUAUCCAUGUUCGGACGUCUUCCCGCGACAUUUGUCCUUCUCCGUAGAACAUCCCUGUUUUUCUGACAACCUCCUUCAUGAUGAUUUGGGCAAGUUCGCGGUGGAUGUUAUAAAACUCAGCUCGAAGUCGAUGAUCCUCAAUAUCUCCUAUGUCCUUUGCCCAUUGGAGAAUAUGGGCAUCACCGGAUUUAGGUGACAUGCGAAGGUUCUGGUGAUCCCGUCUGUACUCCAGCAUGUGGUGUAGGACAUAGAAUCCAUCAUUAAGAGAAUCGUUCGGUUGCUGGAUGCAGCUAAAGUCGGUCUUAUGGCUGAAGGCGGCCCUGCCGCCCCUUGUCUUCUUGUCCCUGACCUCUCCACCCCUUGCUUGGUAGUAAAACAUAGCACUGUCGAGAACAUCCUUGAUGUGGGUGUAAUCCUUUUUGUGAAUGUUCUUCGACAAGUCCAAGUAAAGAGCGUGGGAGAAUCGGGGGUAGAGGAUGAUGAGGACGGCAUGCCCGCCGCUGCGCAAAAUAAGUACACCUCAAAUUAAUUAGCCUCCAUUGUGCAAAUGAAAGAUUGAAAUCGAAGGAACAAUAGCAGCGCGGAUGACUUACACGGGAUGAUAAGGCAUGAGAAUCGCCUCCUUGUCAUUAUUGGCGAGCAUGAAAGUGACGAUGUAAUCCCUCGCGUAUUCACGGUGCUUUGCGCAGACUCCCAAGAAGCCCUCGUGCAUGUAGUACGGGUCAGCGACAUGGAUAUUAGAUAUCUGCUCAACCCCGAUGAUGUAGUUCAUGUGCAAGGCAUAAAGGCGGACAAACGUAAAAUCCUACUUCUUCACGUGAAACAUGUCAAAUAUGUAAUCGAAUCGGAGGAAGAACUUAUCCGCGGGGAAGCUGUCGACGUACGACAUUUGCCGCGGAACGUUAACCACGUAGAGUGGGUAUCCUGGAUCUUUCGAGGCGAUGAGGCCUUUCUCUACCCGCAGCACAUCGUCAUGAAGUCUCCUUAGAUCGCCGAAUCUGGCACGUAGCGCUGUUGCGGGUAGGAUUGGUUGACCAGGGAUAUGCCAUUUAUCCGCAUUGGGGAUAUCUAUACGGUCCAGAAGCCGAGGCUGCUGAGGUGGCUAGAUCAUAGAAUCAGCUUUUUUACCUUUCCUCGCUCUCUUCCUAGACUUCUUUACUAUCGGAAGGUCGUCCAUAAUACAUUGAGACGGCAAUUCAGGCACCGACUCAUGAAGCUCAAACCCUGAGGAGGCGCCAGUAUAGACAUACUAUUCAGCGCCAUCGUCGUCCUCAUCCUCAUCCAUGGCGAUGUCAUCAGCGACUAAUGGAGCAUCCUCCUUACCCCGUCCGCUAUCACCCAACCCGACACCCGACGCUAAUUGGGUAGGUGGGGUGUUGAUGUUCAUACCUUGCUGAGGCUGCGUGCUCGUGGGUGUGCUCCCAGCCGCCUCCAAACGAAGCAGACUCUUUGGCCACAACAGCACCCACCCAUUGCAACAAUCACCAAGCCGCCGCGGUGUCUUGUUGUCAUCCCCCGCUAGUAUUGGAGGAGGCAAAUUCUCGUGGCCCGGUUUGACACUGGCCACGGAAACCUUGAAGACGUUCGGGGGGAUCGGCCGGCUGUGGAACAAUGGUUCCUUCGGCUUCAUUAUCGUCGCCUUCCCCACGUCCACCUUCUGGUCACCGAUGGUGUACAAUAUGGUGCACGGGGUUUCGUCGGCCUGCAAAGAAAAGUAUGCGACGUGAGACAUCCGAAAGGCAACGAAAACGGGAGAUUAUACAUUUAUAUUGAAGGGGGGCGGUGUGACAGAUACCAUGAGGGCGUCGAGCUCAGCCAAAGAUGAAACACCACCGAGCCCGUCCGGUGCGGGAGCUGGUGCGGGAGCAGGUGCGGGAGCCAGUGCGGGAGCAGGUGCUGGUGCAACGCUAGUCGAGCUGCUCCCCAAGAAGUCGGCAAGGGGAAAGUCCUCUGCAUUUUUUCUGGAUUUUGCCUUGUCCAAGUGAUAACGCCCGUCACCAAGGAAGUAGACAAAUCUGCAACCACCUGUUUUGCGGCAGCUACCGCUGUUGCGACUGUUUGAGAUGAUUUCUUCUCAACCGCAAUCUCAACCUUCUUGUCGAUGUUUUCUUUAGUUAACCUCCGUCUUUCCUUUCUCUCCGCCAUGGUCUCAUGGUAGUACUUCUUCCACGUGGCGCCGUCUCCGACACCGUGCACGUGUCCAUACGACGGUCGAGUAUCCACCGAUUGUCGUUUCAAUAUGUUCAACGCCCGGUUGAAUGGAGUGUCCCACUUGGGCCUCGCCAAUGCCUCAGACGGCGAGUUGCUUUCGUCCGCAAUCUGGUGUGGCUCUCUCUGCAAAAGGCACAAGGAUCGUUUACAAAUAUGACUAAGGUGUGCAGUCGAAUUGAUCCGAAACUAAAAUUACCAGUAGUCUCAUGAACUCCGUAAUGACCGGUGUUGUCUCGUAAACCUUGUUCACUGGGUCCCAACGGUGCCGGGCCCUGAGGACGUCACGCUCCUGCGGGACAGUGAAAUCCGCCAAGGGGUCUGGGAUGCCAAGACUCGCGGCUUCCGCGUCCUCCUUGGCCCAUUUGGACCUCUUUCCGCCGUAACCACGGCUUCCGAGGUGGUGGCUCCCGAUGUUCCUCUCUUGAAGCCCCUUCAUGUACUGAGACUUUUUUUGGCAGCUUCGGCCUCGCAAGCCUCCUUGAAUAUUUGAAACUUCUCUUCCAUGAUUGUCGGAUUAUCCUUUACAAUCUCGGAGUAGGGUUCCUUCUUGUCGAUGAUCUUUGCUUUCACUUGAUUUUUCCAGGCGGCCAAUGCGUUGCUAAACUUGGUCAUGGCGUGUUUGUUUAUCUUCUUCAUUGCCGGGUCCUCAUCUUGAUCUUCAUAAUCCUUCUCAUUCCGGCCCGGGAACAAGAAUAUCUGGUGAAACUUCUUUAGGAGGGAGCUCCUCAUAUUUUCUAUCUUCGGUGGUUUCUCAUUGUUGAUGGUGGCGGUUGUCCGUACGAUGCAGCCUAUUUGAUUGUCGUAGCAUCGACGCGCUUCCUCGGGCGCCUUUGGCUCAAAAUUGCCGUCGUACACCCCCGUGACCACCAGUCUAGUAGUCUUGAGUUUGUUAGGAAGCCGUUGCCUCUUUGCUUUCUGUUCUACACCGGCUCCGCUCCCCGAGGCAGCGCCGGUCUCAGUCUCAGCGCCGGUCUCGAUGCCGGUCUGAGUCUCAGCGCUGGUCUCAGUCUCAGCACCGGUCUCAUUCUCAGCACCGGUCUCGAUGCCGGUCUGAGUCUCAGCGCCGGUCUCAGUCUUAGCAUCGGUCUACGUGUCGGUCUCAGUCCGCGAUGCCAGCGGUUGAUCAUCGACAAGGCUAAAAAAUUCGUCUGCCGCCCAGUAGACAUCAUCGCAAUCACCAGAACCCUGUCCUUCAUCGUUGCUAGCCAUGUUUCCUACGAUUAAAUCUAGUAAAUUAAUUCUAGACCUAAUAAAAUGAAUAAUGACAUACAAAAGGCCUAUGUUUUGUAGGAACGUUGACUCCUUCCUAGUGCGGCAAAUCCAGGGCACUCGACAUGUCCUAGUUUGUAGCACAAGUCAUGCCGAAAUUCACGGAAAAUUUUGGCAUGACCUUUGCUAAAAAGUGGACAAAUCGAGAACCUAAAAUUUGCCAGAACGGAAAUGAAUCAAUAUUCCGGCAAAACAUAUAUAGGCCACUCAGCUUCAUUCAAACAACAAAGCCACUUGGGCACAAACAACAUGACCACUUCAACGAAAAGAUAUAAUCAACAAUAAAAGUCUAGGAAUGAAUCAUCUUUAAAAUAAAACUUGACUAAAUAACCUAGAUAAUUAACCUAAUUAAACUAGUUAACCUGACUAGUUCUCUGUCAAAGCCCUAACUAAAUUUUUGCACUAACCUAGGUAAUUAACCUAAUUAAACUAGUUAACCUAACUACUUCUCUGUCAGAGCCCUAACUAAAUUUUUGCCCUAACCUAGAUAAUUAACAUAAUUAAACUAGCUAACCUAUGCAUGAGAGAGAGAGAGGAGGGGUGGGGGCUUACAGAGGAUGGCUCCGGUGGUGGCGAGGGAGGCAGUGGUGGCGAGGGAGGCAGGGGCGUCUCCGGUGACGGCGAGGGAGGAUCCGGUGGCGUCGACGGCGGCUCCGGUGGCGUUGGAGGUCGUGCGGCUCCGUGGCGUUGGGGGCGGCUCCGGUGGCGUCGACGGCGCACGGCUCUGGUGGCUCCAGGGGCGUCGAUGUCGGCAUGAGACGGCGGCGAAGUGGGGCGACGGCGAAUCGGGGAGACGGCGGCGGGGUGGGUCGAGAGAUUUGGGGGGCAAGUGGUGGCCGGGAGGGGAAACGGUUUUUUGGUUAAGUCAAAACUAGCGGUAGCGCGUUUCGCAAAACGCGCUAUAGCUAAGGUAGCUAUAGCGCUUUUUCCAAAACACGCUACUGCUAUACAUAUGUAAUUUUCUCUCUUUUUAUUUCCUUUUAUGUUUCUAUAGCGGGGGUCCUAGAAACGCGCUGCAGCUGCGUUAGCUAUAGCGCCUCUUACUAACACACGCUACAGCUAAGCCUUUCUCUAUUUUUUGCUUUUUCAUUUAUUUUGCUUUACAUUUUAUUUUUAUUUUCUUUCUCCUUUUUCUGUUUCUUUCAUUUUCAUUUACUUUUCUAUUUGUUUUUCAUUUUAUUUUAUUUCCAUUAGCAGUAGCGCUGUUAUAGGGAAACGCGCUGCUACUCAUGCCCUAGUGGUAGCGCGCUUCCUGCAAGGCCGCUACUGCUAUGCGUAGCCCAUCGUUCCAGCAAUGGGAAUAUUAGUAGUAGCGCUUUUACGGGCACACGCGCUACUGCUAGGAUCGUAUCUGCAGCACGGUUUAUUCUGAACCGCUACUGCUAUCUAGCACUAGCGCCCUUUUUUAACCCGCGCCGUUGCUAAAUUUCUGUGUAUAAGGUUUUCCCUAGUAGUGCUAUCAACCGGAAGAUUAACUCCCAGCUGAGUCAAGUGAUUACGGUACCCAGACAUUCUGAGUAUAUGCUCACUGACAGAACUAUUCUCCUCCAACUUGCAGCUGUAGAACUUAUUGGAGACUUCAUAUCUCUCAAUCCGGGCAUUUGCAUGAAAUAUUAACUUCAACUCCUGGAACAUCUCAUAUGCUCCAUGACGUUCAAAACGUCGUUGAAGUCCCGGUUCUAAGCCGUGAAGCAUGGCACACUGAACUAUCGAGUAGUCAUCAACACGCGACUGCCAGGCAUUCACAAUGUCUGCAGUUGCUGGCAGAGGUGGUACACCCAGCGGUGUUUCCAGGACGUAACUCUUCUGUGCAGCAAUGAGGAUAAUCCUCAAAUUACAGACCCAGUCCGUGUAAUUGCUACCAUCAUCUUUCAACUUUGCUUUCUCAAGGAACGCAUUAAAAUUCAACGGAACAACAGCACGGGCCAUCUAUCUACAAUCAAACAUAGACAAGCAAGAUACUAUCAGGUACUAAGUUCAUGAUAAAUUUAAGUUCAAUUAAUCAUAUUACUUAAGAACUCCCACUUAGAAAGACAUCCCUCUAAUCCUCUAAGUGAUCACGUGAUCCAAAUCAACUAAACCAUAACCGAUCAUCACGUGAAAUGGAGUAGCUUUCAAUGGUGAACAUCACUAUGCUGAUCAUAUCUACUAUAUGAUUCACGCUCGACUUUCGGUCUCAGUGUUCCGAGGCCAUAUCUGCAUAUGCUAGGCUCGUCAAGUUUAACCUGAGUAUUCUGCGUGUGCAAAACUGGCUUGCACCCGUUGUAGAUGGACGUAGAGCUUAUCACACCCGAUCAUCACGUGGUGUCUGGGCACGACGAACUUUGGCAAUGGUGCAUACUCAGGGAGAACACUUUUAUCUUGAAAUUUAGUGAGAGAUCAUCUUAUAAUGCUACCGUCAAUCAAAGCAAGAUAAGAUGCAUAAAAGAUAAACAUCACAUGCAAUCAAUAUAAGUGAUAUGAUAUGGCCAUCAUCAUCUUGUGCUUGUGAUCUCCAUCUUCGAAGCACCGUCAUGAUCACCAUCGUCACCGGCGCGACACCUUGAUAUCCAUCUUAGCAUCGUUGUCGUCUCGCCAAUCUUAUGCUUCUAUGACUAUCGCUAUCGCUUAGUGAUAAAGUAAAGCAUUACAGGGCGAUUGCAUUGCAUACAAUAAAGCGACAACCAUAUGGCUCCUGCCAGUUGCCGAUAACUUGGUUACAAAACAUGAUCAUCUCAUACAAUAAAAUUUAGCAUCAUGUCUUGACCAUAUCACAUCACAACAUGCCCUGCAAAAACAAGUUAUACGUCCUCUACUUUGUUGUUGCAAGUUUUACGUGGCUGCUACGGACUUAGCAAGAACCGUUCUUACCUACGCAUCAAAACCACAACGAUAGUUUGUCAAGUUGGUGUUGUUUUAACCUUCGCAAGGACCGGGCGUAGCCACACUCGGUUCAACUAAAUUUGGAGAAACUGACACCCGCCAGCCACCUAUGUGCUAAGCACGUCGGUAGAACCAGUCUCGCGAAAGCGUACGCGUAAUGUCGGUCCGGGCCGCUUCAUCCAACAAUACCGCCGAACCAAAGUAUGACAUGCUGGUAAGCAGUAUGACUUAUAUCGCCCACAACUCACUUGUGUUCUACUCAUGCAUAUAACAUCAACGCAUAAAACCUGGCGAGGAUGCCACUGUUGGGGAACGUAGUAAUUUCAAAAAAAAUCCUACGCACACGCAAGAUCAUGGUGAUGCAUAGCAACAAGAGGGGAGAGUGUUGUCCACGUACCGUCGUAGACCGAAAGAGGAAGCGUUGGCACAACGCGGUUGAUGUAGUCGUACGUCUUCACGAUCCGACCGAUCAAGUACCGAACGUACGGCACCUCCGAGUUCAGCACACCUUUAGCCUAAUGACGUCCCUCGAACUCCGAUCCAGCCGAGUGUUGAGGGAGAGUUUCGUCAGCACGACGGCGUGGUGACGAUGUUGAUGUUCUACCGACGCAGGGCUUCGCCUAAGCACCGCUACAGUAUUAUUGAGGUGGACUAUGGUGGAGAGGGACAUCGCACACGGCUAAGAGAUCAAUGAUCAAUUGUUGUGUCUAUGGGGUGCCCCCUGCCCCCGUAUAUAAAGGAGCAAGGGGGUGCGGCCGGCCAUAGGAGGAGGCACUCCGGAGGAGUCCUACUCCCACCGGGAGUAGGACUCCCCUCCUUUUUCCUAGUUGGAUUAGGACUUGGGGGGAAGGAGGAGAGAGGGGAAAGGAAAGGGGGGGCGCCCUCCCCCCCCUCCUUGUCCAAUUCGGACUUGGGGGGGAAGGGGCGCGCGGCUGCCCCUUGGCCGCCUCUCCUCUUCCUCCACUUGGGCCCAUAAGGCCCAAUAACCUCCGGGGGGUUCCGGUAACCCCUCCGGUACUUCGGUAAAAUCACUAUUUCACCCGGAACACUUCCGGAUAUCCAAACAUAGGCUUCCAAUAUAUCAAUCUUCAUGUCGCAACCAUUUCGAGACUCCUCGUCAUGUCCGUGAUCACAUCCGGGACUCCAAACAACCUUCGGUACAUCAAAACACAUAAACUCAUAAUAAAACUGUCAUCGUAACGUUAAGCGUGCGGAACCUACGGGUUCGAGAACUAUGUAGACAUGACCAAGACACGUCUUCGUUCAAUAACCAAUAGCGGAACCUGGAUGCUCAUAUUGGCUCCUACAUAUUCUACGAGGAUCUUUAUCAGUCAGACCGCAUAACAACGUACGUUGUUCUCUUUGUCAUCGGUAUGUUACUUGCCCGAGAUUCGAUCGUCGGUAUCUCAAUACCUAGUUCAAUCUCGUUACCGGCAAGUCUCUUUACUCGUUCUGUAAUACAUCAUCCCGCAACUAACUCAUUAGUUGCAAUGCUUGCAAGGCUGAAGUGAUGUGCAUUACCGGGAGGGCCCAGAGAUACCUCUCUGACAAUCGGAGUGACAAAUCCUAAUCUCGAAAUACGCCAACCCAGCAAGUACCUUCGGAAACACCUGUAGAGCACAUUUAUAAUCACCCAGUUACAUUGUGACGUUUGGUAGCACACAAAGUGUUCCUCCGGUAAACGGGAGUUGCAUAAUCUCAUAGUCAUAGGACCAUGUAUAAGUCAUGAAGAAAGCAAUAGCAACAUACUAAACGAUCGUGUGCUAAGCUAACGGAAUGGGUCGUGUCAAUCACAUCAUUUUCCUAAUGAUGUGAUCUCGUUAAUCAAAUGACAACUCAUGUCUAUGGUUAGGAAACAUAACCAUCUUCGAUUAACGAGCUAGUCAAAUAGAGGCAUACUAGUGACACUCUGUUUGUCUAUGUAUUCGCACAUGUAUUAUGUUUCCGGUUAAUACAAUUCUAGCAUGAAUAAUAAACAUUUAUCAUGAUAUAAGGAAAUAAAUAAUAACUUUAUUAUUGCCUCUAGGGCAUAUUUCCUUCACGUCCAUCACGUGUGGGCUGGCACCCCGCCGCCCCCAUUCGUGCGCGACGAGGACCAAGGGGAGCAGGCCCCCUACCAUGCGGGGCUGGCGGCUGCCAUGCAAGAAAGCAAAGAGUACGAGCGGCGCAAGGCGGCGGCGGAGGAGGAGGCGGCGUACCAGGCGCGCCUUGUCGGACGCCAUCGCACUCUCCGCUUCUGGCAACUGCGUCGUGCCGUCGUUGAUGCUGUCGUCCCCCGUCAAUCCCGAGCUGGUGCCAUCACCGGAUCUGCUGACGCCCCAACGGUACACUUGAAAGGAGAGGUGCGCGAGUGGGUCAGCGCGCCACCCAUCUGGUUUGGGGCGACGACGACGCAAGAGAAGAUCUACGUCGAGCAGUGGCGAAAGCGCUGGCUGAUGGAUGAGCAUUGCGAGGGCGAGCGCCCUGAGCAGUGGGAACGUGACACGGGGGAGAAGCAACGUGAGGCGGAGGAGGAGGAGGCGUCGGGCCCGCGCAGCCCAGCCAGCGGCGGUCACGCCUGCGCUGCAGGACGUCGCCACAGCCUGCAAGACGGCGUUCCCCUGGGCUGGCCCGGCGCCGAAGCUCGUCAACCUCACCUGCCCCAACACUGACGACGAGGACUCCUAAGGCAGUGCGCCUCUUCCUCGUUUUUAGUUUUAUUAAAUGUUUUUAAUUAAUGUAAAAUGUGGAUGCAUGGACUCUCGCCAGCAUUUAUGUUUAAUUACGUUUUUUAUUUCAAAAUAUUUGUGUUAUUGACUUUUUCAUCGGCGACCUAAAAAAUGUGUCGUGCCAGCAUUAGACACAAGCGCCGGUCCCAAAGCAAAAGCGGAUAUGAAUGUCCGCUGGGCCGACUCAAACGAACAAAAUGCGGACAAAUGGUGCCUCCGUUUCGAUCGCCCGGUUGGAGUUGCUCUUACUCUUUAUACCAGGUUCCGAACAACGCACCCACACCAAACUAAUCUUCUACUUUCUUAAGCAAGAGUUGUCCUAAUCUUAUCCGUCAAGAAGUUAAAGAUAUAAUAGAAGUUCUCAAUGAAUUUUCAAUUGAAAAGUACAUAGUCAUGCCUUCUAACAUCGAUGCUUCUAUGAACGGCCCUUCAAAUAACUGAAAGGUACCAUUGCGAAAAAGAAGAGUGUCUUCCUGAUAGAUCACUGCUGCUGCCGCAUGAGUGUCGACGCCGCCAUGGCCUCCUUUCCUCCGCCUCCAAGUGCCAAUGCGGCCCCCGCUGCUUCCAUCGCUGGCCGCCGUUGUUGUCGGGCAAGUCUAUGGCAAUCGUCGAUCAAGAUCGGCCCCCUGCCGUCUCCCGCCACAUAUCUUCGACCGCGCCGAAGAAGCCUCAUGCUCUGAGGAAGGCGAAGAGCGAUGUUGUAUCGGCCAGCUCCCCCUUCAUGUUGUCAUCGUCUUUGCCGCAAAUAUGUACGGUGACGUACACAAACAUGCCAUCGCCCUACACAAACGAGGAUGAUUACUUGGUCGAACGCCAACAAUAUCUACGAUGAUGAUUUGAUAGGUAAAUAUAUUGUGUACUUCACACAAUCAUUGUACACGUGAUUUGUUAUAGUGCUUAUUUGUUCAAAAUUACGAUAUUGUAGUCAUCAUUUAUAUAUGGAGUUGAUGAGCAAUGCGGUAGGCAUGGAUGACAUGUCUUUCUCCACUUCACUGAACUUAUUGAGUUCAGUACCAAAUAGCAGUCACUGAGGGUGACAAAGAAUUGAGUUCAGUACCAAAGAAGAGACAAAGAAUUGAGUUCAGUACCAAAGAAGAGACAAAGCAACUUCAACAACGAUGAGGACAAAGCAUUGGUCCUCGCGUGGGAGAGUGUUAGUCUUGAUCCAAUAGCAGUCACUGAUGAAAGCAUGAGAACCUACUGGAAGCACAUUUCAAAUCAUUAUGAUCAGAAUGUCACUAGCCCAAUCCCAAUAUCAUUAAAUUCAUUCCAGGGUCGAUGGGGCUUCAUUCAGGAAUAUUGCAGUCAUUGCACAGGUUGUGUUAGUAAUGUUCAUCGUGCGAAACCAAGUGGAAUGACAAAGGACAUGUUGGUGAGUAUUUUCUGUGCAUAUUAUUCUUUGAAUUGUUUAUCCAAAAUUCUAAUAUGACAUUGCUAACUUCUCAGAUGAGAUAGUUAAACGGCAUGUACAAGCAGAGGGAUCCCAAAAAUAGGUCCUUUUUGGUUUACCACUGUUGGGCGUUGCUGAAGAGCAAUGAGGAGUGAAAAAAUAGGAAGACUGUGCAGCUAAAUCCAAGAAGGAUAAAUAAAAUUCACAAGAUAGCGAUGAUGAUGAUGAUCUGGAAGAAGUGGCAGAUACUCCUACUACUCCCGUCAUCCAAGCAAAAAGGCCACCUGGAAGGAGAGAAGAGAAAAAUAAACGAAAGAAUGAAGACGAUGCAGGUGUGUUCAAGUGUAUUGUGGAAGAUAUAUGGAUAGACGGGUAGAGGAGGAAGUGGUGGCGUACUUUUACAUGCUAAAGGCUGGACUAUAGUAUACAUUAUUUUUUAUCGCCAUAUCGCAUGCUAGUUCAUCGGGCUGCCAUGUUUCACACUCCUCCGUCGUACUAGUAUUCAAGUGGAAAACUAGAGUAUGCUGCACGGUUCUUUGCUCCUACUUAGGUCAUCGACAACAAUUAUAUUUCCUUUCGCCCACAUGUGAGACAGUCAGCAUCCUUUCGCCGAAAUUGGAGAAGGCAUGAGGUGGGACAGAGCUGAAGGUAAUGGAGGAGCACAAAGUGACAAUCGAAGAAGAGAAACUGAGAGCCUUUCAAGAGGAAGUGCAGACAAAAAAGAUGGAGCAAGAGUACAAGAUCAUGUUGCGGGCUUGACCCAGAAGCGAUGCAAUAUCUACAGAUCAUGAACUCACAAAUUUUAGCAUCAAAGCUGGAUGUGGACAGGGUUUUGGGACUAGCAACGGUGGUGGAAGUCAAUCGUGAUGAUCUACAAGUGAUCUUCAUAUUUAUCAUUUUCUUUUGUUUAUGUCCUUUUCAUGAACCAUAUAUCGUAUGUUUCAUCUUCAUGUUUGAACCAUUUGAUUAAGCCUACUUCGGAUUUAUUAUGUUUGAAUUAUUAUCAACUCUACGCGAGUUUGAUCUUUUUUCGCACAUACGCAGAGGAUGCGUAUCUUUGCAUUGAUAGGAGAAGAGUUUUACAACAUGGGGUUACAAGAGCUCACUAAGUCAUGUACGCAAGAAGGCACGGAAGUGAACUAGGAGCAGAACAUACAUGGGGUGCUCAGCCCCACGAGCCUACAAAGCUAUCCCUCGGGAUUGAUGUUGUGCAGUCCGGUCUACCAUUGUUUUAGUUACUACAAUGAUAUUUAGGCAUAUGCGUGUGUAAUUUGCAUUUUUGUUUAAUAAAAAAUAGAAGAAUGAAAUAAGUUUACAGAAUCUGACAAAAGUAGCUCUCAGAAAACUUGCACUGAUAUUUAUUUACAAACAUCUCGUAAAACCAGUUUUAUACUCUCUUUGUUUCUAAAUAUAACAAUUUUUAGAGAUUUCAAUACGGACUACAUACAAAUGUAUAUAUAUAUUUUUUAGAGUGUAGAUUCACUUAUUUUGCUUCGUAUAUAGUUCAUAUUGAAAUCUUUGAAAGGACUUAUAGUUAGGAACGGAGGGAGUAGAAGGUUUUUUAAGAGAGGCGUUGGAGUUGCUCUAACUUACGUGCACAUGAAAUCAAUUUAUAUAUCUAUACCCCUAAUAAUAAAGGGGCUAUUGCUUCUGGCGGUACGUCACCAAAAUCGCACUCAAAUUUGCAAAAUAUUAUCCCCCAGUGUCACCUAUAAGUGAAAAUAAAACAUUUCACACAGCGGAAUCCCUGCCCGGCCCAUGUAAUAGGAACAGUCUAUACUGCACUCUGUGCGCUAGGAGAAGACACAACACGCUGUUUGGGCCGGCCCAUGUCUCGGCAGCCUACUUUUUAAAUUUCGUUUUGCUUUUCCAUCUUCGCUUUUAUUACAUUAAAUAAUUUGGGAAUUCAAAAAAAGUUUCAAAAAUUAAGAAAAUGAGAAUUUUGAGAUAAAAUUUUAGCAAUUCGUAAAUUUUUGUGGAUUCAAAAAAUGUUCGCAUAAUCAAAAAAUGUUCGCCAUUUUGCAAACAAAUGUUCGGAAAUCAAAAAAUGUUCAUGAUUUUUUUAAAUGUAUUAAAAAUGUUAAUGAAAUCAAAUAAACUUUGGUCAAGUCAAAAAAUAUUCAUGACUUGAAAAUGUCCUAAAAAUUCGAAAAACUAUUCGUAACUUGCAAAAUAGUUUGUUGAUUCAUAAAAUGUUUGCUGAUUCAAAAUAUGAUCAUGCAUUUAAAAAAACAUCAAAUCAAAAAAUUUGUGAAUUUCAAAAUUAUUUCCACCAAUUUCUAAAAAAAAUGUCCAUUAAUUCUUGUCGGGACCCCGAUUUCAAAUCACAUCGAUCUAGCCGGUAACACCUCAUAUCACUUUGCGGCCUCAUACACGGUAUCCCCGCCAUGGGUGUCGCCUUACCCUGGCCCGGGACCGUUUGCGCCUUUUGGCUCGCGUAUAUGAUUGUGUCGCUAGCAUCCAUAUGACAGAGAAACCCGGGCCGACAUGGCUAGUCGUGAACCCAAAGCGGCACUAAUCUAUGGGAAUAGGCAUACAUGAUUCACAUCGAGCGUAUCGGUCAGCAGCGUAUGAAUCCGGGCUGUAGCAUUGGGCUAACAGGACUCCGGGGAACCCGGGCUGUAGCAGGCUAGGCAAGACUCCGGUUGUCACCGCGUGACAUUUCCCCGAAGGGACAGACACUGGAGCGAAGUGAAACACAUGCCGGCCAGUCAAGUGUCCUGAGCAGUAGUGCUGGGCUAGCAGGACUCCGGUGAACCGGGCUGUAGCGGACUACUAUGGCUCGAGGAAGCACUAGACUACAUUUCCCCAUAAGAGAGACUGCCAAGGAUAAACAACUAGAUUGUCAGAUCCCACACAUAGCAAUACACGUCACACGUACGCAUAACAUGCAAGUAUGUGUUGUACAACAUGGCAUCACAACAUAACGCAAACUCAUAUAGAUAAAGGCUUAGAAGAGCCACAUAGCAUAAAUACAAACAGGGGUCACAUGACCCAUCAUUCAGAGCAUACAAGCAACGGAAGCAUUACAUGUCUGAGUACAGACAACUACAAAAGAAAAGGGCUGAGAAGCCUGACUAUCUACAAGACCCUCCCAAGGGUACAAGAUCGUAGCUGAGGUAACAAGCUACUCGUCGAAGUCCAAGUGGAACUACUAGUAGGACAGAUGUCUCAUCUACAAAACAUAAACAAAGCAAACGUGAGUACAAAGGUACUCAGCAAGAUUUACAUCAGAUUCUAUCAUAUAUGCAUUUGUAUCCAGAAGGUAAUGUGGGGUUUAGUUGCAGCAAGCCAGCUUUGACUCAGUGGCUAUUCUGUUCUACGACAAUGAGAAACUUCUUUGAGAUGAGGCAGCGCACACGAGUCCACUAAUCACCACAUCAAUACACUACUAUGGAUUCAUCCUCGUCUUUCUACGAGAAGGCCAUCCAUAGCACUCACACCUGUCUUGAGCAUUUUAGAGUAUCCACUUUAAGUUGUCUAUGUACCACGUAAGCAUCCAAGAAGUCCAUAACCGAGGACACGGCUAUUCGAAUAGAUCAUGAUAACCCUGCAGGGGUGUACUUCUUCACACACGCUCUCACCACUUAUCACCAUGUACACGUCAUGUAUCUCGGCAACCUUCAAGCGGAAGCCUGGCGAGGGUGUCGGCCACGACCUAACUAACCACGCAAGACUCUAGUCCAGGUUUAUCGCCUAUUCGGGUUCCAUCCGCAAGGAGAUCCGGCCGAGGUUUCACUCACGGCCCCAAACGAUGUGUACAGGGUUCCCGAGCCCACCAUCCGGGUGCCACUCGGUACACCGGGCCACGUGUGCCUAGUCUGUCCCAAGUCCACCCUGCCGGGUGCCACUCGGUAGAAAAAUAGCACUACCUACAAACACCAGAAACUAUUUGCAACUCCUAGACAGAGAUCAAGGCGGUUAAUAAGUCGAGAGAGCUUGGAGCACCCGGAGCCCAAUGUGUGGUAGUAGCUAGUCAUUGGACAACUUACACAGAACUCAGUUCUUAAGGACGGUCCCAAUGAGACAGCCCACCAUGUACUCCUACAUGGCCUCUCACCGCUACCUUUACCAAAUCGUGUUCACACGCUUAACUCUCAGCACCAGAACAUAUCAUAACACUCCAAGUCAUUCCCGAUGAAUCAGACCUGACACAACUCUAAGCAAUAGCAGGCAUGGCAUGGUAGGAACAAAACAUGGCUCAAUCAACUCCUACACAUGCUAGUGGGUUUUAACUAUUUACUGUGGCAUUGACAGGUCAUGCAGAGGAAUGGGUUCAACUACCGCAGCAUAAAAUAGCAGUUGAAUCGUUGUUGUCCUAAUGCAAUAAAAGAGAGCAGGAGCGAGAGAGUGGGAUUGUAUCGGAAUGAACAAGGGGGGUUGCUUGCCUGGUAGAUCAACAGGGGGCACUGCUUCACUGAUAGGUACUCUCAAACACUUCCGGAGCAGGACCUAUCGAGAAGGAACAGUGCCAACAAUCAAUACACAAGCAUAUGCAACAAUCUGAUGCAUGAACAUGGCAUGAAGAUGUGAUGCUGUUUGAGCUAAUGCAACUAGUAUUCAAAUUGAAUGAAGUCCAUUUGAACCAAGGGUUCAAGUGCAACUCCAAAUUAAGCUCUUAUAUAUGCCAUUUAUAUGUUUUCACCUAUACAGCAGGUAUAAGUUGUUUUGUCAUGCAUGAAACUGGUACAGAUGGAAAGAUUGAUUUUUUCUGAUAAUUUUUCAUAUAUAAAUUAUUUCAAUCUGAGCUACGGUUGAAUUUCUAUGAAUUUUUCAAGUUUAUACCAUUUUCUGGAAUUUCCUGAUUUAUUUUAAAACUAGAAAAAGAUAUAUUGCGUCAGCACUAAGUCAUGGUGAUGUCAGCAUUGACCAAAGUCAAAUCUGACUGGUGGGAUCCACCUGUCAGUGUUAUAGUUAAUUAACAGAGGUUAAUUAAUUGUUAAACUAAUCCUAAACUAGAAUUAGCAGGGCCGGGCCCCACCUGUCAUUGAGCCAGGGGAGGUCAAACCCCCUGGUCAACUGGGGCUAACGCGCCGGCGUUUAGCCGCCAGCGGCAGCAGAUGCGGCGGAGGGCACGGGAUCACCCUUCCGGCGACCAAAAGGACGGCGGAGAGCACCGAGGCAUAGCCCGCGCUCGUCCGCACCGAAUGGAGCAAGUGGGGGAGGCGGGGGCGGGCGGAGCUCGCCGGAGCGAAGCUCGGGGCGGCGGCCGGAGCACGGCCAAGUGUGGGCGAGGGCUGUGGUGCAUGGGAAAGCGAGCGGAGAGGCUCUACGGCCUCCUGGCGUCACCAGGAGCACGAUGACGCGCGCGGGAGCGGCUGGCUCGGCCUCUGGACACGGCGGCGCCAUGGCCGGCGGCACGGAGCUCUCGGCUCUGGUGGCUAGGUGGCUAGAGGAGGGGAUCGAGCACGGUUUAGGGGGGAAAAAGAUCGUGGCCUCACAGCGGUUGCAGGGGCCGUAGAAGCGGGCUCGGGGAAGCUCGGAUGGCGGCAAAUCGACGGUGGAAAUCCACGAUGGCCGACGAGGAAGACGAAGACGAUGGCGUCGUUUCAGGCGUCCCGUGGGCGCGUGCUUCGUCUUGGUGCUUCACGGCGCCGAGGAGGACCCGUUGGACAGGGCAGAGGGGCAAGGGAAGCACGGUGGCUGCGGCUACGGCGUGCGGCGGCGACGGCAGCGCUCGGGUGCGGGCGAGAGAGGGUGACAGAGGAGAGGAGGAGCACGGGGGAAAGUGAGAGGGGGUCGGGGAGGCUGCGUGGCGACGUCGAAGGCCUCCAGCAGCGAGCGGGAAGCAGGAGGUGGCCGGCGCGUGCUCACGCACGCCGGGAACACGCGCACCGUCCUCCUGGCAGGAGGUAGGCGACGACUGGCGUCGGCCAGUAGUGUUGGGCAGGCACAGGAGCUGGGCCGCCAGCUGGGCUGCCAGGUAGGUAAGGCCAGGUGAGCUUUUUCCUUUAUUUGUUUUCUUUUCUAUUUUCUGACCUUUCUUUUGAUUUAAUAAAAAUACUAAAUCAAUUAAUUUUCUUCUGACAAGUUUUGCAGGGGCCUAAGGGAUUAUUCCAAAGCCCCUCACCAAAAUUCAGAAUUAUUGGACAAUAUUUUAUAUAUAUAUAUAUUUAUCCAACGCAAAUAAUUUCUGGAUUAAUUCCAAAUGUCCAAAAUAAAUAUUUAUGAGAUCUUGAUAAUAUUUAUUAGAAUUUUAACUCUAACCAAUAUUUUCAGAGAGCAACAUGAACAUUUUCUUGGACCCUUUUGGAGCAAUUUUUAUCUGGGUUAUUUCCAGAAAUAAUUUCUGAGGGUUUCACAAAUCCCCAUUUCAAAUUUAAAUGGAAUUUAAACAUGAUGCCCACAUGACAUAGCUAGCCUAGGUCAUACCAGAACUAGGGAUGGGACAACUCGCCCCCACUCGAAGAAAUCUCGUCCCGAGACUCAGGAGUCGGCGGGAAGAAAGCGGGGUACUCAAGUCGAAGACGAUCUUCACGCUCCCAAGUAGCUUCUCUCUUGGAAUGAUGAGACCACUGAACCUUGAGAAACUUGAUGUUAUGACGUCGGGUGACACGCUUUGCUUGAUCAAGGAUGCGAACAGGUACUCUCGAUAUGUGAGGUUAUCUUGGAGAUCAAGCGUUUCAUGGUCCACUCCGCGGAUGGGAUCCGAGAAACAAUGCCUGAGUUGAGAGACGUGGAAGACAUCAUGCACUCUGGAAAGAUGUGGGGGUAGUUCCAACUGGUAGGCAACCUCUCCUCGUUUAGCGAGAAUGAGAAAGGGACCAAUGUAAUGAGGAGCCAACUUGCCCUUGAUACCGAAUCGAUGGGUACCCUUCAAAGGGGUAACCCAAAGGUAAGCUUUGUCGCCAAUUUCAUAAGCCACUUCCUUAUGACGACAGUCAUACUGGCUCUUUUGACGAGAUUGGGCUGUUUUCAAAUUCUCACGAAUGAUGCGAACUUGCUCUUGUGCCUCCUGGAUCAUAUCCGGUCCAAAGAAUUGUCUUUCAUCGGUUUCUGACCAGUUCAAAGGUGUUCGACAUCUUCGUCCAUACAGAACCUCAAAAGGAGCUUUCUUGAGGCUGGAUUGGUAGCUGUUGUUAUAAGCAAACUCGGCGAAGGGAAGACACUUCUCCCAAUCCAUACCGAAUGAGAUAACACAAGCUCUAAGCAUGUCUUCAAGAAUUUGGCUGACCCUUUCCACCUGACCACUUGAUUGAGGGUGGAAAGCGGUACUGAAGGAAAGAUGGGUGCCCAUGGCAGUUUGGAAACUCUCCCAGAAAUGAGAAGUGAAAAGACUACCACGGUCUGAAUUGAUCUCUAGUGGAACACCAUGAAGUGACACUAUUCGAGAAGUAUAUAAGUCAGCGAGCUGACUAGCAGUGAUAUUCUCUCGAACAGGUAGGAAGUGAGCCACUUUGGAAAGACGAUCAAUGACUACAAAGAUAGCAUUAUUCCCUUUCUUGGUCCUGGGAAAGCCGGUGAUGAAGUCCAUACCAACUUUAUCCCAUUUCCACUCAGGAAUAGCUAAAGGUUGAAGGGUGCCAGCAGGCCUUUCAUGCUCUGCCUUAACGCGACGACAAACGUCAUAGUUAGCAAUAAACUGAGCAAUUUCUCUCUUCAUCCUAGUCCACCAGAACCUCUGGCGUAGGUCUUGAUACAUCUUAGUACUACCGGGAUGAAUCGUGAGAGGAGAUUCAUGCGCCUCCUUAAGGAUUAAUUGUCGAAGAUGUUGAUUCUUGGGAACCACCAAGCGACUCUCAAAGAAAACAACACCACGAUCAUCUAUAGAGAAACUACCACCAACUCCCUUGUUAAUGUUUCUCUUGAUCCGAGAAAUUCCCGUAUCCUGCUUCUGGGCUUCUAUGAUAUGAUCCACAAGAGUAGAUUUCGCCACCAAGGUAGAAAGGAAUCCAUGAGGAGCAAUGUGAAGGUUAAGCUUACAGAAUUCCUCAUGAAGAAGUGGUUGGCCCUGCUGCAACAUGAGAUUGUUGCAAUAGGACUUACGACUUAGCGCAUCAGCCAUGACAUUCCCCUUGCCUGGGGUGUAGGUAAUCCCUAAGUCAUAAUCUGAGAUCAAGUCCAACCAACGUCUUUGCCUAAGGUUCAAAUCUUGUUGGGUGAAGAUAUACUUGAGACUCUGGUGAUCAGUGUAAAUCUCGCAACGUUUACCAAGAAGGUAAUGUCGCCAGGUCUUAAGUGCAUAGACUACGGCUGCAAGCUCUAGAUCAUGUGUAGGAUAAUUCUCCUCAUGUGGAUGCAACUGUCGAGAUGCAUAGGCAAUCACAUGGCGAUCUUGCAUAAGAAUGCAACCUAGUCCCUGUCGUGAGGCAUCACAAUAGAUAAUAAAGUCCUUAGUGAAGUCCGGUGGCACAAGUAUGGGAGCAGAAGUCAGACGUCUUUUCAGCUCCUGAAAACUGUGCUCACACUGUGGGGACCACUCAAACUUUUUAUCUUUCUUGAGAAGUUCCGUGAGAGGUUUGGCCACUUUGGAGAAGUUCUCAACGAAGCGGCGACAAUAACUGGCUAGACCAAGGAAACUCCUUACUUGCUUAACUGUUUCAGGCGGAGUCCAAUCAAGAACGACCUGAACUCUUUCGGGAUUGAUAGCAAUGCCCUUACCAGAGAUUACGUGGCCGAGAUAGGUCACUUCUGGCAACCAAAAUUCGCACUUGGAGAACUUGGCAUAAAGGCGGUGCUCUCUGAGUUUUUCUAGCACAAGUCUAAGAUGUUCGGCAUGAUCUUCCUGUUGGGGAACGUAGUAAUUUCAAAAAAAUUCCUACGCACACGCAAGAUCAUGGUGAUGCAUAGCAACGAGAGGGGAGAGUGUUGUCUACGUACCAACGCAGACCGACUGCGGAAGCGAUCACACAACGUAGAGGAAGUAGUCGUACAUCUUCUUCCCGAUCCGACCGAUCCAAGCACCGUUACUCCGGCACCUCCGAGUUCUUAGCACACGUUCAGCUCGAUGACGAUCCUCGGGCUCCGAUCCAGCAAAGCGUCGAGGAAGAGUUCCGUCAGCACGACGGUGUGGUGACGAUCUUGAUGUACUACCGACGUAGGGCUUCGCCUAAGCACUACAACGAUAUGAUCGAGAUGGAAUUUGGUGGCAGGGGGCACCGCACACGGCUAAGGAACGAUCUCAAGGAUCAACUUGUGUCUCUUGGGGUGUCCCCUGCCCCCGUAUAUAAAGGAUGGAGGGGGGAGGCUGGCCGGCCAAAGGAGGGAGGCGCAGGAGGAGUCCUACUCCUACCGGGAGUAGGACUCCCCCCUCCAAUCCUAGUCCAACUAGGAUUCCCAAGUGGGAAAGGGAGAGAGGGGGGCCGGCCACCUUCUCCUAGUCCUAAUAGGACUAGGCGCGCAGCCCUAUGUGGGCAGCCCUUUCACCUUUCCACUAAGGCCCAUGUUGGCCCAUUUGGCUUUCGGGGGGUUCCGGUAACCCUCCCGGUAAUCCGGUAAAAUCCCGAUUUCACCCGGAACACUUCCGAUGUCCAAACAUAGGCUUCCAAUAUAUCAAUCUUUAUGUAUCGACCAUUUCGAGACUCCUCGUCAUGUCCGUGAUCACAUCCGGGACUCCGAACUACCUUCGGUACAUCAAAAUGCAUAAACUCAUAAUAACUGCCAUCGUAACGUUAAGCGUGCGGACCCUACGGUUCGAGAACAAUGUAGACAUGACCGAGACACAUCUUCGGUCAAUAACCAAUAGCGGGACCUGGAUGCCCAUAUUGGCUCCUACAUAUUCUACGAAGAUCUUUAUCGGCCAGACCGCAUAACAACAUACGUUGUUCCCUUUGUCAUCGGUAUGUUACUUGCCCGAGAUUCGAUCGUCGGUAUCCAAUACCUAGUUCAAUCUCGUUACUGGCAAGUCUCUUUACUCAUUCCGUAAUACAUCAUCUCAUAACUAACAUCUUAGUUAUUAUGCUUGCAAGGCUUAUGUGAUGUGUAUUACCGAGAGGGCCCAGAGAUACCUCUCCGACAAUCGGAGUGACAAACCCUAAUCUCGAAAUACGCCAACCCAACAUCCACCAUUGGAGACACCUGUAGUACUCCUUUAUAAUCACCCAGUUACGUUGUGACAUUUGGUAGUACCCAAAGUGUUCCUCCGGUAAACGGGAGUUGUAUAAUCUCAUAGUUAUAGGAACAUUAUAAGUCAUGAAGAAAGCAAUAGCAACAUACUAAACGAUCGGGUGCUAAGCUAAUGGAAUGGGUCAUGUCAAUCAGAUCAUUCAACUAAUGAUGUGACCUCGUUAAUCAAAUAACAACUCUUUGUUCAUGGUUAGGAAACAUAACCAUCUUUGAUUAACGAGCUAGUCAAGUAGAGGCAUACUAGUGACACUCUGUUUGUCUAUGUAUUCACACAUGUAUUAUGUUUCCAGUUAAUACAAUUCUAGCAUGAAUAAUAAACAUUUAUCAUGAUAUAAGGAAAUAAAUAAUAACUUUUUAUUGCCUCUAGGGCAUAUUUCCUUCAGUCUCCCACUUGCACUAGAGUCAAUAAUCUAGAUUGCACAGUAAUGAUUCUAACACCCAUGGAGCCUUGGUGCUGAUCAUGUUUUGCUCGUGGAAGAGGCUUAGUCAACGGGUCUGCAACAUUCAGAUCCGUAUGUAUCUUGCAAAUCUCUAUGUCUCCCACCUGGACUAGAUCCCGGAUGGAGUUGAAGCGUCUUUUGAUGUGUUUGGUCCUUUUGUGAAAUCUGGAUUCCUUUGCCAAAGCAAUUGCACCAGUAUUGUCACAAAAGAUUUUCAUUGGACCCGAUGCACUAGGUAUGACACCUAGAUCGGAUAUGAACUCCUUCAUCCAGACUCCUUCGUUCGCUGCUUCCGAAGCAGCUAUGUACUCCGCUUCACAUGUAGAUCCCGCUACGACGCUUUGUUUAGAACUGCACCAAUUGACAGCUCCACCGUUUAAAGUAAACAUGUAUCCGGUUUGCGAUUUAGAAUCGUCCGGUUCAGUGUCAAAGCUUGCAUCAACGUAACCUCUUACGAUGAGCUCUUUGUCACCUCCAUAUACGAGAAACAUAUCCCUAGUCCUUUUCAGGUAUUUCAGGAUGUUCUUGACCGCUGUCCAGUGAUCCACUCCUGGAUUACUUUGGUACCUCCCUGCUAAACUUAUAGCAAGGCACACAUCAGGUCUGGUACACAGCAUUGCAUACAUGAUAGAGCCUAUGGCUGAAGCAUAGGGAACAUCUUUCAUUUUCUCUCUAUCUUCUGCAGUGGUCGGGCAUUGAGUUUGACUCAACUUCACACCUUGUAAUACAGGCAAGAACCCUUUCUUUGCUUGAUCCAUUUUGAACUUCUUCAAAAUCUUGUCAAGGUAUGUGCUUUGUGAAAGUCCAAUUAAGCGUUUUGAUCUAUCUCUAUAGAUCUUUAUGCCUAAUAUGUAAGCAGCUUCCCCGAGGUCUUUCAUCGAAAAACUUUUAUUCAAGUAUCCCUUUAUGCUAUCCAGAAAUUCUAUAUCAUUUCCAAUCAGCAAUAUGUCAUCCACAUAUAAUAUCAGAAAUGCUACAGAGCUCCCACUCACUUUCUUGUAAAUACAGGCUUCUCCAAAAGUCUGUACAAAGCCAAAUGCUUUGAUCACACUAUCAAAGCGUUUAUUCCAACUCUGAGAUGCUUGCACCAGUCCAUAAAUGGAUCGCUGGAGUUUGCAUACUUUGUUAGCUCCCUUUGGAUCGACAAAACCUUCUGGUUGCAUCAUAUACAACUCUUCUUCCAGAAAUCCAUUCAGGAAUGCAGUUUUGACAUCCAUCUGCCAUAUUUCAUAAUCAUAAAAUGCGGCAAUUGCUAACAUGAUUCUAACGGAUUUAAGCAUCGCUACGGGUGAGAAGGUCUCAUCGUAGUCAACCCCUUGAACUUGUCGAAAACCUUUUGCGACAAGUCGAGCUUUAUAGACAGUAACAUUACCGUCAGCAUCAGUCUUUUUCUUGAAGAUCCAUUUAUUCUCAAUUGCUUGCCGAUCAUCGGGCAAGUCAACCAAAGUCCAUACUUUGUUCUCAUACAUGGAUCCCAUCUCAGAUUUCAUGGCCUCAAGCCACUUUGCGGAAUCUGGGCUCACCAUCGCUUCUUCAUAGUUCGUAGGUUCAUCAUGAUCUAGUAGCAUGACUUCCAGAAUUGGAUUACCGUACCACUCUGGUGCGGAUCUCACUCUGGUUGAUCUACGUGGUUCAGUAGUAUCUUGUCCUGAAGUUUCAUGAUCAUCAUCAUUAGCUUCCUCACUAAUUGGUAUAGGUGUCGCAGAAACAGUUUUCUGUGAUGUACUAUUUUCCAAUAAGGGUGCAGGUACAGUUACCUCGUCAAGUUCUACUUUCCUCCCACUCACUUCUUUCGAGAGAAACUCCUUCUCUAGAAAGUUUCCGAACUUAGCAACAAAAGUCUUGCCUUCGGAUCUGUGAUAGAAGGUGUAUCCAAUAGUUUCCUUUGGAUAUCCUAUGAAGACACAUUUCUCCGAUUUGGGUUCGAGCUUAUCAGGUUGAAGCUUUUUCACAUAAGCAUCGCAGCCCCAAACUUUAAGAAACGACAACUUUGGUUUCUUGCCAAACCAUAGUUCAUAAGGCGUCGUCUCAACGGAUUUUGAUGGUGCCCUAUUUAACGUGAAUGCGGUUGUCUCUAAAGCAUAACCCCAAAAUGAUAGCGGUAAAUCAGUAAGAGACAUCAUAGAUCGCACCAUAUCUAGUAAGGUACGAUUACGACGUUCGGACACACCAUUACGCUGUGGUGUUCCGGGUGGCGUGAGUUGCGAAACUAUUCCACAAUUUUUCAAAUGUACACCAAACUUGUAACUCAAAUAUUCUCCUCCACGAUCAUAUCGUAGAAAUUUUAUUUUCUUGUUACGAUGAUUUUCAACUUCACUCUGAAAUUCCUUGAACUUUUCAAAUGUUUCAGACUUAUGUUUCAUUAAGUAGAUAUACCCAUAUCUGCUCAAAUCAUCUGUGAAGGUGAGAAAAUAACGAUAUCCGCCACGAGCCUCAAUAUUCAUCGGACCACAUACUUCGGUAUGUAUGAUUUCCAAUAAAUCUGUUGCUCUCUCCAUAGUACCGGAGAACGGUGUUUUAGUUAUCUUGCCUAUGAGGCACGGUUCGCAAGUACCAAGUGAUUCAUAAUCAAGUGGUUCCAAAAGCCCAUCAGUAUGGAGUUUCUUCAUGCGUUUUACACCGAUAUGACCUAAACGGCAGUGCCACAAAUAAGUUGCACUAUCAUUAUUAACUCUGCAUCUUUUGGCUUCUACAUUAUGAAUAUGUGUAUUACUACUAUCGAGAUUCAACAAGAAUAGACCACUCUUCAAAGGUGCAUGACCAUAAAAGAUAUUAUUCAUAUAAAUAGAACAACCAUUAUUCUCUGAUUUAAAUGAAUAACCGUCUCGCAUUAAACAAGAUCCAGAUAUAAUGUUCAUGCUCAACGCUGGCACCAAAUAACAAUUAUUUAGGUCUAAUAUUAAUCCCGAAGGUAGAUGUAGAGGUAGCGUGCCGACCGCGAUCACAUCGACUUUGGAACCGUUUCCCACGCGCAUCGUCACCUCGUCCUUUGCUAGCAUCCGCUUAUUCUGUAGUCCCUGUUUCGAGUUGCAAAUAUUAGGAACAGAACCAGUAUAAAAUACCCAGGUGCUACUGCGAGCUCUAGUAAGGUACACAUCAAUAACAUGUAUAUCACAUAUACCUUUGUUCACCUUGCCAUCCUUCUUAUCCGCCAAAUACUUGGGGCAGUUCCGCUUCCAGUGACCAGUCUGCUUGCAGUAGAAGCACUCAGUUUCAGGCUUAGGUCCAGACUUGGGUUUCUUCUCCUGAGCAGCAACUUUCUUGCUGUUCUUCUUGAAGUUCCCCUUCUUCUUCCCUUUGCCCUUUUUCUUGAAACUAGUGGUUUUGUUAACCAUCAACACUUGAUGCUCCUUUCUUGAUUUCUACCUCCGCAGCUUUCAGCAUUGCGAAGAGCUCGGGAAUAGUCUUGUUCAUCCCUUGCAUAUUAUAGUUCAUCAUGAAGCUCUUGUAGCUUGGUGGCAGUGAUUGGAGAAUUCUGUCAAUGACGCAAUCAUCUGGAAGAUUAACUCCCAUCUGAAUCAAGUGAUUAUUAUACCCAGACAUUUUGAGUAUAUGCUCACUGACAGAACUAUUCUCCUCCAUCUUGCAGCUAUAGAACUUAUUGGAGACUUCAUAUCUCUCAAUUCGGGCAUUUGCUUGAAAUAUCAACUUCAACUCCUGGAACAUCUCAUAUGCUCCAUGACGUUCAAAACGUCGUUGAAGUCCCAAUUCUAAGCCGUAAAGCAUGGCACACUGAACUAUUGAGUAGUCAUCAGCUUUGCUCUGCCAGACGUUCAUAACAUCUGGCGUUGCUCCAGCAGCAGGCCUGGCACCCAGCGGUGCUUCCAGGACGUAAUUCUUCUGUGCAGCAAUGAGGAUAAUCCUCAAGUUAUGAACCCAGUCCGUGUAAUUGCUACCAUCAUCUUUCAACUUUGCUUUCUCAAGGAACGCAUUAAAAUUCAACGGAACAACAACACGAGCCAUCUAUCUACAAUCAACAUAAACAAGCAAGAUACUAUCAGGUACUAAGUUCAUGAUAAGUUUAAGUUCAGUUAAUCAAAUUACUUAAGAACUCCCACUUAGAUGGACAUCCCUCUAAUCCUCUAAGUGAUCACGUGAUCCAAAUCAACUAAACCAUAACCGAUCAUCACGUGAGAUGGAGUAGUUUUCAAUGGUGAACAUCGUUAUGUUGAUCAUAUCUACUAUAUGAUUCACGCUCGACCUUUCGGUCUCCGUGUUCCGAGGCCAUAUCUGUAUAUGCUUGGCUCGUCAAGUAUAACCUGAGUAUUCUGCGUGUGCAACUGUUUUGCACCCGUUGUAUUUGGACGUAGAGCUUAUCACACACGAUCAUCACGUGGUGUCUGGGCACGACGAACUUUGGCAACGGUGCAUACUCAAGGAGAACACUUCUUGAUAAUUUAGUGAGAGAUCAUCUUAUAAUGCUACCGUCAAUCAAAGCAAGAUAAGAUGCAUAAAAGAUAAACAUCACAUGCAAUCAAUAUAAGUGAUAUGAUAUGGCUAUCAUCAUCUUGUGCUUGUGAUCUCCAUCUCCGAAGCACCGUCAUGAUCACUAUCGUCACCGGCGCGACACCUUGAUCUCCAUCGUAGCAUCGUUGUCGUCUCGCCAAUCUUAUGCUUCCACGACUAUCACUACCGCUUAGUAAUAAAGUAAAGCAUUACAUCGCGAUUGCAUUGCAUACAAUAAAGCGAAAACCAUAUGGCUCCUGCCAGUUGUCGAUAACUUGGUUACAAAACAUGAUCAUCUCAUACAAUAAAAUUAGCAUCAUGCCUUAACCAUAUCACAUCACAACAUGCCCUGCAAAAACAAGUUAGACGUCCUCUACUUUGUUGUUGCAAGUUUUACGUGGCUGCUACGGGCUUAAGUAAGAACUCAUCUCACCUACGCAUCAAAACCACAACGAUAGUUUGUCAAAUAGACUCCGUUUUAACCUUCUCAAGGACCGGGCGUAGCCACACUUGGUUCAACUAAAGUUGGAGAGACAGUCUUCCGCAAGCCAUCUAUGUGCAAAGCACGUCGAGGGAACCGGUCUCGCGUAAGAGUACGCGUAAGGUUGGUCCGGAUCGUCUCGUCCAACAAUACCGCCGAACCAAAGUAUGACAUGCUGGUAGGCAGUAUGACUUGUAUCGCCCACAACUCACUUGUGUUCUACUCGUGCAAAUAACAUCAAACCAUAAAAACCUAGGCUCGGAUGCCACUGUUGGGGAACGUAGUAAUUUCAAAAAAUUUCCUACGCACACGCAAGAUCAUGGUGAUGCAUAGCAACGAGAGGGGACAGUGUUGUCUACGUACCAACGCAGACCGACUGCGGAAGCGAUCACACAACGUAGAGGAAGUAGUCGUACGUCUUCUGCCCGAUCCGACCGAUCCAAGCACCGUUACUCCGGCACCUCCGAGUUCUUAGCACACGUUCAGCUCGAUGACGAUCCUCGGGCUCCGAUCCAGCAAAGCGUUGAGGAAGAGUUCCGUCAGCACGACGGCGUGGUGACGAUCUUGAUGUACUACCGACGUAGGGCUUCGCCUAAGCACUACAACGAUAUGAUCGAGAUGGAAUUUGGUGGCAGGGGGCACCGCACACGGCUAAGGAACGAUCUCAAGGAUCAACUUGUGUCUCUUGGGGUGUCCCCUGCCCCCGUAUAUAAAGGAUGGAGGGGGGAGGCUGGCCGGCCAAAGGAGGGAGGCGCGGGAGGAGUCCUACUCCUACCGGGAGUAGGACUCCCCCCUCCAAUCCUAGUCCAACUAGGAUUCCCAAGUGGGAAAGGGAGAGAGGGGGGCCGGCCACCUUCUCCUAGUCCUAAUAGGACUAGGCGCGCAGCCCUAUGUGGGCAGCCCUUUCACCUUUCCACUAAGGCCCAUGUUGGCCCAUUUGGCUUCCGGGGGGUUCCGGUAACCCUCCCGGUAAUCCGGUAAAAUCCCGAUUUCACCCGGAACACUUCCGAUGUCCAAACAUAGGCUUCCAAUAUAUCAAUCUUUUUGUCUCGACCAUUUCGAGACUCCUCGUCAUGUCCGUGAUCACAUCCGGGACUCCAAACUACCUUCGGUACAUCAAAAUGCAUAAACUCAUAAUAACUGUCAUCGUAACGUUAAGUGUGCGGACCCUACGGUUCGAGAACAAUGUAGACAUGACCGAGACACGUCUCCGGUCAAUAACCAAUAGCGGGACCUGGAUGCCCAUAUUGGCUCCUACAUAUUCUACGAAGAUCUUUAUCGGUCAGACCGCAUAACAACAUACGUUGUUCCCUUUGUCAUCGGUAUGUUACUUGCCCGAGAUUCGAUCGUCGGUAUCCAAUACCUAGUUCAAUCUCGUUACUGGCAAGUCUCUUUACUCGUUCCGUAAUACAUCAUCUCAUAACUAACAUCUUAGUUAUUAUGCUUGCAAGGCUUAUGUGAUGUGUAUUACCGAGAGGGCCCAGAGAUACCUCUCCGACAAUCGGAGUGACAAACCCUAAUCUCGAAAUACGCCAACCCAACAUCCACCAUUGGAGACACCUGUAGUACUCCUUUAUAAUCACCCAGUUACGUUGUGACAUUUGGUAGUACCCAAAGUGUUCCUCCGGUAAACGGGAGUUGUAUAAUCUCAUAGUUAUAGGAACAUGUAUAAGUCAUGAAGAAAGCAAUAGCAACAUACUAAACGAUCGGGUGCUAAGCUAAUGGAAUGGGUCAUGUCAAUCAGAUCAUUCAACUAAUGAUGUGACCUCGUUAAUCAAAUAACAACUCUUUGUUCAUGGUUAGGAAACAUAACCAUCUUUGAUUAACAAGCUAGUCAAGUAGAGGCAUACUAGUGACACUCUGUUUGUCUAUGUAUUCACACAUGUAUUAUGUUUCCGGUUAAUACAAUUCUAGCAUGAAUAAUAAACAUUUAUCAUGAUAUAAGGAAAUAAAUAAUAACUUUAUUAUUGCCUCUAGGGCAUAUUUCCUUCACUUCCUCGUUCUUCGAGUAAAUAAGUAUAUCAUCGAGGUAAACCACGACGAACUUAUCUAAGUACUCCAUGAAGAUCGAGUUCAUCAAGCGAGAGAAAGUAGCUGGAGCAUUAGUUAGACCGAAGGACAUGACGGUGUACUCAUACUGGCCAUAACGAGUGACAAAAGCCGUCUUAGGAAUGUCCCCAUUUCUGAUCUUGAUUUGAUGGUAGCCUAACCUCAAAUCCAUCUUGGAAAAGACUGAGGAUCCAACGAGCUGAUCAUACAAGUCGUUGAUCCUGGGGAGCAGAUACUUGUUCUUUAUCGUGACCAAAUUAACGGGACGAUAAUCUACAACCAUCCGGUCCGUACCAUCCUUCUUCUUGACGAAGAGGAUGGGGCAAGCCCAGGGAGAAGAACUAGGACGGAUGAAACCCUUUUGCAAGGAUUCAUCGAGUUGUUUCUUAAGCUCAGCUAGUUCUAAGGGUGCCAUCUUGUAAGGUCUCCUAGAGAUUGGAGCGGUUCCUGGGAUAAGAUCUAUGACAAAUUCUACAUCUCUGUCAGGUGGAAUACCUAGCAGUUCCUCUGGAAAGACAUCCGGAAAGUCACAGACUACUGGGAUAUCUUCAAGGUCUAGAAGAGGGUAGGCAUUAAGAGAAUAGAGUUCACGCUUUGCAACUCUAGUGGAGACGGUGACUAUCUUGCCAGAUGGGUGUGUAAGCUGAACAGACCUUGUGUAACAAUCGAUCUUGGCAUGAUGAGCUUUCAUCCAGUCCAUACCCAAGAUGAUGUUAAUAUCUGUAGACUUGAGGGCUAUAAGUGAUGCAAGGAAUACAAGUCUGUCAACAAGGAUUUCAAGUGGAGCUGGCAUAUCACAAAAUGACAUGUCAUGCAAACGAGCAUAGCCUUCAGAGAUGAAGGAGUGAGAUGCUCCGGUAUCGAACAGAACCGAAGCUGGAUAGCAAUUGACAAGGAGGGUACCAAGAAUGACAUCUGGAUCAUCAUGAGUGUCUUUAGCUGAGACGUGAUGCACACAUCCACGUUCAGUGGGAGCUGACUUGACACUAAUCAUCUUGCGUGAUGGCUUACCACAGCCAACAGACUUCUCACGCUGGCGUGGAGCAUAGCUGGUUUGAGAGCAGUCACGUGCAUAGUGUCCUGGCUCUCCGCAUGUGAAGCAAGUCCCUGAGGUAGGACGUGGACCCGCUUUGACAAGCGGUCUACCAAUAGGCCUGGGUGGAGCAUACUGUUGAACUGGGUGAGGCGCCACAUAAGAGGGCCUCGGUGAGUAACCGGGUGGAAGAGCGGAGUUCGAAACCCAAAUCCGGCGCUUCUGCGAAGUAGAACCGGAGGAAGAAACCAAAUCACGGGUGUGCUUACGAGACUCCUCGUAAGUGAGCUGAGCUGUCUCUGCAUUAAUGGCCUUGUUCACAAGAGCCUGGAAUGUAUUGCAAUGGUGCAAGUGGAGAUCACGACGCAACUUGGGGUUGAGACCCUUCCGGAACCUAGCCUGCUUCUUGGCGUCCGUGGACACUUCUUCUAUAGCAUAGCGGGCAAGGUUCUCAAAUUCUCUACUAUAAGCAUCAACAGCCAUCUUACUCUGGGUGAAACUACAAAACUCUUCUCUCUUGCGGUCAAUGAGGUCUUGAGGAAUGUGAUGCUCGCGAAAAGCCUCAGUGAAAUCCUUCCAGGUAGGUAUCUGGCCAGCUGGAAGCAUAGCUUCAUAGUUCUGCCACCAAAUACUAGCAGGACCUUACAGAUGAUGAGCAGCGUAGGUGACCCUGUCACUUUCAGCUACGUUCGCAGAACGCAGCUUGUGUGUGAUACUGCGGAGCCAGUCAUCUGCAUCAAGUGGUUCAAUGGAAUGAUGGAAGGUAGGUGGUUUCAGACCGAUGAAGUCAUGGAUGGACACAAACUCUUUGUGCUGAUUGGAGGUGUUCUCCUCAAUACGUGCUAGCAAGCGGUUAGACUCACGCUUGUUCCUCUCAACCUCUAACAUGAACUCUGCCAACGAAGACUGGUCGGGAGGAUCCUCAUCCCUACCAUCGCCGUGGAUCCGGAUACGAGCAACAGAACUUCGGUUAACUGAUGACAUCCUGAAGAACCAACCAAGGAAACAAGGAUGGAUUCAGCAUCACCAUAAGGAUGUAGAUUAUAGUAUGAGAAAAAUACUAUCUCUUGAACUCCUAGGACAAUUCCGGCAGCAUAACGACAGUAAAAUGCUCAAAAUGAAACAUCCUGCAAAUGAAGAGGUAGCACCAUACUCAACAUCAUUACUCAAGGUUCUGAGAUAUUACUAAACAGGCUACACCGGAGGUACUCAAACUGGGAUAUGACUCAGAUCAGCCAAACCUUAGAAACUACGGAGUAGUAACACGUGAUCCUGAUAGACAGAAGAGAAAGCCUAGUUCCUUAACCCCGUAGGAAGAUAGGAUGACUUAGAUCAGAAGGGCAUGAGAUAUAAGGAGUAAAAAGAGCCUUACGUUCCCUUCCACAAUCAAUUCUCUUACAUAACUAAAGAAUUUCUAGACUCAACUUCGACCAGGGUGGCUUGGAAAUCCUACAGGCAGUCAGGCUCUGAUACCAAAGCUGUCGGGACCCCGAUUCCAAAUCACAUCGAUCUAGCCGGUAACACCUCAUAUCACUUUGCGGCCUCACGCACGGUAUCCCCACGGGUGUCGCCUUACCCUGGCCCGGGACCGUUUGCGCCUUUUGGCUCGCGUAUAUGAUUGUGUCGCUAGCAUCCAUAUGACAGAGAAACCCGGGCCGACAUGGCUAGUCAUGAACCCAAAGCGGCACUAACCUAUGGGAACAGGCAUACAUGAUUCACAUCGAGCGUGUCGGUCAGCAGCGCGUGAAUCCGGGCUGUAGCACUGGGCUAACAGGACUCCGGGGAACCCGGGCUGUAGCAGGCUAGGCAAGACUCCGGUUGUCACCGCGUGACAUUUCCCCGAAGGGACAGACACUGGAACAAAGUGAAACACAUGCCGGCCAGUCAAGUGUCCUGAGCAGUAGUGCCGGGCUAGCAGGACUCCAGUGAACCAGGUUGUAGCGGACUACUAUGGCUCAAGGAAGCACUAGACUACGUUUCCCCAUAAGAGAGACUGCCAAGGAUAAACAACUAGAUUGUCGGAUCCCACACAUAGCAAUACACGUCACACGUAAGCAUAACAUGCAAGUAUGUGCUGUACAACAUGGCAUCACAACAUAACGCAAACUCAUAUAGAUAAAGGCUCAGAAGAGCCACAUAGCAUAAAUACAAACAGGGGUCACAUGACCCAUCAUUCAGAGCAUACAAGCAACGUAAGCAUUACAUGUCUGAGUACAGACAACUACAAAAGAAAAGGGCUGAGAAGCCUGACUAUCUACAAGACCCUCCCAAGGGUACAAGAUCGUAGCUGAGGUAACAAGCUACUUGUCGAAGUCCAAGCAGAACUACUAGUAAGACAGAUGUCUCAUCUGCAAAACAUAAAUAAAGCAAAUGUGAGUACAAAGAUACUCAGCAAGACUUACAUCAGAUCCUAUCAUAUAUGCAUUUGUAUCCAGAAGGUAAUGUGGGGUUUAGUUGCAGCAAGCCAGCUUUGACUCAGUGGCUAUUCUGUUCUACGACAACGAGAAACUUCUUUGAGAUGAGGCAGCGCACACGAGUCCACUAAUCACCACAUCAAUACACUACUAUGGAUUCAUCCUCGUCUUCCUACGAGAAGGCCAUCCAUAGCACUCACACUUGUCUUGAGCAUUUUAGAGUAUCCACUUUAAGUUGUCUAUGUACCACGUAAGCAUCCAAGAAGUCCAUAACUGAGGACACGGCUAUUCGAAUAGAUCAUGAUAACCCUGCAGGGGUGUACUUCUUCACACACGCUCUCACCACUUAUCACCAUGUACACGUCAUGUAUCUCGGCAACCUUCAAGCGGAAGCCUGGCGAGGGUGUCGGCCACGACCUAACUAACCACGCAAGACUCUAGUCCAGGUUUAUCGCCUAUUCGGGUUCCAUCCACAAGGAGAUCCGGCCGAGGUUUCGCUCACGGCCCCAAAUGAUGUGUACAGGGUUCCCGAGCCCACCAUCCGGGUGCCACUCGGUACACCGGGCCACGUGUGCCUAGUCUGUCCCAAGUCCACCCUGUCGGGUGCCACUCGGUAGAAAAAUAGCACUACCUACAAACACCAGAAACUAUUUGCAACUCCUGGACAGAGAUCAAGGCGGUUAAUAAGUCGAGAUAGCUUGGAGCGCCCAGAGCCCAAUGUGUGGUUGUAGCUAGUCAUUGGACAACUUACACAGAACUCAGUUCUUAAGGACGGUCCCAAUGAGACAGCCCACCAUGUACUCCUACAUGGCCUCUCACCGCUACCUUUAUCAAAUCGUGUUCACACGCUUAACUCUCAGCACCAGAACAUAUCAUAACACUCCAAUUCAUUCCCGAUGAAUCAGACCUGACACAACUCUAAGCAAUAGCAGGCAUGGCAUGGUAGGAACAAAACAUGGCUCAAUCAACUCCUACACAUGCUAGUGGGUUUUAGCUAUUUACUGGGGCAAUGACAGGUCAUGCAGAGGAAUGGGUUCAACUACCGCAGCAUAAAAUAGCAGUUGAAUCGUUGUUGUCCUAAUGCAAUAAAAGAGGGCAAGAGCGAGAGAGUGGGAUUGUAUCAGAAUGAACAAGGGGGUUGAUUGCCUGGUAGAUCAACAGGGGGGCACUGCUUCACUAAUAGGUACUCUCGAACACUUCCGGAGCAGGACCUAUCGAGAAGGAACGGUGCCAACAAUCAAUACACAAGCAUAUGCAACAAUCUGAUGCAUGACCAUGGCAUGAAGAUGUGAUGCUGUUUGAGCUAAUGCAACUAGUAUUCAAAUUGAAUGAAGUCCAUUUGAACCAAGGGUUCAAGUGCAACUCCAAAUUAAGCUCUUAUAUAUGCCAUUUAUAUGUUUUCACCUAUACAGCAGGUACAAGUUGUUUUGUCAUGCAUGAAACUAGUACGGAUGGAAAGAUUGAAUUUUUUCUGAUAAUUUUUCAUAUAUAAAUUAUUUCAAUCUGAGCUAGGGUUGAAUUUCUAUGAAUUUUUGAAGUUUAUACCAUUUUCUGGAAUUUCCUGAUUUAUUAUAAAACCAGAAAAAGAUAUAUUGCGUCAGCACUAAGUCAUGGUGAUGUCAGCAUUGACCAAAGUCAAAUCUGACUGGUGGGCUCCACCUGUCAGUGUUAUAGUUAAUUAACAGAGGUUAAUUAAUUGUUAAACUAAUCCUAAACUAGAAUUAGCAGGGCCGGGCCCCACCUGUCAUUGAGCCAGGGGAGGUCAAACCCCCUGGUCAACUGGGGCUAACGCGCCGGCGUUUAGUUGCCGGCGGCAGCAGACGCGGCGGAGGGCGCGGGAUCACCCUUCCGGCGACCAAAAGUACGGCGGAGAGCACCGGGGCGUACCCCACGCUCGUCCGCACCGAAUGGAGCAAGUGGGGGAGGCGGGGCGGCCGGAGCUCGCCGGAGCGAAGCUCGGGGCGGCGGCCGGAGCACGGCCAAGUGCGGGCGAGGGCUGUGGUGCAUGGGAAAGCGAGCGGAGAGGCUCUACGGCCUCCUGGCGUCACCAGGAGCACGGUGACGCGCGCGGGAGCGGCUGGCUCGGCCUCUGGCCACGGCGGCGCCAUGGCCGGCGGCACGGAGCUCUCGGCUCCGGUGGCUAGGUGGCUAGAGGAGGGGAUCGAGCACGGUUUAGGGGGGAAAGAUCGUGGCCUCACUGCGGUUGCAGGGGCCGUAGAAGCGGACUCGGGGAAGCUCGGAUGGCGGCAAAUCGACGGUGGAAAUCCACGGUGGCCGACGAGGAAGACGAAGACGAUGGCGUCGUUUCAGGCGUCCCGUGGGCGCGUGCUUCACCUUGGUGCUUCACGGCGUCGAGGAGGACCCGUUGGACAGGGCAGAGGGGCAAGGGAAGCACGGUGGCUGCGGCUACGGCGUGCGGCGGCGACGGAAGCGCUCGGGUGCGGGCGAGAGAGGGUGACAGAGGAGAGGAGGAGCACGGGGGAAGUGAGAGGGGGUCGGGGAGGCUGCGUGGCGACGUCGAGGGCCUCCAGCAGCGAGCGUGAAGCAGGAGGUGGCCGGCGCGUGCUCGCGCACGCCGGGCACACGCGCACCGUCCUCCUGGCAGGAGGUAGGCGACGACUGGCGUCGGCCAGCAGUGCUGGGCCGGCACAAGAGCUGGGCCGCCAGCUGGGCUGCCAGGCAGGUAAGGCCAGGUGAGCUUUUUCCUUUAUUUAUUUUCUUUUCUAUUUUCUGACCUUUGUUUUGAUUUAAUAAAAAUACUAAAUCAAUUAAUUUUCUUCUGACAAGUUUUGCAGGGGCCUAAGGGAUUAUUCCAAAGCCCCUCACCAAAAUUCAGAAUUAUUGGACAAUAUUUUAUAUAUAUAUAAAAAUAUUUAUCCAACGCAAAUAAUUUCUGGAUUAAUUCCAAAUGUCAAAAAUAAAUAUUUAUGAGCUCCUGGAUAUAUUUAUUAGAAUUUUAACUCUGACCAAUAUUUUCAGAGAGCAACAUGAACAUUUUCUUGGACCCUUUUGGAGCAGUUUUUAUCUGGGUUAUUUCCAGAAAUAAUUUCUGAGGGUUUCACAAAUCCCCAUUUCAAAUUUAAAUGGAAUUUAAACAUGAUGCACAGAUGACAUAGCUAGCCUAGGUCAUACCAGAACUAGGGAUGUGACAACUCUAGAAAUGUUCGCCUAUUCAAGAAAAAUAUUUAAAAAAAUGUUCGCAGAUAGUAUAAAAUGUUCAUGAGUUCAGAUAUGUUUGAAAAACUGUAAAAAAUGUUCGUGGAUUCUAGAAAUGUUUGAAAAUCUGUAAAAAUGUUCACAAUUUCAGAUAUGUUCAUGAGUUUAAAAAAAUGUUCAUGAUUUACAAAAAUUGUUCACGAUUUCACAAAAAUAAGAAUGAUAAUGUAUGUCGGUGAUGCAGCAAAAUAUGGUCAUGGCCGUUGGAGAUUAUGAUUGUUGUUUCUCCCGUUGUAACGCUGUAACACCCUCGAUGCGACUAUAUCUCCCACGUGUCGAGGCACGACUUAGAGGCAUAAUCGCAUUGAAGGCAUAUGUCGCAAGUGAGGUAAUCUUCACACAACCCAUGUAAUAUAAUAAGGGAAAAAGAUAUAUAGUUGGCUUACAAUCGCCACUUCACACAAUUACAUGAAUAAACAUUACAUCAAUCAAAUACACUCAUGGUCCGACUACGGAACCAAAAUAAAAGAAGAACCCCAAAUGCGACAAAGGUCCCCGAUCGACCCCAACUGGGCUCCACUACUGAUCAACUAGAACGAAACAACAUAAGGACAAGAUCUUCAUCGAGCUCCUCCUGAGCUUGGUAGCGUCAUCUGCACGGUCUCAUCGGCACCUGCAAGCUGGUUUUGGAAGUAUCUGUGAGCCACAGGGACUCAGCAAUCUCGCACCCUCGCGAUCAAGACUAUUUAAGCUUAUGGGUAAGGUAAAGGUAUGAGGUGGAGCUGCAGCAAGCGACUAGCAUAUAUGGUGGCUAACAUACGCAAAUGAGAGCGAGAAGAGAAGGCAAAGCACGGUCGAUAAAGUAUGAUCAAGAAGUGAUCCUGGACUACCUACGUCAAGCAUAACUCCAACAACCGUGUUCACUUCCCGGACUCCGCCGGAAAGAGACCAUCACGGUUACACACGCAGUUGAUUCAUUUUAAUUAAGGUCAACUUUAGGUUUUCUACAACCGGACGUUAACAAAUUCCCAUCUGCCCAUAACCGCGGGCACGGCUUUCGAAAGAUCAAAUCCCUGCAGGGGUGUCCCAACUUAGCCCACGACAAGCUCUCACGGUCAACGAAGGAAUAGACCUCCUCCCGAGACAUUCCGAUCAGACUCGGUAUCCCGGUACUCCAACACUCCAAUAAAAGUACAGGCAUGGAAAGAUCAUGAUCUUUGACAAAACGAGAUAAUGGAUUGAAAAGAUGAACAUCACAAUACCUCCGGAACAAAAGAAUAGAAGAUAGAUAACUGAAAUAGGAGAAAUGAGGAGAAAAUGCCAACUUCUGCCACAAAAGAGUUUGGAAAGGCAUCUUUAGGGGAAGGGUUGAGCGGAGUUGUUGGAAAAAAAACACCAACGAAAAGAAUAGGUUGAUAUGGUCUUAUGGAAUAUGUCUCAAAUUAAGAGAUGACAGCCUGCCACUCACGGGAAGAAGAAUUGAUUGGGUUUAAAUGAACAAGGAGACGAGAAAUUAUUUCACCGGAAGGAUAAAAGAAGAACUUGGAUCAUUAUAAGCACCAUAGAUAACAACAAUCCUCAGGGAAAGUUUUUAGGUGAAAAUUAACCCAAGAUAACUCCAAUGACGAGAUUGAUGGAUUUAAAAUACCUCAUUCUUAACAACAUGUGAAUCGUGACAAUAUGAACUCAAAUUAUCAAGAAUGACAUAAUACCACCCCCAAUAAUAUGGUAGAAAGAAUUGCACUCCGGAUAGCAAGAUGAAGAAGGCUUGAGCUCGUCUGAAAAGAAUCUUGAUGAACCCUUCGAGAAUGAAUUAAAUCCCUUAAUGAACCAUCAUGUAGAGCCUUCAUGGAGAACUCCGGUAAUAAAAGAAAGAUCCAAAAUAACGGAAUGAUGUAAAGAAUAAGAUUUAAGACUCGCAAUGAUUUAGAUAGAGAACUCCGUGAUAAUAUAAUUGCAAGAGGUUGGAACUCCGGGAAAGAAAGAUGACCACUUGAACCCAAGAAUGUGAUAUGAUGCACCUCCGGACUAAGGAAUUAAAUCACUUGGAUAGAACAAGAGUAAGAAUUAUGUUAUGCUCGUCCUUCAUCAAUUAAAUUGAUGACAAACCAUGGAUUUGGCAUAUUCCUUAUUCUUGUAGAAAAGAUUAAGAGAGAUAUGGCGCCAAUUUGAGAAGGUCUUCAACAAACCACCGGAAGGAUUGAAAACAACAAAUAAUUGAUAAGGAAGAGAGAUCUUGAGGAAACCACCAUAAGAAUUAAGCAUGAACCAAGAGAAGAUAAAGAACACACCGGGAAGAAUUAAGCAAAAUAAACGAAGAUGCUUGAGAGACUUUAGAUCCAUGAGAACGAAGAGAUCACGAACUGAUUAAAGAUCACUUGAACGAAGCACCGGUAAAAUUAGGAGGGUGAGAGCUGAAAUCUAGAGUUGAUAAUUCUUAGAUGAUUGGCUCCGGAUAAACAAGCUGAGAAUACUCUCGAAUUGCUCCGGAAGGGUAAAAAGAAUUCUCACAGUCAAACAAUUAUGAGAGGAUGGCAACAAGCUAGCACCAUGAAUCUUGAAGAGAAUGGAGCAAGAUUAAAGAGAAACUCUUCUUCGGUCUUCAAAUGAUGAGAAUGACGACAAGAAACACCACCAAUAAUUAUUGAGGCACUCCGGAAUAAAGAAGAAUAUAUAAGAGUUGAAUCAACGAUGAAAUUAAUUUGAAAGAUCUUGGGGAAGGACAUUUGACUGAUGAUAAUUCAUUCUUACGUCAAACUUCAAAAGGAAUUUAGUAUAACUCCGGGGAAAUAAGAAGAGUCAGGUAAGAUCCUGGGAAAAGACCUGUGGGUUAGGGCCCACUCGAAAGAAAAACACCGUUGAAAUGAUUUUAAAAGGGAGGUUGCACCGGUUGAAAUAAAUGGCUAGAAUGAUAUAACAUCCUCGAAAGAGCUUGAACGAAUGCAGAGUGGAAACAAGAAUCUUCGAGAUAUCUUGAGCACCCUGAAACAAUUGAAUAGCGAGAAGUGAACGAUUAAGAACUACGCCGGCAUGAGAAAAAAACAUUGAAAUACGGAAAAAGAGUAUGAUCAACACCGAAAGCUUGAAUUGGUUCCACCGGAGAAGAAAAGAACAAAGAAUGAUAAAUUUGAAGCUCCGUUAGAAUAUUCAUGAGAAUCACUGGAUAAGAAUAUUGAUAGAAAAGAAUGGGGAGACUUCACAUGAAUAAAAUGAUACUUGAUUAAGACAUCCGAAUCCUUGACGAAAAAGGGUGGGUGGGGGAGAAAAACAAAGGCAACUUGGAGAUGGAUGAAACAAACACCGUUGAGAAGAAGUGAUAAUUGAUCUUGCGGAAGUUGAAAUGAUCAGAUCCACUUGAGGAGAGACACACCGGUUGAAAAAAAUUAACAAAAACAAUCUUGACGAUCAAGAAGGAUUGGUAUUCACAUCGGAGUAUGAGAACACCAUUUAGGAAAAGGUAUGGAAUCAACAUUUGACUUCGAAGCAACUCGAAUACCACAACUCAAAAUAAAACCAAGGAUUGGCUUGCGGAAUAAGCCGGAGCAAACAUAUGAUAGAGAUUUCGUCCGAAGUUUUCGUGGUGGGACCUACACGGGCUCGAUCGUACAGCACCAUCAUGUACAAGGCAGUGCACAUGACAUACGAAGCGUCCCCGAGUCAGCAUAGCCAAGGAUUCUUUAAGACACAACGCGACCACUGUAAAAUCGACCGUGAAUAGGCGAACCACUAGACGUCGAACCCCAAUUUCAUAUCAUACAUCUGUCAGAAAGAAAUCCUAAGAGCUACUUGAAUUCCCACCUAUGAAAUUCCCGAAAUUUUCCGGUUAUGCAAUCAGGUGUUGAGGAUACAGGGGAAGCAUAAUAUCUCACCCAAGCUAGCAAAUCCUACAUCCAGCUGCAUCCAUCCUUCAACACAUAACCAAGAAACCUUCGGAAACCAUCUAUCUCAAUCUUCGAAAAGCAUCCGUUAUACAAGUUAUGGCGAUACUCUCGAACUCCCGCCCCAGUACUGGGUGGCGUCGAGGUUAUCUCACCAACGAACUGCAUAAAGGAGAUUUUCGAUGUCGCGAACAUAUCUCAAGUAUUCCAGAAUUGCAACGAUAAAAUUAUGAUGACAACACCUCAGAGCUCAACUCCCCGGGACACUUCCACUAAACCCCUGACAGGAGGCACCAAGACAGUAUUCUCAUCAUAAGCCAUCGGAACAAAACCAAGAUACUCGCGUGAUCCUAAAAAAAAAAUUAGUGAAAUUUGAGAAGAGAAGACUCAAAACUCUAUGUCAGGAUGCCUCACCAGAGCGACGAAGGGACUGGGAAGUAAAAAGAAUUCCUAAACUCUCCGAUAUAUAAUUCCUAAGGACUCAAAACAUUAUUCUAGACACAACUCGGCUGCUAAAAACGAUCAAGCAAUGGGGCUCCUAAGGUCGGGGAAGGCUCUGAUUACCAACUUGUAACACCCUCGAUGCGACUAUAUCUCCCACGUGUCGAGGCACGACUUAGAGGCAUAAUCGCAUUGAAGGCAUAUGUCGCAAGUGAGGUAAUAUUCACACAACCCAUGUAAUAUAAUAAGGGAAAAAGAUAUAUAGUUGGCUUACAAUCGCCACUUCACACAAUUACAUGAAUAAACAUUACAUCAAUCAAAUACACACAUGGUCCGACUACGGAACCAAAAUAAAAGAAGAACCCCAAAUGCGACAAAGGUCCCCGAUCGACCCCAACUGGGCUCCACUACUGAUCAACUAGAACGAAACAACAUAAGGACAAGAUCUUCGUUGAGCUCCUCCUGAGCUUGGUAGCGUCAUCUGCACGGUCUCAUCGGCACCUGCAAGCUGGUUUUGGAAGUAUCUGUGAGCCACAGGGACUCAGCAAUCUCGCACCCUCGCGAUCAAGACUAUUUAAGCUUAUGGGUAAGGUAAAGGUAUGAGGUGGAGCUGCAGCAAGCGACUAGCAUAUAUGGUGGCUAACAUACGCAAAUGAGAGCGAGAAGAGAAGGCAAAGCACGGUCGAUAAAGUAUGAUCAAGAAGUGAUCCUGGACUACCUACGUCAAGCAUAACUCCAACAACCGUGUUCACUUCCCGGACUCCACCGGAAAGAGACCAUCACGGUUACACACGCAGUUGAUUCAUUUUAAUUAAGGUCAACUUUAGGUUUUCUACAACCGGACGUUAACAAAUUCCCAUCUGCCCAUAACCGCGGGCAUGGCUUUCGAAAGAUCAAAUCCCUGCAGGGGUGUCCCAACUUAGCCCACGACAAGCUCUCACGGUCAACGAAGGAAUAGACCUCCUCCCGAGACAUUCCGAUCAGACUUGGUAUCCCGGUACUCCAAGACAUCCUCGACAAUGGUAAAACAAGUCCAGCAAAACCACCCGAUGCGCCGACAUCCCGAUGGGAGCUGCACAUAUCUCGUUCUCAGGGCACACCGGAUAAGCUAAGCGUACAGGAGCCGACGUAACCCAAGUUGCCAAGGGAUGGCCAUGCACGGUGCUCUGGGUUGGGCCAACACUUAGACAAGCACUGGCCCGGGGGUUAAAAUAAGAUGACCCUUGGGCUGGCCUAACCCAAGGGAAAAAGAGGCUAGGUGGCAAAUGGUAAAACCAAGGUUGGGCCUUGCUGGAGGAGUUUUAUUCAAAGCGAAUUGUCAAGGGGUUCCCAUAUACCCAACCGCGUAAGGGACGCAAAAUCCGGGAACAUAACACCGAUAUAACGGAAACUAGGGCGGCAAGAGUGGAACAAAACACCAGGCAUAAGGCCGAGCCUUCCACCCUUUACCAAGUAUAUAGAUGCAUUAAUUAAAUAAGAUAUAUAGUGAUAUCCCAACAAGUAAACAUGUCCCAACAAGGAACAACAUCUCCAUGUUCCAACAAGGAACAAACUUCAAUCUUCACCUGCAACUAACAACGCUAUAAGAGGGGCUGAGCAAAGCGGUAACCUAGCCAAUCAACGGUUUGCUAGGACAUAGGAGGGUUAGGGGCUGAACAUGGCAAUUUGGGAGGCUGACAAGCAAGUGGUAGGCAUCGUAGCAAUGGCAUAGCAAAAGAGCGAGCAAACUAGCAUAGCAAAGAUAGUAGUGAUUUCGAGGGUAUGAUCAUCUUGCCUGAAGUCCCGCAAGGAAGAAGAACGAGUCCAUGAAGGAGACAAACGGACGAAGAUGAACGGGUCCUCACAAACUCGACGUUACCGGAACCAACCCGAAGAAGCAAUCACCGGAAAAGAAGCACACAACAUAGUAAACAACCACCACAUAGGCAUGGCAUGAUGCGCAAACAAGAAUGAUGCAUGUCCGGUUUAAAGAGGCAUGGCAUGGCAAAAUGCACAAGCAAUCCUACAAAUUAAGUGGAGCUCAAUAUGCACCGGGAUGCAUAUUGACAAAACACCACAUCAAUUAUUUAGUUCUCUCUCGUUUAUGUACCCAACAAUAUUAAAUGUUAUUAAACAUGGCAAGAGGGGAAACAUGCUGAAACUAUCUAAUCUAGGCAAGUUUAAAUGAGGCCGGAAGCAACGAACAACAAUUCCGAAAAAUCCUCAAGUGCAAAUAUUAGGUUUGGUCCUGAUCUGUCCUAAACACAAUUUUAGAGUUGUUUAACAUGCAAAGUGAUGCCACCAUGAUAAACUAGGCAAAAUUCUACCCCAUUUACAUAUAAAGUGAAGGAAAUAUGCCCUAGAGGCAAUAAUAAAGUUAUUAUUUAUUUCCUUAUAUCAUGAUAAAUGUUUAUUAUUCAUGCUAGAAUUGUAUUAACCGGAAACAUAAUACAUGUGUGAAUACAUAGACCAACAGAGUGUCACUAGUAUGCCUCUACUUGACUAGCUCGUUAAUCAAAGAUGGUUAUGUUUCCUAACCAUGAACAAAGAGUUGUUAUUUGAUUAACGAGGUCACAUCAUUAGUAGAAUGAUCUGAUUGACAUGACCCAUUCCAUUAGCUUAGCACCCGAUCGUUUAGUAUGUUGCUAUUGCUUUCUUCAUGACUUAUACAUGUUCCUAUAACUAUGAGAUUAUGCAACUCCCGUUUACCGAAGGAACACUUUGGGUACUACCAAACGUCACAACGUAACUGGGUGAUUAUAAAGGAGUACUACAGGUGUCUCCAAUGGUAGAUGUUGGGUUGGCGUAUUUCGAGAUUAGGGUUUGUCACUCCGAUUGUCGGAGAGGUAUCUCUGGGCCCUCUCGGUAAUACACAUCACAUAAGCCUUGCAAGCACUGCAACUAAUAUGUUAGUUGUGAGACGAUGUAUUACGGAACGAGUAAAGAGACUUGCCAGUAACGAGAUUGAACUAGGUAUUGGAUACCGACGAUCGAAUCUCGGGCAAGUAACAUACCGAUGACAAAGGGAACAACGUAUGUUGUUAUGCGGUCUGACCGAUAAAGAUCUUCGUAGAAUAUGUAGGAGCCAAUAUGGGCAUCCAUGUCCCGCUAUUGGUUAUUGACCGGAGACGUGUCUCGGUCAUGUCUACAUUGUUCUCGAACCGUAGGGUCCGCACGCUUAACGUUACGAUGACAGUUAUUAUGAGUUUAUGCAUUUUGAUGUACCGAAGGUUGUUCGGAGUCCCGGAUGAGAUCACGGACAUGACGAGGAGUCUCGAAAUGGUCGAGACGUAAAGAUUGAUAUAUUGGAAGCCUAUGUUUGGACAUAGGAAGUGUUCCGGGUGAAAUCGGGAUUUUACCGGAAUACCGGGAGGGUUACCGGAACCCCCCGGGAGACUAAUGGGCCUAUUGGGCCUUAGUGGAAAAAGAGAAAAGGGGCAGCCCAUANNNNNNNNNNNNNNNNNNNNNNNNNNNNNNNNNNNNNNNNNNNNNNNNNNNNNNNNNNNNNNNNNNNNNNNNNNNNNNNNNNNNNNNNNNNNNNNNNNNNNNNNNNNNNNNNNNNNNNNNNNNNNNNNNNNNNNNNNNNNNNNNNNNNNNNNNNNNNNNNNNNNNNNNNNNNNNNNNNNNNNNNNNNNNNNNNNNNNNNNNNNNNNNNNNNNNNNNNNNNNNNNNNNNNNNNNNNNNNNNNNNNNNNNNNNNNNNNNNNNNNNNNNNNNNNNNNNNNNNNNNNNNNNNNNNNNNNNNNNNNNNNNNNNNNNNNNNNNNNNNNNNNNNNNNNNNNNNNNNNNNNNNNNNNNNNNNNNNNNNNNNNNNNNNNNNNNNNNNNNNNNNNNNNNNNNNNNNNNNNNNNNNNNNNNNNNNNNNNNNNNNNNNNNNNNNNNNNNNNNNNNNNNNNNNNNNNNNNNNNNNNNNNNNNNNNNNNNNNNNNNNNNNNNNNNNNNNNNNNNNNNNNNNNNNNNNNNNNNNNNNNNNNNNNNNNNNNNNNNNNNNNNNNNNCCCCCCUCUUUCUCCUUUCCCCCCGAGAGUCCUAAUUGGAAUAGGAUUGGAGGGGGAGUCCUACUCCCGAUGGGAGUAGGACUCCCCUGCGCCUCCCUCUCCCUGGCCGGCCGGCUCCCCCUCCUCCAACCUUUAUAUACGGGGGCAGGGGACACCCCAAGACACACAAGUUGAUCCUUGAGAUCGUUCCUUAGCCGUGUGCGCUGCCCCCUGCCACCAAAUUCCACCUCGAUCAUACCGUUACAGUGCUUAGGCGAAGCCCUGCGUCGGUAGUACAUCAAGAUCGUCACCACGCCGUCGUGCUGACGGAACUCUUCCUCGACGCUUUGCUGGAUCGGAGCCCGAGGAACGUCAUCGAGCUGAACGUGUGCUAAGAACUCGGAGGUGCCGGAGUAACGGUACUUGGAUCGGUCGGAUCGGAAAGAAGACGUACGACUACUUCCUCUACGUUGUGAGAUCGCUUCCGCAGUCGGUCUGCGUUGGUACGUAGACAACACUCUCCCCUCUCGUUGCUGUGCAUCACCAUGAUCUUGCGUGUGCGUAGGAAAAUUUUUGAAAUUACUGCGUUCCCCAACAUAAAGUUUAUUAAAAUCGGAGUUACGGUUAUUUAGAUAUGAAUAAAAUCAUUUUAGCAUGGCAUAGAGCAAAUUUAAUGCAAACAACAUGUUAAACAUUUUAAACAUGGAUGAAAGUGGCAUAUUAUUAAUCUACACAGAAUUCUGAGCAAGUUUCAUAUAUAAAUUGUUUUAAUCCGAUGCACGGUUCAAGAGUUAUUAAAUGCAUGAACUAGGGGGACUAUACUGCAAAACUACCAAUGCACUGGAUAAUGGACAAAUUCGCAGGACCCGAAAAAAUACAUAUCGGGCCGAAUCUGGCUUAGCCCAACAGCAAGGAAGGAAAAAAAUAGAGAGGGGGGCGCUGGGGCGGCUCACCCAGGGCCUGGCCCGGUUCGGGUAGAAGGAGGGAAGCAGGCCGGCUGGCGGCUCGCUGGAGAUGGGCCUGGACCACGAGGCGCUGGGCGCGGAUCUGGAGGUAGAGAUGGGCCGGGCUUGGCGCUGCGCUGGCUGGGAAGCUGGGCCGGCCCGCGAAGGAGGAGGAAGGCCAAACGAGGCCGACAGAUCUGGGCCUCAGCGAGGUCCACGGGGAAGGUCAACGAGGCGACAUGGAUCGGUCUCCUCCCGAUCCCGUCCGGCGGCGGCGGCGCUGUGAAGGAGCUCCGGCGAGGGCUGCGAAGGCCGGGGCGCACGGGAGGCGCCGGAAAUGAGUAGGUCGGCGGCGGGGCACAUGGAUCCGGGGCGGAGGAGGCUCAAGGACGACGGGGAGGCCGCAUUCGACGCGAGGACGGCCGAUCCGGCGAGACUCGUCCACUCCGGCGACGAGCACGAGGCAUGGGACUCCGGCGAGGUGUAGGAAGACCUCCGGCGAGGCAGGGAGACAAAGGAGCACCGGAUCCGGCGGGGCUCGGCUCCCCGGGGCCGGAUCUGGCCAAGACGAGACGGCGGCGCUAAAUCCCCCAGGUGGAGGUCGCCGGCGGCAGCACUGGUGACCGGAAGAAGGCGACGAAGCGUGAGGCGGCGCGGGGAGGCGGGCGGUGGCGCUGGGCGGCGGGGAAGAGUAGCGCUCCGGCUCCCUCCCGAUCCAGGUGGGAUCGAGGAGGACCAGCCUUGGUGGCUGCGAGCGAAGGGGCUCUAGCCCGGGCGGGCCUCGGUUGGGCCAGGCGGGCCGUGGGGCUGGUGGAGGCGCUAGGCGCGACGUGGCAGCGCCUGCUUGGCUGCGCGCGUCGCCGGCGGCGGGCUGGCCGAUGGGGGCGCGACAAGUGGCGGAGAAGGGGCGGCCGGCGCUGAAAAUGAGGUGGGAGGUGGCGGCUGAGGGUAGGGGGAGGCUAGGUUGCCUGAAAUGGACAAGGGGGUGUCCAUAUAUAGCCAAAAGAGCUAGGGUUAGGGGAUUUAGGGGGGUUUUAGGAGCGUUUCGGAGCCUCCGAUCGCGAUCUGACGGUCCGAAACAGAGGGGGGGUUUAGGUGGGCUGCAAGAGUGGAAGUGGACUGUGGAGAGCGGGUUGUGCUGAGAGAAGAGAAGAGAGAGAGAGACCCGGCGACUGUCUCCGGAGACCGAAAACGUCCGACGUUAGACCGGCUACUAUUGCCGCUAUAUUUACCCGUUGGGGCGUCAAACGAACUCCGAUUGCGAUGAAACUUGACAGGCGGUGUGUCUAUACUAUAAUAAGACCGCACACCAAAUUUCAACCCAAUCUGAGAACAUUUUCCGGCCACUUAUAAAAUAAUAUUUCGGACAUGCCGCGGGCGCGUGCAAGUGUGUCUGGGCUCAGAACGGACAACGGAGAGAACGAGGAGGCCGGGACGGAUGCAAGUUUUGAAAACAUGAAGAUGCAAUGCACAUGAUGACAUGAUAAGAUGCAACACGCAAGCAAAUGACAUGGCAACGACGGCGAAUAACGGGAAGACAUGUGGCACAUCGGUCUCGGGGCGUUACAACACUCCACCACUACGAGAGGAUCUCGUCCCGAGAUCUAGAAUGGCACCGGAGGGAAAACGGAAGAGAAGGAGAAGAGGUAAAACAAAUUGCUUCUUUGGCAAACGAGUGAAACCACGAACCUUGAGAGGUUGAACAAAUUGAAAGAAAGAAUACAACGAAGAUGAACAAAGUCGAAAACACUCCGUUAGAAAAGAGGGACAAGGAAGAUUGCGAAACCUUGAGGUUGAAGGGAAGAUAUAUCCAGAAAGCACUCCGGUUAAGGAAGGGGACCAAGGGAAAAUCAAAAAUUCGGGCAGCACUCCGGUUGAAAAGAAAAGAAUUGAAUAAGGUCUUGAUAAGAUGAGAAGAUAUUUGAUGAAAUCAACACACUGCCUCCAUAACUAUUGAAUGGAUGGAACAAGGGGUAAGAAAGAUCUCAGACCGCACUCCGGUUGAGAAGGGAGUCAAAAUUUGAUAAGAUGAGAGAGCUCAAAUGAAAACACGACACUCCUGUUGAGAAAGGGAUGCAAGACUUGAUAAGGCGACAAGAACUUGAACAAAGGGGCACAAUACUCCGGUUAAGCAAGAUAGGGAAGGAAUAAGAGUGAUAUAAUUUGGACAGCACUCCGUUUGUAAAUGGAAGAAAUUGAACACGACGAGAUGAGAGGAUACUUGAAAAGAGGAGAGAACACUCCAAUAAAAGUACAGGCAUGGAAAGAUCAUGAUCUUUGACAAAACGAGAUAAUGGAUUGAAAAGAUGAACAUCACAAUACCUCCGGAACAAAAGAAUAGAAGAUAGAUAACUGAAAUAGGAGAAAUGAGGACAAAAUGCCAACUUCUGCCACAAAAGAGUUUGGAAAGGCAUCUUUAGGGGAAGGGUUGAGCGGAGUUGUUGGAAAAAAAACACCAACGAAAAGAAUAGGUUGAUAUGGUCUUAUGGAAUAUGUCUCAAAUUAAGAGAUGACAGCCUGCCACUCACGGGAAGAAGAAUUGAUUGGGUUUAAAUGAACAAGGAGACGAGAAAUUAUUUCACCGGAAGGAUAAAAGAAGAACUUGGAUCAUUAUAAGCACCAUAGAUAACAACAAUCCUCAGGGAAAGUUUUUAGGUGAAAAUUAACCCAAGAUAACUCCAAUGACGAGAUUGAUGGAUUUAAAAUACCUCAUUCUUAACAACAUGUGAAUCGUGACAAUAUGAACUCAAAUUAUCAAGAAUGACAUAAUACCACCCCCAAUAAUAUGGUAGAAAGAAUUGCACUCCGGAUAGCAAGAUGAAGAAGGCUUGAGCUCGUCUGAAAAGAAUCUUGAUGAACCCUUCGAGAAUGAAUUAAAUCCCUUAAUGAACCAUCAUGUAGAGCCUUCAUGGAGAACUCCGGUAAUAAAAGAAAGAUCCAAAAUAACGGAAUGAUGUAAAGAAUAAGAUUUAAGACUCGCAAUGAUUUAGAUAGAGAACUCCGUGAUAAUAUAAUUGCAAGAGGUUGGAACUCCGGGAAAGAAAGAUGAGCACUUGAACCCAAGAAUGUGAUAUGAUGCACCUCCGGACUAAGGAAUUAAAUCACUUGGAUAGAACAAGAGUAAGAAUUAUGUUAUGCUCGUCCUUCAUCAAUUAAAUUGAUGACAAACCAUGGAUUUGGCAUAUUCCUUAUUCUUGUAGAAAAGAUUAAGAGAGAUAUAGCGCCAAUUUGAGAAGGUCUUCAACAAACCACCGGAAGGAUUGAAAACAACAAAUAAUUGAUAAGGAAGAGAAAUCUUCAGGAAACCACCGUAAGAAUUAAGCAUGAACCAAGAGAAGAAAAAGCACACACCGGGAAGAAUUAAGCAAAAUAAACGAAGAUGCUUGAGAGACUUUAGAUCCAUGAGAACGAAGAGAUCACGAACUGAUUAAAGAUCACUUGAACGAAGCACCGGUAAAAUUAGGAGGGUGAGAGCUGAAAUCUAGAGUUGAUAAUUCUUAGAUGAUUGGCUCCGGAUAAACAAGCUGAGAAUACUCUCGAAUUGCUCCGGAAGGGUAAAAAGAAUUCUCACAGUCAAACAAUUAUGAGAGGAUGGCAACAAGCUAGCACCAUGAAUCUUGAAGAGAAUGGAGCAAGAUUAAAGAGAAACUCUUCUUCGGUCUUCAAAUGAUGAGAAUGACGACAAGAAACACCACCAAUAAUUAUUGAGGCACUCCGGAAUAAAGAAGAAUAUAUAAGAGUUGAAUCAACGAUGAAAUUAAUUUGAAAGAUCUUGGGGAAGGACAUUUGACUGAUGAUAAUUCAUUCUUACGUCAAACUUCAAAAGGAAUUUAGUAUAACUCCAGGGAAAUAAGAAGAGUCAGGUAAGAUCCUGGGAAAAGACCUGUGGGUUAGGGCCCACUCGAAAGAAAAACACCGUUGAAAUGAUUUUAAAAGGGAGGUUGCAUCGGUUGAAAUAAAUGGCUAGAAUGAUAUAACAUCCUCGAAAGAGCUUGAACGAAUGCAGAGUGGAAACAAGAAUCUUCGAGAUAUCUUGAGCACCCCGAAACAAUUGAAUAGCGAGAAGUGAACGAUUAAGAACUACACCGGCAUGAGAAAAAAACAUUGAAAUACGGAAAAGGAGUAUGAUCAACACCGAAAGCUUGAAUUGGUUCCACCGGAGAAGAAAAGAACAAAGAAUGAUAAAUUUGAAGCUCCGUUAGAAUAUUCAUGAGAAUCACCGGAUAAGAAUAUUGAUAGAAAAGAAUGGGGAGACUUCACAUGAAUAAAAUGAUACUUGAUUAAGACAUCCGAAUCCUUGACGAAAAAGGGUGGGUGGGCGGGAAAAACAAAGGCAACUUGGAGAUGGAUGAAACAAACACCGUUGAGAAGAAGUGAUAAUUGAUCUUGCGGAAGUUGAAAUGAUCAGAUCCACUUGAGGAGAGACACACCGGUUGAAAAAAAUUAACAAAAACAAUCUUGACGAUCAAGAAGGAUUGGUAUUCACAUCGGAGUAUGAGAACACCAUUUAGGAAAAGGUAUGGAAUCAACAUUUGACUUCGAAGCAACUCGAAUACCACAACUCAAAAUAAAACCAAGGAUUGGCUUGCGGAAUAAGCCGGAGCAAACAUAUGAUAGAGAUUUCGUCCGAAGUUUUUGUGGUGGGACCUACACGGUCUCGAUCGUAUAGCACCAUCAUGUACAAGGCAGUGCACAUGACAUACGAAGCGUCCCCGAGUCAGCAUAGCCAAGGACUCUUUAAGACACAACGCGACCACUGUAAAAUCGACCGUGAAUAGGCGAACCACUAGACGUCGAACCCCAAUUUCAUAUCAUACAUCUGUCAGAAAGAAAUCCUAAGAGCUACUUGAAUUCCCACCUAUGAAAUUCCCGAAAUUUUCCGGUUAUGCAAUCAGGUGUUGAGGAUAUAGGGGAAGCAUAAUAUCUCACCCAAGCUAGCAAAUCCUACAUCCAGCUGCAUCCAUCCUUCAACACAUAACCAAGAAACCUUCGGAAACCAUCUAUCUCAACCUUCGAAAAGCAUCCGUUAUACAAGUUAUGGCGAUACUCUUGAACUCCCGCCCCAGUACUGGGUGGCGUCGAGGUUAUCUCACCAACGAACUGCAUAAAGGAGAUUUUCGAUGUCGCGAACAUAUCUCAAGUAUUCAAGAAUUGCAAUGAUAAAAUUAUGAUGACAACACCUCAGAGCUCAACUCCCCGGGACACUUCCACUAAACCCCUGACAGGAGGCACCAAGACAGUAUUCUCAUCAUAAGCCAUCGGAACAAAACCAAGAUACUCGCGUGAUCCUAAAAAAAAUUUUAGUGAAAUUUGAGAAGAGAAGAGUCAAAACUCUACGUCAGGAUGCCUCACCAGAGCGACGAAGGGACUGGGAAGUAAAAAUAAUUCCUAAACUCUCCGAUAUAUAAUUCCUAAGGACUCAAAACAUUAUUCUAGACACAACUCGGCUGCUAAAAACGAUCAAGCAAUGGGGCUCCUAAGGUCGGGGAAGGCUCUGAUUACCAACUUGUAACACCCUCGAUGCGACUAUAUCUCCCACGUGUCGAGGCACGACUUAGAGGCAUAAUCGCAUUGAAGGCAUAUGUCGCAAGUGAGGUAAUCUUCGCACAACCCAUGUAAUAUAAUAAGGGGAAAAGAUAUAUAGUUGGCUUACAAUCGCCACUUCACACAAUUACAUGAAUAAACAUUACAUCAAUCAAAUACACUCAUGGUCCGACUACGGAACCAAAAUAAAAGAAGAACCCCAAAUGCGACAAAGGUCCCCGAUCGACCCCAACUGGGCUCCACUACUGAUCAACUAGAACGAAACAACAUAAGGACAAGAUCUUCAUCGAGCUCCUCCUGAGCUUGGUAGCAUCAUCUGCACGGUCUCAUCGGCACCUGCAAGCUGGUUUUGGAAGUAUCUGUGAGCCACAGGGACUCAGCAAUCUCGCACCCUCGCGAUCAAGACUAUUUAAGCUUAUGGGUAAGGUAAAGGUAUGAGGUGGAGCUGCAGCAAGCGACUAGCAUAUAUGGUGGCUAACAUACGCAAAUGAGAGCGAGAAGAGAAGGCAAAGCACGGUCGAUAAAGUAUGAUCAAGAAGUGAUCCUGGACUACCUACGUCAAGCAUAACUCCAACAACCGUGUUCACUUCCCGGACUCCACCGGAAAGAGACCAUCACGGUUACACACGCAGUUGAUUCAUUUUAAUUAAGGUCAACUUUAGGUUUUCUACAACCGGACGUUAACAAAUUCCCAUCUGCCCAUAACCGCGGGCACGGCUUUCGAAAGAUCAAAUCCCUGCAGGGGUGUCCCAACUUAGCCCACGACAAGCUCUCAUGGUCAACGAAGGAAUAGACCUCCUCCCGAGACAUUCCGAUCAGACUCGGUAUCCCGGUACUCCAAGACAUCCUCGACAAUGGUAAAACAAGUCCAGCAAAACCACCCGAUGCGCCGACAUCCCGAUGGGAGCUGCACAUAUCUCGUUCUCAGGGCACACCGGAUAAGCUAAGCGUACAGGAGCCGACGUAACCCAAGUUGCCAAGGGAUGGCCAUGCACGGUGCUCUGGGUUGGGCCAACACUUAGACAAGCACUGGCCCGGGGGUUAAAAUAAGAUGACCCUUGGGCUGGCCUAACCCAAGGGAAAAAGAGGCUAGGUGGCAAAUGGUAAAACCAAGGUUGGGCCUUGCUGGAGGAGUUUUAUUCAAAGCGAACUAUCAAGGGGUUCCCAUAUACCCAACCGCGUAAGGGACGCAAAAUCCGGGAACAUAACACCGAUAUAACGGAAACUAGGGCGGCAAGAGUGGAACAAAACACCAGGCAUAAGGCCGAGCCUUCCAACCUUUACCAAGUAUAUAGAUGCAUUAAUUAAAUAAGAUAUAUAGUGAUAUCCCAACAAGUAAACAUGUCCCAACAAGGAACAACAUCUCCAUGUUCCAACAAGGAACAAACUUCAAUCUUCACCUGCAACUAACAACGCUAUAAGAGGGGCUGAGCAAAGCGGUAACCUAGCCAAUCAACGGUUUGCUAGGACAUAGGAGGGUUAGGGGCUGAACAUGGCAAUUUGGGAGGCUGACAAGCAAGUAGUAGGCAUCGUAGCAAUGGCAUAGCAAAAGAGCGAGCAAACUAGCAUAGCAAAGAUAGUAGUGAUUUCGAGGGUAUGAUCAUCUUGCCUGAAGUCCCGCAAGGAAGAAGAACGAGUCCAUGAAGGAGACAAACGGACGAAGAUGAACGGGUCCUCACAAACUCGACGUUACCGGAACCAACCCGAAGAAGCAAUCACCGGAAAAGAAGCACACAACAUAGUAAACAACCACCACAUAGGCAUGGCAUGAUGCGCAAACAAGAAUGAUGCAUGUCCGGUUUAAAGAGGCAUGGCAUGGCAAAAUGCACAAGCAAUCCUACAAAUUAAGUGGAGCUCAAUAUGCACCGGGAUGCAUAUUGACAAAACACCACAUCAAUUAUUUAGUUCUCUCUUGUUUAUGUACCCAACAAUAUUAAAUGUUAUUAAACAUGGCAAGAGGGGAAACAUGCUGAAACUAUCUAAUCUAGGCAAGUUUAAAUGAGGCCGGAAGCAACGAACAACAAUUCCGAAAAAUCCUCAUGUGCAAAUAUUAGGUUUGGUCCUGAUCUGUUCUAAACACAAUUUUAGAGUUGUUUAACAUGCAAAGUGAUGCCACCAUGAUAAACUAGGCAAAAUUCUACCCCAUUUACAUAUAAAGUUUAUUAAAAUCGGAGUUACGGUUAUUUAGAUAUGAAUAAAAUCAUUUUAGCAUGGCAUAGAGCAAAUUUAAUGCAAACAUCAUGUUAAACAUUUUAAACAUGGAUGAAAGUGGCAUAUUAUUAAUCUACACAGAAUUCUGAGCAAGUUUCAUAUAUAAAUUGUUUUAAUCCGAUGCACGGUUCAAGAGUUAUUAAAUGCAUGAACUAGGGGGACUAUACUGCAAAACUGCCAAUGCACUGGAUAAUGGACAAAUUCGCAGGACCCGAAAAAAAAUACAUAUCGGGCCGAAUCUGGCUUAGCCCAACAGCAAGGAAGGAAAAAAAAUAGAGAGGGGGGGCGCUGGGGCGGCUCACCCAGGGCCUGGCCCGGUUCGGGUAGAAGGAGGGAAGCAGGCCGGCCGGCGGCUCGCUGGAGAUGGGCCUGGACCACGAGGCGCUAGGCGCGGAUCUGGAGGUAGAGAUGGGCCGGGCUUGGCGCUGCGCUGGCCGGGAAGCUGGGCCGGCCCGCGAAGGAGGAGGAAGGCCAAACGAGGCCGACAGAUCUGGGCCUCAGCGAGGUCCACGGGGAAGGUCAACGAGGCGACAUGGAUCGGGCUCCUCCCGAUCCCGUCCGGUGGCGGCGGCGCUGUGAAGGAGCUCCGGCGAGGGCUGCGAAGGCCGGGGCGCACAGGAGGCGCCAGAAAUGAGUAGGUCGGCGGCAGGGCACAUGGAUCCGGGGCGGAGGAGGCUCAAGGACAACGGGGAGGCCGCAUUCGACGCGAGGACGGCCGAUCCGGCGAGACUCGUCCACUCAGGCGACGAGCACGAGGCAUGGGACUCCGGCGAGGUGUAGGAAGACCUCCGGCAAGGCAGGGAGACAAAGGAGCACCGGAUCCGGCGGGGCUCGGCUCCCCGGGGCCGGAUCUGGCCAAGACGAGACGGCGGCGCUAAAUUCCCCAGGUGGAGGUCGCCGGCGGCAGCACUGGUGACCGGAAGAAGGCGAUGAAGCGCGAGGCGGCGCGGGGAGGCUGGCGGUGGCGCUGGGCGGCGGGGAAGAGUAGCGCUCCGGCUCCCUCCCGAUCCAGGUGGGAUCGAGGAGGACCAGCCUUGGUGGCUGCGAGCGAAGGGGCUCUAGCCCAGGCGGGCCUCGGUUGGGCCAGGCGGGCCGUGGGGCUGGUGGAGGCGCUAGGCGCGACGUGGCAGCGCCUGCUUGGCUGCGCGCGUCGCCGGCGGCGGGCUGGCCGAUGGGGGCGCGACAAGUGGCGGAGAAGGGGCGGCCGGCGCUGAAAAUGAGGUGGGAGGUGGCGGCUGAGGGUAGGGGGAGGCUAGGUUGCCUGAAAUGGACAAGGGGGUGUCCAUAUAUAGCCAAAAGAGCUAGGGUUAGGGGAUUUAGGGGGGUUUUAGGAGCGUUUCGGAGCCUCCAAUCGCGAUCUGACGGUCCGAAACAGAGGGGGGUUUAGGUGGGCUGCAAGAGUGGAAGUGGACUGUGGAGAGCGGGUUGUGCUGAGAGAAGAGAAGAGAGAGAGAGACCCGGCGACUGUCUCCGGAGACCGAAAACGUCCGACGUUAGACCGGCUACUAUUGCCGCUAUAUUUACCCGUUGGGGCGUCAAACGAACUCCGAUUGCGAUGAAACUUGACAGGCGGUCUGUCUAUACUAUAAUAAGACCGCACACCAAAUUUCAACCCAAUCCGAGAACAUUUUCCGGCCACUUAUAAAAUAAUAUUUCGGACAUGCCGCGGACGCGUGCAAGUGUGUCUAGACUCAGAACGGACAACGGAGAAAACGAGGAGGCCGGGAUGGAUGCAAGUUUUGAAAACAUGAAGAUGCAAUGCACAUGAUGACAUGAUAAGAUGCAACACGCAAGCAAAUGACAUGGCAACGACGGCGAAUAACGGGAAGACACGUGGCACAUCGGUCUCGGAGCGUUACAAACGCGUGGGCCGUUUUGCUAUAUAUAGUAGCUAAUAUAAACUCAGGAAUCAGCAGCAAAAGUUCUUUCAAGUCUCUUCCAGGCCGAAUUAGAGAUGGGAAACGAUAUGCCUUCCAAGCGCAUGUGUGCGUCCGGACGGAGAGGGGAAGCACAAGUAGUCGGUUUUGGACUGGAUUACCAACUGGACUCCUGCACGAAUAUAAAUCUCUGGCAUUCGAGUCGGACAGUACCAUAGGCUGAUGGAUAGGGGACCGGCUACUGGUCAAUCACCUGAUUUUGGGAAAUGGGCCAGUCGAUUCCUAACCAAUCGACUGAACCAAAAUUGUGGUCAGCCAAUUUUAGUGUUAUAGCACACCUUAAGUCUUUCUGCAUAUAAAACCAACAAAGGCUCACAAGACUUCAUGGGCCAAUGCAAAACAAUGGCCCGUUGAUAAACAAAAACAAAAAUAGAGAAAACAAACAAAAAUGCAGACAACUUGCAAAAAAAAUUGCACAUUUGUACGAUAUGCAAAAAUAAGCAUAUAGGAGUGCAAUUUAUGCAAAAAAGAAAUUUUGUAAGAAGGAAUGAAUUAUUUAUUUUAUAUUUGCAAUCUCACACAUGUAUAUUUAGUUUUAUAGAUGCAUACAAUACAUAUAUGCAUAGGAAUAUAUCAAGGGCCUCUUUGAUUCAUAGGAUUUUGAAAACGUAGGAAUAGGAAAAGCGUAGGGUUGGAGUGGCAAUGCCCAUUUGAAUCCUAUAGAAUUAGCAGUGAUUGUUUGAUGUCACGGGAAAAACAAAGGAAUUGUAAAAAGAGGUUGGAUUGGAUGUUAAAUUUCCUAUGAAAUGUAGUACAAAAGAUUCCAUAGGAAAAAUUCCUAUGGGAUCCAAUCCUAUGAAUCAAAGGACCAACAUAGGAAAAAAAUCCUAAGGAUUUCAAUCCUCCAGAAAUCCUAUAAAAUUCCUUUGAAUCAAAGAAGCCCCAAAAUGUAUUAUUAUGAUGAAAAAUAAGCAUACACUAGUGAGAUUUCCGCGAAAAAUAGUGUUUACUAAAAAGUAAUGGAUUGUAACAUCGGUAUUACCUUUACAAAUAAAAUAAAAUGAAAACUAAAACAAAAUAAUAAAUAAUAAAUUAGUGGCAUUGGCAUUUGAUCGACGGUGUCUCUACUUCUCCGGAUCAAAAUAAUGAAUAUCGGUAUUACCGUUUAAGAAGAAAGAAAAGUAAAAAAACAAUAAUGAUAAAAUUUGUACACAGUUUGAAUAGAAAUUGCACUUUUUUAUAAUACGCAAGAAUAAGCACAAAUGGUGAAAUUUCACAAAAAAAUUCCUAAGUAGGAAUGAAUUAGAGGUAUUGGUAUUACCCUUAAGAAAUAAAGAAAAUAAAAUAAAAACUUAAACAAAAUUACAAUAGUGAAGUUUUCUAAGAAACAAUGAAUUAGUGUCAUUGGUUUAUUGUUAAGAAGAAAGGUACUGAAAAUAAUAAAACAAAUAAUGAAAUAAUCUGUAAACAAUUUGCACAAAAGUUGUGCAUUUUUAGUGUGCAUAUAAUCAUGAAUUUUUGGCACAUAUUAUAUUCUAUUUGUUUGUAUAUAAUUACACUCAGCCAAAAACCCACAAAAAACAAAAAUAACCAAUAAAGGAAAGAAAGAGGGAAAAAGAAAAACCCAUAGAAACAAACAGAAAAAAAAGGGAAGCAAAAAUACCCUAAAAUAGGAAAGAAAAUGAUACAAAAAACUAAAAGUAUACUGUGACAAAAUUUGCAUAUAAUCUGCACAUAAAUUGCGCUUUGUUAUAAUAAGCAAGAAUAAGCACAUAAUAGUGAACUUUUUCCCAAAAAGAAAAUUUUCUAAAGAAAGAACGAAUUAGUGGCAUUGAUAUUUGAUCCAUGGUGUCUCUACUUCUCCAGAUCAAAAUAAUGAAUUAGUGGUAUGGGUACUACCUUUUAAGAAGAAAGAAAAGUAAAAAAACAACAAUGACAAAAUUUGCACAAGGCUUGAAUAGAAAAUGCGCUUUUUUUCUAAUAUGCAGGAAUAAGCACAAAUAGUGAAAAUUCACAAAAAAAAAUCCAAAGUAGGAAUGAGUAGGUAUUGGUAUUACCCUUAAAGAAUAAAGAAAAUGAAAUAAAAACUUAAACCAAAUUAAAAUAGUGAUUUUUUUGUAAGAAACAAUGAAUUAGUGUCAUUGAUUUCCCAUUAAGACAAAAGGAACUGAAAAUAAUAAAACAAAUAAUAAAAUAUUUAGCGAACAAUUUGCACAGAAGUUGCGCAUUUUUAAAAUAUGCAGGAAUAAGAAUAUAAUAGUGUAAUUUUCACAAAAAGGAAGUUUCCCGAGAAGCAAUGAAUUUGUGGCGUUGGUCUUAUCAUUAAAGGAUAAGGAAAUAAAAUAAUACUAAAAAACUGAAAUACCAAAGUUUUCAAGAAAGAAUGAAUUAGUGGCUUACGUAUUACUCUUUAAGAAAAAAUAAAAUGGCAUAGAAACUAGAACAAAAUCAAAACAACGAGGUUUCUAAGGAAGAAACUAGAACUAAAACAAAAUCAAAAUAAUAAGUUUUUUUAAGAAAGAAUAAAUUUGUGUCAUUAAUUUUACUCUUUAAGAAAAACAAAAACAAAUUAAUUAAUUAAAAUAAGGAAGAAUGAAUUAGUAGCAUUACUAUUACCUAUUAAAAAUAAAAAUAAAAGUUUGCAAAACUUGCACACAACUUCGCUCUUAAAUUACACUAAUUUAGUAGGCAAACAAUAAUUAUAUAGUAGCGCAAUUUUCGCACAUAUUGCAAAUUAUUUAAGUGUGUACAUUACAUUCACCCAACAUCCCAGAAAAUAUCAAGAAAAUAAAAAAAACCAACUAACAAAGAGAAACAAAAAAACAAAAGUAAGAGCACAUAAAAAUAAAAAGAUAUUUAAAAAACGAAGAGGGAGAGAGGAGGGCUGGUACGCACAAUUGAUGGGCUCUGGCUCAGAAGGAAAUCGACUGGCUCAAAUAAGGGGCCAGACAAAAAAAGAAACCCACACAACAAACAACAUAGGUCAGGAAAAAAAACGCAGCACGAAUGUCAGAGAAAAAUCAAUGGUCACAAAAUUGACUGAUCCAAAAGUGAUAUUUCAGCUGACUAAAAUGUACUCCCUUUGUCCGGAAAUACUUGUCCUAGAAAUGGAUAAAAUGGAUAUAUCUAUAAUUAAAAUAAGUCUAGAUACAACCAUUUCGAGGACAAGUAUUUUCGGACGAAGGGAAUAGCUAAAGUGGAUGAAUACAUAUAUACGGGGACGCCGGCGCCUGGUCAACCACGUACCAACGACGACAUAACCCGUUUGCCGCGACACAGGACGAACAAAUUCACGAUGUGCUCCGUGGCCGGAACGAGGCAUGCCCUUCCUCCUAGGAAGGCGCCGAGCUACGCAGGCUGCAAGCGGACGCUUGCGGGCGCUCUGAUGGUGCCACCACACCUGGCCGACGAGCCCAUCGAGGCCGUGCCGCUGGCCGUCUCCUCUCCCAAGGACAAGGAGAGAGCCGAGCCGCGGACCCGCGGUGGAUACGCGCGCCUGCUCCCCUACCUGAGGCUCCGUGUUAACCCGCCGAAAAUAUAUAUUAGAGCACAUGCACCAGGUCCUUUUUAUCUAGUCAUUCAUUUUCUGUUUUAAGAUUCAUGCAAAUACAUUUUUCUUUUUUGUUUCUUCCACAUGAAACAUAUCUUGAAGUUCAAACCUAUGUAGUGUGGCAAAGCUUUUUAAAUAGAAUCUAGGAUAAAUAUUUUAGAUUUUCUUGUCAAAUAUAAAUGUACAAAAUACGUAUUGUUUGAUUAAAAAAUCAUAUUUUUAGUAUUUAUGUUGGACAAAAAAUUCUGAAAGAUUUAUCCUAGAUUCUAGUUAGAAAGCUUUGCCACGCUGCAUAGGUUUGAACUUCAAAAUAUGUUCUAUGUGAGAGAAACAAAAAAGAAAAAAAUUUAUAUAAAAAGUUAGUUGUGUCACACGGAUCUUAAAGCGAUAUUGAAGAGUUAGAUAGCAGAGCCUGGGUGCAAGGGCUCUAAAAAUCCAUGUCCGUUAACCUGCCCGUGCACUUCAUCGACGAGAAGACGGUGACCGCCACCGAAGUGGACCCGCAGCAAAACCGGUUCCGCCUCCCGGUCGACGGCGUGAUGCGCAACCUCCGCCCGGUCCUCUCCACCCUCGACCUCCAGGCCGCCAACCUGCUGCACGACGAAACCCUGAGGCCAAGGCUGCCCAAGCUCGUCCCUGCCCUUGGGGCUGGGGAGGAGAAGGCGGUGAGGAAGAAGAGACGGGGGAGGAAGCACGGCGACAAAACUUUGACCUCUUUUGAAGAAAAGACAAAAAUUUGGCCAAAAUAGUGUGAAUAGUGAGCUAUAAUAGCAAAUAAAAAAUUUGCCCUGAAGUCAAGGCUGGAUUUUUAUACGUGAAAAUUUAUAUACUAGUGCAAAAGAAAGUGAAGUUUAUGCUAAAAAAACUUCUGAACUAUUUUUGACUUGUUGUAACUAAUUAAAAAAAUCCAUAUACGGUGUUUUGGAGGAUUUUUUGCAAAAAAAUAAUUCGAAAAUGAUAUUUUCAGGUUUUAAAAAAUUAAAAUAAUCCUGUCAAAAGUUGUACAUAUUUGCGGCGGGUCAGUAAAUUUUCGUUCAAAAUAUUAUGAUUUGCAUGUUGUGCAAAAAAAAUUCCUGGCCUAUAACAACAACAAAAAUUGGACAAUUUUCAUGUACGUAUUUGUCUUUUUUCCCUAUGCCAUAUGAAAGUAUAUUGUUAUAAAACAUUUUCUCGAACAUGCUAUGCAUUUAUUUCUAUAUCAGGGUUUUUUUGCGCUAUGAAAGCAUGAUAUUUCCGAGCCCGGCCUCUAUUGGUCAUUUCCAAAGGGCCCCCCUUUUGAAGUGCCCCUACACUAUUAGCACUUGGAACAUGGUCAGGUCUUGGUCAGGGUUUUUGCAAUGGUCGGUCUCAGUGGCGGGAUUCGGCGGCAGUUAUCUAUACUAAGUCUCUUGAUGUUGCAAAAUUAAUUAGGAAGGUCAAGUUUAAGCAUUAUAUUAGAAGAGUUAAUGUAGUGGCUCAUGAGCUAGCAAAGUUUAAUUUUUUUAAAAAGAUUUCUAAUUAUUGGAACGAUGAUCCUCCAAACUUCCUACUUGAGUGAUCUCAAAUUAUGUAAUUAUUAUUUGAAUUUCAAUAAAGCUAGCAAUGAUUGUCUUCCCUCAAAAAAAAAAUCUUGGUCAGGUUUUUCGUUUUUUACCUUCACUCGAGCGAUUGGAGUCAAAUGAGAGAUGUUGUGGAGAGUGGUCUAUCGGGCUGGGGCGGCCAGGAGAGUAGUCUUUUUAUUUUUGUCACAACCUUGUUGUUGUUUCUUAUGUUUGUGACAGUCUCUUACUUAAUACUCCCUUCUACUAAAGUUGAGACACUUAUUUUAGUUCCCGCCAAAAAAGGCAUUUAUUUUAGGACAAAGGGAGUGGUAGAUUGAGGCUCUUUGCAACAACAAAAAAGAUUGAUGCAAAGUUUUCUCCUCUACUAUCCAAAGAAAAGAAAAGGGUUUAGCUCUCCAAGAAAUGUCAUUGCAAUUUUGUUCCUGUAUUUAUUUAUUUUUUGAAACAGAGGCAAAAGCUUUGCUUCAUCUCGUUAAGAAAGAAGGAGUAUAAAACAAAGUCUCAAUGAGGGCCACUACUCCUCAACAAAUGUGAAAACAAAAAGGACUGCUCUCGCGGCAUUAAGAAUCCUAAGUGUUUAGCCCCGGCCAAAACCCAAUUUCUGGCCUCCACCUUGAUGCCCUCUAGCACCAUGGUAGACAUUGAGGAUUUCUUCUCGAACACCCUCGUGUUUCUCUCUUUCCAAACCUCCCAAGAGACUAGCAUUAUAAGCAAAGAGGUCGCCUUCCUCCGGUGUCCGCGACUAAGGGCCGUUCUAGUCCAGCACUCAUGGACCGAAGAGAUUCCAGCCCAGUCGGCGGUGUCAAGCUCCGGUGUGUCAAGCCAACAUCUCACCACAUUCCAAAUGCACAUGGAGAACCUACACUGAAACAUAAUAUGUGCCACCGUCUCUGGCUCCCUCUUGCAGAGUUGGCAUAAAUUAUAAUUUGGCUACCAUCGCCGCUGUAGUCGGUCCGCCUUCCAAAUCAUGUUCUCGUUGAUGAGCCACACGAAAAACUUGCACUUGGAGGGGGGGGGGGCAGUUUCCCCAUACCACUUUCUUCAUGUUGGUUGCCACCGCCCCUUCAAAUUGCGCCAUGUAGUACGAGGCGGACGAGUAUGUGCCAUUGGUUGUGAGGUUCCACUUGAAGUCAUCGGCUAGGUCAUCCCGAAGUUCAACCUGGCUAAGCUUCUCCCAAAGCGUGCAGAACGGUGCAAUAUGGUAAACCGAAGGCCCAUCCUCCAUGUUAAUCCAGUGUACCAAAUUUUGAUCCUGCGUGGCCUCCUUUACAGAUUUGUUCUUGUUGGAUGAGCUCGCGAACACGAGCGGGGCGAUGUCCUUGGGCUUCUAUCCUUCUAGCCAUGGGGAGUGCCAAAAAUGUGUCGUCCGACCGUCCCCCCACGGUGAUAGUUGUCGCCUCAUAAAAGAGCUCUCUAUCCGUGGAGUCGCAUGGGUUUCCCAUGCCCACCCAAGGUCUAUCGGGUUCCUUCCAUUCGUACCAUAGCCAUCUUAGGCGCAAAGCUCCCGCAUAUAAGUGAAGGUCGAGGACUCCCAAACCGCCCAGGCUCUUUGGUCUGCACACGGCCUUCCGGUUGACCUUGCAUUGCCCACCAAAGACCUUCUCAGCUCCCUCCCAAAGGAAGGCCCUCUCAAGCUUAUUGAGAUUGCACAAAGUACUCUCAGGGAGUUUAAUCGGUGUGGCAUGGAAAGUGGUCUGGGAUGUGGUCACUGAUCUAACCAACUCGGCUCGCCCAGCCGCCGUGAUGAACCGGCCUGCCAAGGUACCAACUUCCCUGCAGCUUUGUCCACUAAGUGUUGAAGAUCUUGUUAGAAACCCAGGCCUAGCUCCCGGUCCAUCGGCAUAUGUUCGGAUGUUUUCGGUGCGCAUCGGACACUCCACUAUAAGCGGAGAGCCCACUACAUCCCAAAAGACUGGCCUGAAGGGAGUGUGGCACUCUCCCUUAUAAGGAGGUCCUAGCCUCCUCCCAUAUCCGAGGUGGGACUAAAGUCACCGGUGUUGCCCAAGGUCAGGUUCCUGACACCCCGCCCCCCUAGAGAAAGCCCCCUUAGGGUGGCGUGGGGCCCAACUCUGAUACCACUUGUUAGCAACCCCGGCCCAUCGGCAUAUGUUCGGACGUUUCCAGUGCGCAUCAGACACUCCACUACAAGCGGAGAGCCCACUACAUCCCAAAAGACCGGCCUGAAGGGAGUGUGGAACUCUCCCUUAUAAGGAGGUCCUAGCCUCCUCCCAUAUCCGAGGUAGGACUAAAGUCAUUGGCGUUGCCCAAGGUCAGAUUCCUGACACCGUGAUGAACCAACUCGGCGGGACCAACUUGGCUCGCCCAGCCGCCGUGAUGAACCGGCCCUGCCAAGGUACCAACUUCCCUUUGGCUUUGUCCACUAAGUGUUGAAGAUCGAUUUUCCUGAGCCGGUGGACGGACAAUGGGAGGCCGAGGUCGUUUUUCUGUCAUUGUAUGGAUGAAAUCCCUGGUUCAAACCGGUGUAUAUAAUUGGUUCAAACAUAUAACCAAUGCAUGGAUGAGUUUCCUUGGAUCCAGGCAUUUAAUUGUUUUGUUUGGUGCAUCUACGUGGCUUGUUUUCAGUUUAUGUACAAUCUUUUUCUAGAUAGGGUAUACGAUGACAUGAUAUAUGUCACUUGGCCUGCUGAAAUCAGUCUCUACAUAUUUGAAGCGCAUUUGUCCUAAUUAGGCCCUGGCAUUCUUAAGCAAGCAAUUAGCCAUCAACAAGCCUUUUUUUUAGAGAGCAACGCUGACCCUUGCAUCCUGGAGCUUCUGGUACAGAUGCAUGAAAAUGUUGAAAGAAAAGCUGAACCCACUCUUACACAAGCAAAAUAAAGUCUUGUCCUGAAUUCCAUAGCCGGAUCAACAAGGGAGCGUUUUCCUUAGUGGGCACACUUGCAGUAGGCAAACCGCCUACUGUUUUCUCAAAGGCAAUGGGCAGAGUUCCUUCUCAAAAUCAAAGGUGCAGAGUUCCAUUCAACCUUUUUUUUAAUUUAUUUUUUAUUUUGGAAAGGAAUAAGAUCGAUUCCACUCAGACUUUGGCUCCUAGCAAUCUCGCUAGUCACCACACCAGCAACACAGUCAGGGGCAACAUCUGCUCAAACGCCUGCAGACCGAGCUGCGGAAGCAAAUGUGCAGCAGUAUUACAGUUUCUACUGUAGAAAAUGAAGUCUGAGACAUCUAGGGUCAGUUGAAGCAAAGGAUCACCUCUGUUUCAGUUGUCAGUUUGCAAAGACCUCCUAGUUAUGCCCUGGCAUUAAUCUGGGAUUUGAUUUUUUUUGAUAGUAUUUCAAACUCUGAAGCUAAUCUUCUUUUAUGAACAUCAUCACUGUUGGGGCAUCUGGGUUACCAAGACAUGAGUGACCACAUUUUCAAAGGAUUAGUGCAGCGUGCAGCCCAGCCUUUCAUAGAUACCUAAAAGUUAGAUAAUUCAGAUGAUUAAUCCAUAGAUUUGCACCCUGAACUUGAUGCUACAUUGGGUACUUGAAUACUAACUGAAUCUAUUCUGUAUUUUACUAUGUACAUGUGGAACAAUAACUGAAUCUAAUCGCCAGCUGAAAAGAAAAGAAAGUAAAAAAGAUUUGUGGAGUCUGUCAGACAACCACUAGGCCACCCUGGAGAGGCAUGAGCCAAUUCAGGAACGAUCCUCUACAGCCGUUGGAUUGAUCCCAUCAGGAUAAAACCCGGGCCGUUAAUCACGCUCUGGACCAGAGGUUAGAAUGCAUCAACCAGACUGAAGUGCUUGCCUCCUUAUUGGUAAAGGAUGCAGCGGUACGAGCCUAUAGAACAGAUCCUGUUCAAGUAAGGUCGUGCUUCCUUCAGCUGUGCCACGCCUUAUAAACCACCCCGUUGUCGUAUAAACUAGCGAGGUGGGACUAAUUAAGUAGAGUAGGCACAUGCAGCAGCGCCUCCUCAGGCAGAGCUUGAAAGAAGGGUCCGUGGCCCAUGUAGUUUGGCACGAGAAUGAGCAAAGCCCGGCCCAUCCAUCAGAGAAACAUUCAGCUGUGAGCCUGUGAAGAUUUCGAUCUAGUUUAAAUAUCUGGCAAAUGCUGCAGAGUCCGUACUUUUAAUGCACAAUUUCGAACAAUGCUUACUGUAACUUUUUUUUAUGACGCCUGGUUUUUGUUACCUUUACCUUUUAUACAAAAUUAAAUUACAGUCGGCCAUUACCAAAGUAACAGACAUAGUGCCAGAUUGGAGAGAAGAAGAAGGCGGCGACAACGGAACGUCACAUACAGAAGAAAAAUCUAUCGACUGAGUAGCACAGCCCUAUGCUAUUUGGUUUUGGCCUGGGAGGCUGUCACUUGGCCUGCUGAAAUCAGUCUCCAUAUUUGAAGCGCAAUUGUCCUAAUUAGGCCCUGGCAUUCUUAAGCAAGCAAUUAGCACUCUUGCCUCCUGAAGCUUCUGGUAACGGAUGCAUGAAAGUGUUGAAUGAAAAGCUGAACUCAGUCUUCCACAAGCAAAAGAAAGUCCUGUUCUGAAUUCCACAGCAUUUUCCUUACUGAGCAUACUUGCAGUAGGCAAACCACCUACUGUUUUCUCAAAGGCAAUGAGCAGAGUUCCUUCUCAGAAUCAAAGGUGCAGAGUUCCAGUCAACCUUCUUUAUCUGGCUGCUACUGAGAGACAGACUGAAUAAAAAGCACCAUGUUGCAAAGGAAGAACUUCUUUCUGCCAUCUUACCACGGUGUCAUGUGUGGUCUUCAGACAGUUUUUUAUUUUGCUUUUUGAACGGAGUAAGGUCUAUUCCGCUCAGACUUGUUCCUAGCAAUCUUGCUACUCACCACACCAGCAACAUCUGCCCAAACGGUGAGAGGCACGGACGCCUUCAGACCGAACUGCGCAAGCAAAUGUGCAUCAGUAUUACAGUUUCUACUGCAGAAAACGAAAGGAUCAUCUCUGUUUCAGUUGUCAGUUUGCAAAGUCUUCCAACCUAUUUUUGGUAAUAUUUCAAACUAAGGAAGCACUAAUUUUAUUUUUAUGAACAUCAUCACUGCUGGAGCAUCUGGGUUACCAGGACAUGAGUAAUCACAUCUUCAAAUGAUUACUGCAGCCCAUCCUUAAUAUUCUGUAUUAGCCUGUGCACAUGGAACAACAACUGAAUUUAUUCUAGAUUUACUGCAGCCCCAGCCUUCAUAUUCUGUAUUAGCUUGCACACAUGGAAGAACAAUUGAAUUUAUUCUGGAUUAACAACAACUGAAUCUAAUCGCCAGAUCCUAGCUCUACAGCCAAAAAGAGCUGGAGAAAAAAAAAGAAUUGAGGAGUCUGUCAGACAACCUCUGAGCCACCCUGCACUAGUGUGAGCCACCAGGCAGGAACGAUCCUCUACAGCCGUCAGAUGGCACCCAUCAGGUGAUCCUAGCCGUUAAUCACGCUCUGGCCCAGAGGUGAGAAUGCAUCAACCAGACUGAAGUGCUUGCCUCCUUAUUGGUGAAGGAUGCAGCGGUACGAGCCUAUAGAACAGAUCCUGUUCAAGUAAGGUCGUGUUACAUCAAGCAGCGUCACGCCUUAUAAACCACUCUAGCGUCGUCUAAGCUAGCGAGGUGGGACUAAUUAGAAAGCAGGCAUGCAGGCAUGCAGUGCUGCGCUUCCUCGAGCAGAGAGCAGAGCAUCGAAGAAGGGUCCUUGGCCAAUGUAGCUGGGCACGCGAAUGACCAAAGCCCAGCCCAUCAGAGAAACGUUUAGCUGUGCAGAUUUUGAACUACUUUUAAUGCAUACCCUUUUUGUUUUCUUUAGCUUUUAUGCGAAAUGAAAUUACAGUCGGCCAUCACAAAAGUAGCAGAUAUAUUUAUGCCAAGCUAGAGAGAAGAGGAAAACAAAAAUACAAGAACAAAACUGAGAGAAAAACGGGCGUGUUGUAACUCUGAAACAUGACAGGCAGAACAUACACUAGUUUGUUAAAGUACUUACAUUUGUUGCAUUUACUGACCCAGCUAUUUCAAAUGUAGUACAGCGGGAAAACUACUUUCUGCAACUUUCAUUCGGCGACGCUCACGUCGUCCCCUACGUGGAUGAAAUGAAGCCCACUUUGGAACAUGGUUUCAAACUGAAACCCACUUUGCAACAUGGUUUCAACGGGAUGAAAUGAAGCCAAGAUGGGCAGGGGCAGUACCAAGAAACAGGAGCAUCAGCAAUGAUUAAUAGGUAUUAAUUUCUCAUCACGUCUCUGAAAAACAGGAUCAGUUCAUCAGGCAACAACGAACGCCGACAGCCUGAUCGAGAGCAGCACGUCGUCGGGGCCUUGCCUGGUGAACACAAAGCAAGUUUGUGCGUCUGUGUUCAAUUGUGGCUCCCAAGCACCACUGAUACAACUGGCGUCGGUCUAUCGGCAAGGGGCUCUAUUCUUCUUCUGCAGAUUGUGAUUCUUGUUUAACCUGAAAAAUAGAAUACUCUACAUGAGAGUGAAAAGAUGGUACAGACAGACAAUCGGAACAGGUGAUUUUCGUGUGAUACAAGUGGGUGCAGAAUGCAGACAUAAGGUACUUCUCGAAGGCGACGACUUCUCAUGCAUGGAUAAUUUUGUACUGAUCUUUUAUAUACUGAUUUUGCACUAAUGACAGAGCAAGAUCUCUGGACAUAUGAACUGGAAUUUCGUUCACCUGGAUACUCUUCUACCUCACAGGUGUAUCAAAUUAUGUACUCCGGCGGUCAUGAAACCCUCCUGCUUUUAAAUGAAGAAGGAAAUCUUGCUGUCAAAGGAAGCAUCAUUCUUUUUUACCGGCCACUGCUAAGUGACUGGGUGAAUACAGUCAAAACAAGGCUUCACCUCUGAUUCAGUUAGCAGUUUGCAAAUUCCUCCUAAUUGUGCCCUGGCAUUAAUCCAGGACAUGCUCUUUUGGAUAGUGUUUCAAACUCUUAAGCAAGCAAUUGAUAAUCUUUUUUAUGGGGGUUAACAGAACAUCAAAGGAUUGCUUUAAAAAUGUUGGAAGUUGUUGAAAGUUGAGCUGGACUUAGCUUUCCAUAGAGCUCUCUUUCUGAAUUGCCAGCCUCAUAUAUAUGCAAGCAAACCUAUAUGGAAAGUCUCCUGAAUUGCCGAUCCCUCAUGUAAACCUUUUUUUUUUGAAACCGAGGCAAAAGAUUUGCCUCAUAUAUUAAUUAAGUAGAUAAGAGGUUUUGUUACAAUAGGCACCCUUACACGGCAUGAGUGAUUACUCGUGCAAAAUAAUGGCCCCUAAUUUCAUGUAAACCUAUUUGGAACUCUGUACAUACUCAGGAACGAUCCUCUACAGCCGUUGGAUGCACCCAUCAGAUGAACCCAGGCCGUUAAUCACACUCUUGCCUCCUUAGAACAGAUCCUGCUCAAGUAAGGUCCUUUUAAACUGGUUUAGCGGCGCCUAAACUAGCGAGAUGGGACUAAUCGCAGCGGCAUGCAGCAGCGCCGCGCUUCCUCUCGUUCUCUGUUCCUUUCUAUCUGAAAAAUGCGGCAUGGCUUUGAUCAAUGCCAACUUUAUUUUCUUCAUGAAAGCUAGUUAAACUAGUCUUAACCAGUGGGAAGACUACUUGCUGCAACUUCCAACACAAGCUUUGAAGAAACUCCAGCCACUUGUUUUUUAUCUCCAUUAUGAAAUCUCCAUUAUUUACUGCUUUUCUUCUACAGAACUUCAUCAUUACUCGAUCAAUUCCGUUCUACGGAACUUUAUUUGUACUCAAUCAAUUCCAUUUGUGAAAAUACUACUAGAUCAAAAAAUAGGAUGCAGCAACAACCAGAAACUGCAACAGAAGCGAGUACGACUGAAAGAGGCCACACAAGAGGUAUAGAUAAAACUGCAUCAUCUUUUCUUCAUCCGGCUAUAUAAUAACAAAACGAAAAAACAUCAGAAGGAAGUAACAGCAGCAGCAGCAAAGAGAGUUCUCUACAACUCGGCCAACAGACUAAUAACAGCAGUCUCCGCGAACAAACCCGACCACCCCCGACCACAACACAAAGUAAGUAGAGCACCAAUUAUCCAUGUCUCCUCCCCCCUACUAACCCAUUACAAAAAUUGGUUCCCCUUUUAAACCAUCUACAGCUCAUCAUGGUCCUCGUCGUCGACGCCGCCGUCGGCGCCCUCGCCGCCGGGAGCUCCGCCGGACCUCUGGUACACCGCCGACACGAUGGGGUUGCACACGGCCUCCACCUCCUUGAGCUUCUCCUCGUAGUCCUCCUUCUCGGCCGUCUGGUUCUCAUCCAGCCACUCGAGCGCCUCCUUGAGGGCCUCCUCCACCUUCUCCUUCUCCUCGCUCUCCAGCUUGUCUGCCAGCUUGUCCUUGUCGCCGACGGUGUUCUUCAUGUUGUAGACAUAGGUCUCGAGCUGGUUCCGGGCGUCGAUGCGCUCCUUCACCUUCUUGUCCUCCUCGGCGAACUCCUCCGCCUCCUUGACCAUCCGGUCGAUCUCCUCCUGGCUCAGGCGGCCCUUCUCGUUGGUGAUGGUGAUCUUCUCCGACUUGCCCGUGCCCUUGUCCUCGGCCUUCACGUUCAGGAUACCGUUGGCGUCAACCUCAAAGGUGACUUCGAUCUGAGGAGUGCCCCUGAAAGUUGAGUUGCAGACAACAACACACAAUCAGGAAACCUGACAUAUAUUGCACCAGAUGUUUAUAUUCACGUUAUCUCUGAAUUUGAUAGGUACAAACCUUGGAGCUGGGGGAAUGCCAGAAAGGUCAAACUUGCCGAGAAGACGGCAGUCCUUAGUCAUACUGCGCUCACCCUCAAAGACCUGAACACAGUAGCAGAUAUAUGUAAGAGUCAAGCUCCAGCAGACUGAUACUUGGAAGUUUCAGAGAGGGAAGCAGAUCGCUCAUUGUAUGUUACCUGGAUGGAGACGGUGGUCUGCUGGUCCUGGUAGGUGGUGAAAACCUGCGACUUCUUGGUGGGGAUGACAGUGUUCCUGGGGAUCAGCUUGGUCAUGACUCCUCCAACAGUCUCAAUACCGAGGGUGAGGGGCGCCACAUCGAGGAGGAGGAUAUCUGUAUAAAGAUCAGAUCACAGAAGUGUAAGUAGGAUGCUUCACACCAGCAGGUAAAGAGAAGAGGGUAGUAGUAAGAAGAUUCAUCCUACCCUUGGUCUCGUCACCGCCCUCGCCGCUCAAGAUGCUUCCCUGCACUGCAGCUCCGAAGGCAACAGCCUCAUCAGGGUUCACACCCUUGUUUGGCUCCUUGCCAUCAAAGUAGUCCCUGAGGAGCUGCUGGACCUUGGGAAUCCUGGUGCUGCCACCAACAAGAACAAUCUCGUGGAUCUGGGUCUUCUCGAGGCCAGCGUCAUCCAUGGCCUUCUUCACGGGUCCCAUGGUCUUGCGGAACAGGUCGUUGUUCAGCUCCUCGAACCUGGCACGGGUCAGUGGCUCCGAGAAAUCAGUCCCGUCGAAGAGGGACUCGAUCUCAACACGGACCUGGUGCUGGUUGCUGAGGGCUCUCUUGGCACGCUCAGCUUCCCUCCUCAGCUUUCCAAGAGCACGGUUGUCCUUGCUGAUGUCCUUGCCGUGCUUCUUCUUGAUCAACUUGAUGAAGUAAUCCAUGAUUCUGUGGUCAAAGUCCUCACCUGGAGAGAAUAUACAGCUAAGUUAUAUAUGGGCCAAUAAAAUGCACAACACACAGCUAAUGAGAUAAGACAAAUUAAUCAUGAUCACAUCAUUUGAGCUCCUUUGUCAAGUAAAGCAGUACAUAGUCAACUGAAAGAUUACUCAGGAGUGUUGUGUGACCAAUGAACAUCAAUUGCAAGAUGUGCCAUCAAAUUAUUUGUUCUAUAUUGAAAUAUUUAGGGAUAAUCAUGUCUUUAUUAAACGCCUAUAUAGCAGCAUCAUAUUGUCUAUAUGCAGUGCUCAGUCAAUCCCAAUGGCAUUGUAAUAAAACGUAUAGCAGCAAAUGACAAAGAAAAGUUGUUAUACCUCCAAGAUGGGUGUCACCGUUGGUGGCCAACACCUCAAAGACGCCAUUGUCAAUGGUCAAGAUACUGACAUCAAAAGUACCACCACCCAGGUCAAACACCAGGAUGUUCUUCUCGCCACCCCUCUUGUCCAAACCAUAGGCAAUAGCAGCAGCAGUGGGCUCAUUGAUGAUCCUAGCCACAUUGAGGCCAGCAAUCACUCCAGCAUCCUUGGUCGCCUGUCUCUGUGCAUCAUUGAAGUACGCUGAAAACAGGAACAAAUAGAAGUGAGCAAUGACAUUCAUAGAAUCAACAGUUCAAGUAAGCAACUGAAUUGCACCAUUACUAACCAGGAACAGUGACGACGGCGUCAUUGAUCUUCUUGCCAAGGUAUGCCUCAGCAGUCUCCUUCAUCUUUCCAAGAAUCAUAGCACUGAUCUCCUCAGGGCUGAAGACCUUGGUCUCUCCAUCCUUGAUCUUGACCUGAAUGUAAGGCUUCCCCUCCUUGUUCACAAUCUUGUAGGGGACAAGUUUCAUGUCCCUCUGGACCUCCUUGUCCUCAAACCUGGAAGAAAAUGUUAAAAGGUCAGGCACCACAAAUCAACACAACACAAGGAUGCUUAAGCGGAAGAACAGGAAAGCAGUAUUACUUUCUCCCAAUGAGACGCUUGACGUCAAAGACGGUCCUCUCAGGGUUGACAGCCGCCUGGUUCUUGGCAGCCUCACCGAUGAGCCUCUCCCCAUCGGUGAACCCAACCCAUGAGGGCGUGAUACGGUUACCCUGGUCAUUGGCGAUGAUCUCAACAUGACCGUUCUUGUACACGCCAACACAUGAGUAUGUGGUACCCAGAUCAAUACCGAUCACGGUACCAAGCUUCUUGGCCUCCUCCUUCGCAGCACAAAGUGCAAACAGUGAUCCUGCACACACAGCAGCAGUAGGUGGUAAGCAAUAUUCUCAAUUAUUUAACCCAAUCUCAAUGGCAUUAACAGACAGCAGCAGAAUUCAAAAUACCACACUGGUUCAGCUGAUUUCAGUGAGAUUCAAUUCGGGCACCAUUGCCAAUUGUUAUUAUCUCCCCUGUAACCGAAACAUUUACCCUAAGGCGCUACUUUAAGUGUCACUAGUACUACUAUAAUGAUAAUGAAAUCAUCAUGCAAAGCCCUUGCAACUCUUGAUCAAACUGUCCUAAACUCUUGCAUAAGCGAGAAGCGGAAUUGCGAGCCUGCAGCAGCAUCCUACCAAUUUUAAGGACAGAUCGCGGGAGCAAUUAAUGCAACAGAACAACUGAACAAUUCAUAUCGGCGGGGGUGCAGCACUAGACCUAAGCCCUCUCCACCCUACGAGCAACUAAACCACGGAUCAAAGCGUCCCUACAGCAUGCAUCGAAAUCUAGAUCACGCAGCCCACGGCCCGCAAGCAACGAUCCCAGCGAAGCGGCACAGCGAUUCAAAAUAACCAGCUCGAUCCGUCACCCUCGACCGCCCCGGAUCGAGCUCCGGGAACCGAACACGCAGAUCUGGCGGAACGAAACGAAACAGAGCAACGGCAAGAGAUCGGGAUCGAGACCGGGACCGCGCAUACCUGCGAGCAGGACGCCGAGCAGCAGCGCGGAGCCGCGGAGCCGAUCCAUCGCCACGACGACGCGCCUCUUCUCGAGCUUCCCGGAGCCUUCCUCCUCCUCCUCUCGGCCUUGUCUCGAUCCCGUCUGCGGAAGUGGGUUUGAGUUUUAAGGAGACUGCGCCGUGUGUGUGAGAUUUAUAUACGGCGGGGCCGGAGGUGGCCAGAUCCCCCGUCGCGCUGGCCGGAACGUCACGGGGCCAAGCUGGGCGAAUCGGGUGCGGGCACGUGGCGGCCCGGGCCAAUCGGGGCGGACUCUGUGCUGGGGUCGCCGCGGCCGUCCGUGCCGCCCAUCCGACGGCCCCGGCGCGCCCCCUCGACGCGGAGCGGCCCGAUUGGCUCGCGUCGCGUGGAUGGAACGGAUGGAUGGUUCUCGUUCGUUCUGUGCCGGUCGGUCGACGUCUGGCCGGUGGGUCCGCCCGGGGUUGCUCUCUCAGGCAAGGAAGCAACGACCUGUCUGGUGUUUUCCAGAGGCAGAAUGCAGGUUUCGAAUUGGUACGUUGGGGGUUUCAACAAGAAUCUUGCCGAUUUGAGCCGUGGCACUUUGGAUUAUAAUUGAACUGAAUGAAAUUUAAGAAAACAGCGCGACGAUUGCGUGAAUGGACUUGUCGCGACGCCCGGCUCGAGCGCGAGUGAGCACAGGGCCUGGUGGGCCCACAAGGCAAUUUUCGCCGAUGCGCGAGGUCAGUGGUCCAGUUGUCGUAACGCUAAGAAGUUAGCGAGCGUUACCGAUUUGAGGCGUUACGGUUUUGAUUCUUAAAUUGGAUAUCUUUUUUAAAGACACCAACUAGCAUGCUGGCGAAUGGACUUGUUGCGACGCCCAGCUCGAACGCGACAGAACAGGGGACUCGAUGGGCCCACUCGGUAGUUUCAUCAAUGCGCAAGGUCAAUGGUCCAGCUGUCAUCAUGCCAAGAAUUUAGUGAGUGUUACUAAUUUGAUGUGUGGUGGUUUUGAUUCGUAAAGUGGAUAUGUUUAUUAAAGACACCAAGAAGCGUGAUGAUCACGUGAAUGUACUUGCCCCGAUGGCCAGCACCAGUGCGAGAGAACAUGGGGCUCAUUGGGCCCACUCGGCAGUAUCAUCGAUUCGCAAGGUCAGUGGUCCAGUUGUCGUCACGCUAAAAAGUUAGCGAGCGUUACUAAUUUGAGGCAUGGCGGUUUCUAUUCUUAAAUUGUUUAUGUUUAUUAAAGACACAAAGAACCGCAAUGAUCACGUGAAUGGACUUGUUGUGACGCCCAGCUCGAACGCGACAGAACAGGGGGCUCGAUGGGCCCACUCGGCAGUUUCAUCAAUGCACAAGGUCAAUGGUCUAGCUGUCGUCACGCCAAGAAUUUAGCUAGCAUUACUAAUUUGAAGUGUGUAGGUUUUGAUUCAUAAAUUGGAUAUGUUUUUUAAAGACACCAAGAAGCGUGAUGAUCACUUGAAUGUACUUGUCGCGACGGCCAGCACCAGUGUGAGAGAAUAUGGGGAUCGUUGGGCCCACUCGGCAGUUUCGUCGAUUCGCAAGGUCAGUGGUCCAGUUGUCGUCACGCUAAGAAGUUAGCGAGCGUUACUAAUUAGAGGCGUGGCGGUUUCUAUUCUUAAAUUGGAUAUGUUUAUUAAAGACACAAAAACCGCAAUGAUCACGUGAAUGGACUUGUCGCGACGCCCAGCUCGACCGCGACAGAACAGGGGACUCAAUGGGCCCACUCGGCAGUUUUGCGGAAGCGCAAGGUUAAUGGUCCAGCUGUCGUCACGCCAAGAAUUUAGCUAGCGUUACUAAUUUGAAGUGUGACGGUUUUGAUUCUUAAAUUGGAUAUGUUUAUUAAAGAGACCAAGAAGCAUGAUUAUCACGUGAAUGUACUUGUCGCGACGGCCAGCACCAGUGCGAGAGAACAUGGGGCUCGUUGGGCCCACUCGGCAGUUUCGUCGAUUCGCAAGGCCAGUGGUCCAGUUGUCGUCACGCUAAGAAGUUAGCGAGCGUUACUACUUUGAGGCAUGGUUGUUUCUAUUCUUAAAUUGGAUAUGUUUAUUAAAGACACAAAGAACUGCAAUGAUCACGUGAAUGGACUUGUCACGAUGCCCCGCUUCAGCGCAACAGAACAGGGGGCUCGAUGGGCCCACUCGGCAAUUUCAUCAAUGCGCAAGGUCAGUGGUCCAGCUGUCGUCACGCCAAGAAUUUAGCUGGUGUUACUAAUUUGAAGUGUGACGGUUUUGAUUCUUAAAUUGGAUAUGUUCAUUAGAGACACCAAGAAGCGUGAUGAUCACGUGAAUGUACUUGCCGCGAUGGCCAGCACCAGUGCGAGAGAACAUGGGGCUCGUUGGGCCCACUUCGUAGUUUCGUCGACUCACAAGGUCACUGGUCCAGUUGUCGUCACGCCAAGAAGUUAGCGAGCGUUACUAAUUUGAGGCGUGGCGGUUUCUAUUCUUAAAUUGGAUAUGUUUAUUAAAGACACAAGGAACCGCAAUGAUCACAUGAAUGGACUUGUCGCGACGCCCAGCUUGAGCGUGAUAGAACAGGGGACUUGAUGGGCCCACUCGGCAGUUUUGUCGAUUCGCAAGGUCAGUGAUCCAGUUGUCGUCACGCUAAGAAGUUAGCGAGCGUUACUAAUUAGAGGCGUGGCGGUUUCUAUUCUUAAAUUGGAUAUGUUUAUUAAAGACAUAAAAACCGCAAUGAUCACGUGAAUGGACUUGUCGCGACGCCCAGCUCGAACGCGACAAAACAGGGGACUCAAUGGGCCCACUCGGCAGUUUUGCGGAAGCGCAAGGUCAAUGGUCCAGCUGUCGUCACGCCAAGAAUUUAGCUAGCGUUACUAAUUUGAAGUGUGACAGUUUUGAUUCUUAAAUUGGAUAUGUUUAUUAAAGAGCCCAAGAAGCGUGAUCAUCACGUGAAUGUACUUGUCGCGACGGCCAGCACUAGUGCGAGAGAACAUGGGGCUCGUUGGGCCCACUCGACAGUUUCGUCGAUUCGCAAGGUCAGUGGUCCAGUUGUCGUCACGCCAAGAAGUUAGCGAGUGUUACUAAUUUGAGGUGUGGCGGUUUCUAUUCUUAAAUUGGACAUGUUUAUUAAAGACACAAAGAACCGCAAUGAUCACGUGAAUGGACUUGUCACGAUGCCCAGCUCGAGUGCGGCAGAACAGGGGGCUCGAUGGGCCCACUCGGCAGUUUCAUCAAUGCACAAGGUCAAUGGUCCAGCUGUCGUCACGCCAAGAAUUUAGCUAGCAUUACUAAUUUGAAGUGUGUAGGUUUUGAUUCAUAAAUUGGAUAUGUUUUUUAAAGACACCAAGAAGCGUGAUGAUCACUUGAAUGUACUUGUCGCGACGGCCAGCACCAGUGUGAGAGAAUAUGGGGAUCGUUGGGCCCACUCAGCAGUUUCGUCGAUUCGCAAGGUCAGUGGUCCAGUUGUCGUCACGCUAAGAAGUUAGCGAGCGUUACUAAUUAGAGGCGUGGCGGUUUCUAUUCUUAAAUUGGAUAUGUUUAUUAAAGACACAAAAACCGCAAUGAUCACGUGAAUGGACUUGUGGCGACGCCCAGCUCGAAUGCGACAGAACAGGGGACUUAAUGGGCCCACUCGGCAGUUUUGCGGAAGCGCAAGGUCAAUGGUCCAGCUGUCGUCACGCCAAGAAUUUAGCUAGCGUUACUAAUUUGAAGUGUGACGGUUUGAUUCUUAAAUUGGAUAUGUUUAUUAAAGAGACCAAGAAGCGUGAUGAUCACGUGAAUGUACUUGUCGCGACGGCCAGCACCAGUGCGAGAGAACAUGGGGCUCGUUGGGCCCACUCGGCAGUUUCGUCGAUUCGCAAGGCGAGUGGUCCAGUUGUCGUCACGCUAAGAAGUUAGCGAGCGUUACUAAUUUGAGGCGUGGUGGUUUCUAUUCUUAAAUUGGAUAUGUUUAUUAAAGACACAAAGAACGGCAAUGAUCACGUGAAUGGACUUUUCACGAUGCACAGCUUCAGCGCGACAAAACAGGGGGCUCGAUGGGCCCACUCGGCAAUUUCAUCAAUGCGCAAGGUCACUGGUCCAGCUGUCGUCACGCCAAUAAUUUAGCUAGCGUUACUAAUUUGAAGUGUGACGGUUUUGAUUCUUAAAUUGGAUAUGAUUUCUUAAAGACACCAAGAAGCGUGAUGAUCACUUGAAUGUACUUGUCGCGACGGCCAGCACCAGUGUGAGAGAACAUGGGGCUCGUUGGGCCCACUCGACAGUUUCGUCGAUUCGCAAGGUCAGUGGUCCAGUUGUCGUCGCGCUAAGAAGUUACCGAGCGUUACUAAUUUGAGGCGUGGCGGUUUCUAUUCUUAAAUUGGAUAUGUUUAUUAAAGACACAAAAACCGCAAUGAUCACGUGAAUGGACUUGUCGCGACGCCCAGCUCGAAUGCGACAGAACAGGGGACUCAAUGGGCCCACUCGGCAGUUUUGCGGAAGCGCAAGGUCAAUGGUCCAGCUGUCGUCACGCCAAGAAUUUAGCUAGCGUUACUAAUUUGAAGUGUGAUGGUUUGAUUCUUAAAUUGGAUAUGUUUAUUAAAGAGACCAAGAAGCGUGAUGAUCUCGUGAAUGUACUUGUCGCGACGGCCAGCACCAGUGCGAGAGAACAUGGGGCUCGUUGGGCCCACUCGGCAGUUUCGUCGAUUCGCAAGGCGAGUGGUCCAGUUGUCGUCACGCUAAGAAGUUAGCGAGCGUUACUAAUUUGAGGCGUGGUGGUUUCUAUUCUUAAAUUGGAUAUGUUUAUUAAAGACACAAAGAACGGCAAUGAUCACGUGAAUGGACUUGUCACGAUGCCCAGCUUCAGCGCGACAAAACAGGGGGCUCGAUGGGCCCACUCGGUAGUUUCAUCAAUGCACAAGGUUAGUGGUCCAGCUGUCGUCACGCGAAGAAUUUAGCGAGCGUUACUAAUUUGAUGUGUGGUGGUUUUGAUUCGUAAAUUGGAUAUGUUUAUUAAAGACACCAAGAAGCGUGACGAUCACGUGAAUGUACUUGCCGCGAUGGCCAGCACCAGUGCGAGAGAACAUGGGGCUCGUUGGGCCCACUUUGUAGUUUCGUCGACUCACAAGGUCACUGGUCCAGUUGUCGUCAUGCCAAGAAGUUAGCGAGCGUUACUAAUUUGAGGCGUGGCGGUUUCUAUUCUUAAAUUGGAUAUGUUUAUUAAAGACACAAGGAACCGCGAUGAUCACAUGAAUGGACUUGUCGCGACGCCCAGCUUGAGCGUGAUAGAACAGGGGACUUGAUGGGCCGAGUCGGCAGUUUUGUCGAUUCGCAAGGUCAGUGAUCCAGUUGUCGUCACGCCAAGAAGUUAGCGANNNNNNNNNNNNNNNNNNNNNNNNNNNNNNNNNNNNNNNNNNNNNNNNNNNNNNNNNNNNNNNNNNNNNNNNNNNNNNNNNNNNNNNNNNNNNNNNNNNNNNNNNNNNNNNNNNNNNNNNNNNNNNNNNNNNNNNNNNNNNNNNNNNNNNNNNNNNNNNNNNNNNNNNNNNNNNNNNNNNNNNNNNNNNNNNNNNNNNNNNNNNNNNNNNNNNNNNNNNNNNNNNNNNNNNNNNNNNNNNNNNNNNNNNNNNNNNNNNNNNNNNNNNNNNNNNNNNNNNNNNNNNNNNNNNNNNNNNNNNNNNNNNNNNNNNNNNNNNNNNNNNNNNNNNNNNNNNNNNNNNNNNNNNNNNNNNNNNNNNNNNNAUGGGCCCACUCGGCAAUUUCAUCAAUGCGCAAGGUCACUGGUCCAGCUAUCGUCACACCAAGAAUUUAGCUAGCGUUACUAAUUUGAAGUGUGACGGUUUUGAUUCUUAAAUUGGAUAUGAUUUCUUAAAGACACCAAGAAGCGUGAUGAUCACUUGAAUGUACUUGUCGCGACGGCCAGCACCAGUGUGAGAGAACAUAGGGCUCGUUGGGCCCACUCGACAGUUUCGUCGAUUCGCAAGGUCAGUGGUCCAGUUGUCGUUGCGCUAAGAAGUUACCGAGCGUUACUAAUUUGAGGCGUGGCGGUUUCUAUUCUUAAUUUGGGUAUGUUUAUUAAAGACACAAAGAACCGCAAUGAUCACGUGAAUGGACUUGUCGCGACGCCCAGCUCGAACGCGGCAGAACAAGGGACUUGAUGGGCCCACUCGGUAGUUUUGCAGACGCGCAAGGUCAGUGGUCCAGCUGUCGUCAUGCCAAGAAUUUAGCGAGCAUUACUAAUUUGAAGUGUGACGGUUUUGAUUCUUAACUUGGAUAUGUUUAUUAAAGACACCAAGAAGCGUGAUGAUCACGUGACUGUACUUGUCGCGACGGCCAGCACCAGUGCAAGAGAACAUGGGGCUCGUUGGGCCCACUCGGCAGUUUCGUCGAUCCGCAAGGCCAGUGGUCCAAUUGUCGUCACGCUAAGAAGUUAGCGAGCGUUACUAACUUGAGGCGUGGCGGUUUCUAUUCUUAAAUUGGAUAUGUUUAUUAAAGACACAAAGAACCGCAAUGAUCACGUGAAUGGACUUGUCAUGAUGCCCAGCUUGAGCGCGACAGAACAGGGGGCUCGAUGGGCCCACUCGGCAGUUUCAUCAAUGCGCAAGGUCAGUGGUUCAGCUGUCGUCACACCAAGAAUUUAGCUAGCGUUACUAAUUUGAAGUGUGACGGUUUUGAUUCUUAAAUUGGAUAUGUUUUUUAAAGACACCAAGAAGCGUGAUGAUCACUUGAAUGUACGUGUCGCGACGGCCAGCACCAGUGUGAGAGAACAUGGGGCUCGUUGGGCCCACUCGACAGUUUUGUCGAUUCGCAAGGUCAGUGGUCCAGUUGUCGUCACGCUAAGAAGUUAGCGAGCGUUACUAAUUUGAGGCAUGGCGGUUUCUAUUCUUAAAUUGGAUAUGUUUAUUAAAGACACAAAGAACCACAAUGAUCACGUGAAUGGACUUGUUGCGACGCCCAGCUCGAACGCAACAGAACAGGGGGCUCGAUGGGCCCACUCGGUAGUUUCAUCGAUGCACAAGGUCAAUGGUCCAGCUGUCGUCGCGCCAAGAAUUUAGCUAGCAUUACUAAUUUGAAGUGUGUAGGUUUCGAUUCAUAAAUUGGAUAUGUUUCUGAAAGACACCAAGAAGCGUGAUAAUCACUUGAAUGUACUUGUGGCGACGGCAAGCACCAGUGUGAGAGAAUAUGUGGAUCAUUGGGCCCACUCGGCAGUUUUGUCGAUUCGCAAGGUCAGUGAUCCAGUUGUCGUCACGCUAAGAAGUUAGCGAGCGUUACUAAUUAGAGGCGUGGCGGUUUCUAUUCUUAAAUUGGAUAUGUUUAUUAAAGACACAAAAACCGCAAUGAUCACGUGAAUGGAUUUGUCGCGACGCCCAGCUCGAACGCGACAGAACAGGGGACUCAAUGGGCCCACUCGGCAGUUUUGCGGAAGCGCGAGGUCAAUGUUCCAGCUGUCGUCACGCCAAGAAAUUAGCUAGCAUUACUAAUUUGAAGUGUGACGGUUUUGAUUCCUAAAUUGGAUAUGUUUAUUAAAGAGACCAAGAAGCGUGAUUAUCACGUGAAUGUACUUAUCGCGACGGCCAGCACCAGUGCGAGAGAACAUGGGGCUCGUCGGGCCCACUCGGCAGUUUCGUCGAUUCGCAAGGCGAGUGGUCCAGUUGUCGUCACGCUAAGAAGUUAGCGAGCGUUACUAAUUUGAGGCAUGGUUGUUUCUAUUCUUAAAUUGGAUAUGUUUAUUAAAGACACAAAGAACCGCAAUGAUCACGUGAAUGGACUUGUCAUGAUGCCCCGCUUCAGCGCAACAUAACAGGGGGCUCGAUGGGCCCACUCGGCAAUUUCAUCAAUGCGCAAGGUCAGUGGUCCAGCUGUCGUCACGCCAAGAAUUUAGCUGGUGUUACUAAUUUGAAGUGUGACGGUUUUGAUUCUUAAAUUGGAUAUGUUUUCUUAAAGACACCAAGAAGCGUGAUGAUCGCUUGAAUGUACUUGUCGCGACGGCCAGCACCAGUGUGAGAGAACAUGGGGCUCGUUGGGCCCACUCGACAGUUUCAUCGAUUCGCAAGGUCAAUGGUCCAGUUGUCGUCACGCUAAGAAGUUAGCGAGCGUUACUAAUUUGAGGCGUGGUGGUUUCUACUCUUAAUUGGAUAUGUUUAUUAAAGACACAAAGAACCGCAAUGAUCAAGUGAAUGGACUUGUCGCGACGCCCAGCUCGAACGCGGCAGAACAAGGGACUCGAUGGGCCCACUCGGUAGUUUUGCGGAUGCGCAAGGUCAAUGGUCCAGCUGUCGUCACGCCAAGAAUUUAGCUAGCGUUACUAAUUUGAAGUGUGACGGUUUUGAUUCUUAAAUUGGAUAUGUUUAUUAAAGAGACCAAGAAGCGUGAUGAUCACGUGAGUGUACUUGUCGUGACGGCCAGCACCAGUGCGAGAGAACAUGGGGCUCAUUGGGCCCACUCGGCAGUUUCGUCGAUUCGCAAGGCCAGUGGUCCAGUUGUCGUCACGCUAAGAAGUUAGCGAGCGUUACUAAUUUGAGGCGUGGCGGUUUCUAUUCUUAAAUUGGAUAAGUUUUUUAAAGACACAAAGAACCGCAAUGAUCACGUGAAUGGACUUGUCACGAUGCCCAGCUUGAGCACGACAGAACAGGGGGCUCGAUGGGCCCACUCAGCAGUUUCAUCAAUGCGCAAGGUCAGUGGUUCAGCUGUCGUCACACCAAAAAUUUAGCUAGCGUUACUAAUUUGAAGUGUGACGGUUUCGAUUCUUAAAUUGGAUAUGUUUUUUAAAGACACCAAGAAGCGUGAUGAUCACUUGAAUGUACGUGUCGCGACGGCCAGCACCAGUGUGACAGAACAUGGGGCUCGUUGGGCCCACUCGGCAGUUUCGUCGAUUCGCAAGGUCAGUGGUCCAGUUGUCGUCACACUAAGAAGUUAGCGAGCGUUACUAAUUUGAGGCAUGGCGGUUUCUAUUCUUAAAUUGGAUAUGUUUAUUAAAGACACAAAGAACCACAAUGAUCACGUGAAUGGACUUGUUGCGACGCCCAGCUCGAACGCAACAGAACAGGGGGCUCGAUGGGCCCACUCGGUAGUUUCAUCGAUGCACAAGGUCAAUGGUCCAGCUGUCGUCGCGCCAAGAAUUUAGCUAGCAUUACUAAUUUGAAGUGUGUAGGUUUUGAUUCAUAAAUUGGAUAUGUUUUUGAAAGACACCAAGAAGCGUGAUCAUCACUUGAAUGUACUUGUCGCUACGGCCAGCACCAGUGUGAGAGAACAUGGGUAUCGUUGGGCCCACUCGGCAGUUUCGUCGAUUCGCAAGGUCAGUGGUCCAGUUGUCGUCAUGCUAAGAAGUUAGCGAGCGUUACUAAUUAGAGGCGUGGCAGUUUCUAUUCUUAAAUUGGAUAUGUUAUUAAAGACACAAAAUCCGCAAUGAUCACGUGAAUGGACUUGUCGUGACGCCCAGCUCGAACGCGACAGAACAGGGGACUCAAUAGGCCGACUCGGCAGUUUUGCGGAAGCGCAAGGUCAAUGGUCCAGCUAUCGUCACGCCAGAAUUUAGCACGCAUUACUAAUUUGAAGUGUGACGGUUUUGAUUCUUAAAUUGGAUAUGUUUAUUAAAGAGACCAAGAAGCGUGAUUAUCACGUGUAAGUACUUGUGGCGACGGCCAGCACUAGUGCGAGAGAACAUGGGGCUCGUUGGGCCCACUCGGCAGUUUCGUCGAUUCGCAAGGCCAGUGGUACAGUUGUCGUCGCGCUAAGAAGUUAGCGAGCGUUACUAAUUUGAGGCAUGGUUGUUUCUAUUCUUAAAUUGGAUAUGUUUAUUAAAGACACAAAGAACCGCAAUGAUCACGUGAAUGGACUUGUCACGAUGCCCCCUUCAGCGUGAUAGAAUAGGGAGCUCCAUGGGCCCACUCGGCAAUUUCAUCAAUGCGCAAGGUCAGUGGUCCAGCUGCUGUCACACUAAGAAUUUAGCUAGUGUUACUAAUUUGAAGUGUGACGGUUUUGAUUCUUAAAUUGGAUAUGUUUUCUUAAAGACACCAAGAACCGUGAUGAUCACUUGAAUGUACUUGUCGCGACGGCCAGCACCAGUGUGAGAGAACAUGGGGCUCGUUGGGCCCACUCGACAGUUUCGUCGAUUCGCAAGGUCAGUGGUCGAGUUGUCGUCACGCUAAGAAGUUAGUGAGCGUUACUAAUUUGAGGCGUGGUGGUUUCUAUUCUUAAAUUGGAUAUGUUUAUUAAAGACACAAAGAACCGCAAUGAUCAGGUGAAUGGACUUGUCGCGACGCCCAGCUCGAUCGCGGCAGAACAAGGGACUCGAUGGGCCCACACGGUAGUUUUGCGGAUGCACAAGGUCAAUGGUCCAGCCGUCGUCAUGCCAAGAAUUUAGCGAGCAUUACUAAUUUGAAGUGUGACGGUUUUGAUUCUUAAAUUGGAUAUGUUUAUUAAAGACACCAAAAAGCGUGAUGAUCACCAAGAAGUGUGACGGAUCGCGUUGCGCGGCCGAUGGAUCAAAGGGACCCUAGAGCAUGCAUCGAAAUCUAGAUCACACGGCAUAUGGCCCGCAAGCAACGAUCCCAGUGAAGCGGCACAUCGAUUCAAAAUAACCAGCUCGAUCCGUCGGCGGCCCGGCAGCGGCGGGAUCACCGUCACCCCCGACCGCCCCGGAUCGAGCUCCGGGAACUGAACACACAGAUCUGGCGGAAUGAAACGAAACAGAGCAACGGGAAGAGAUCGGGAUCGAGAUCGGGACCACGCAUACCUGCGAGCAGGACGCCGAGCAGCAGCGCGGAGCCGCGGACCCGAUCCAUCGCCACGACGACGCGCAACACGAUCCCUCACCCCCUCGCCUCUUCUCGAGCUUCUCGGAGCCUUCUUCCUCCUGCUCUCCGCCUUGUCUCGAUCCCAUUUGUAGAAGUGGGUUUGAGUUUUAAGGAGACUGCGCAGUGUGUGUGAGAUUUAUAUACGACGGGGCCGGAGGUGGCCAGAUCCCCCGUCGCGCAGGCCGGAACGUCACGGGGCCAAGCUGGGCGAAUCGGGUGCGGGCACGUGGCGGCCCGGGCCAAUCGGGGCGGGCUCUAUGCUGGGGUCGCCGCGGCGGUCCGUGCCGCCCAUCCGACGGCCCCGGUGCGCCCCCUCGACGCGGAGCGGCCCGAUUGGCUCGCGUCGCGUGGAUGCAUGGAUGGAUGGUUCUCGUUAGUUCUGUGACGGUCGGUCGACGUCUGGCCGGUGGGUCCGCCCGGGGUUGCUCUCUCAGGCAAGGAAGCAACGACCUGUCUGGUGUUUUCCAGAAGCAGAAUGCAGGUUUCCAAUUUGUACGUUGGGGGUUUCAACAAGAAUCUUUCCGAUUUGAGCCGUGGCACUUUGGAUUAUAUUGAACUAAAUGAAAUUUAAGAAUACAACGCGACGAUUGCGUGAAUGGACUUGUCGCGACGCCCGGCUCGAGCGUGAGUGAGCACGGGGCCCGACGGGCCCACUCGACAGUUCCGUCAAUGCCCGAGGUCAUUGGUCCAGUUGUCGUAACACCAAGAAGUUAGCGAGCGUUACCGAUUUGAGGCGUUACGGUUUUGAUUCUUAAAUUGGAUAUCUUUUUUAAAGACACCAAAUAGCAUGCUGGUGAAUGGACUUGUCGCGACGCCCAGCUCGAACGCGACAGAACAGGGGACUUGAUGGGCCCACUCGAUAGUUUCAUCAAUGCACAAGGUCAAUGGUCCAGUUGUCAUCACGCCAAGAAUUUAGUGAGCGUUACUAAUUUGAAGUGUGACGGUUUUGAUUCUUAAAUUGGAUAUGUUUAUUAAAGACACCAAGAAGCGUGAUGAUCACGUGAAUGUACUUGUCGCGACGGCCAGCACCAGAGCGAGAGAACAUGGGUCUCGUUGGCCCACUCAGCAGUUUCGUUGAUUCGCAAGGUCAGUGGUCCAGUUGUCAUCACGCUAAGAAGUUAGCGAGCGUUACUAAUUUGAGGCGUGGCAGUUUCUAUUCUUAAAUUGGAUAUGUUUAUUAAAGACACAACGAACCGCAAUGAUCACGUGAAUGGACUUGUCGUGACGCCCAGCUCUAACGCGACAGAAUAGGGGACUUGAUGGGCCCACUCGGCAGUUUUGCGGAUGCGCAAGGUCAAUGGCCCAGCUGUCAUCACGCCAAUAAUAUAGCGAGCGUUACUAAUUUGAAGUGUGACGGUUUUGAUUCUUAAAUUGGAUAUGUUUAUUAAAGACACCAAGAAGCGUGAUGAUCACGUGAAUGUACUUGUCGCGACGGCCAGCACCAGUACGAGAGAACAUGGGGCUCGUUCAUCGAUUCACAAGGUCGGUGGUCCAGUUGUCGUCACGCUAAGAAGUUAGCGAGCGUUACUAAUUUGAGGCGUGGUAGGUUCUAUUCUUAAAUUGGAUAUGUUUAUUAAAGACACAAAGAACCGCAAUGAUCACGUGAAUAGACAUGUCAUGAUGCCCAGCUUGAGCGUGACAGAACAGGGGUCUCGAUGGGCCCACACGGUAGUUCCAUCAAUGCGCAAGGUCAGUGGUCCAGCUGUCAUCACGCCAAGAAUUUAGCUAGCGUUACUAAUUUGAAGUGUGAUGGUUUUGAUUCUUAAAUUGGAUAUGUUUUCUAAAGACACCAAUAAGCGUGAUGAUCACGUGAAUGUACUAGCCGCGAUGGCCAGCACCAGUGCAAGACAACAUGGGGCUCGUUGGGCCCACUUGGUAGUUUCAUCGAUUCGCAAGGUCAGUGGUCCAGUUGUCGUCAGGCCAAGAAGUUAGCGAGCGUUACUAAUUUGAGGCGUGGCGGUUUCGAUUCUUAAAUUGGAUAUGUUUAUUAAAGACAUAAGGAACCGCAAUGAUCACGUGAAUGGACUUGUCGCGACGCCCAGCUCGAACGCGAUAGAACAGGGGGGGUCGAUGGGCCCACUCGGUAGUUUCAUCAAUGCGCAAGGUCAGUGAUCCAGUUGUCGUCACAACAAGAAUUUAGCUAGCGUUACAAAUUUGGAGUGUGACGGUUAUGAUUCUUAAAUUGGAUAUGUUUUUUAAAGACACCAAGAAGCGUGAUGAUCACGUGAAUGUACUUGUAGCGAUGGUCAGCACCAGUGCGAGAGAACAUGGGGCUGGUUGGGCCCACUUGGCAGUUUCGUCGAUUCGCAAGGUUAGUGGUCUAGUUGUCGUCACGCCAACAAGUUAGCGAGCAUUACUAAUUUGAGGUGUGGCGGUUUCUAUUCUUAAAUUGGAUAUGUUUAUUAAAGAGACAAGGAACCGCAAUGAUCAUGUGAAUGGACUUGUCGCGAUGCCCAGCUCGAACGCGAUAGAACAGGGGGGUCGAUGGGCCCACUUAGCAGUUUUGCGGAUGCGCAAGGUCAAUGGUGCAGCUGUCAUCAUGCCAAGAAUUUAGCGAGUGUUACUAAUUUGAUCUGUGGUGGUUUUGAUUCGUAAAUUGGAUAUGUUUGUUAAAGACACCAAGAAGUGUGAUGAUCAUGUGAAUGCACUUGUCGCGAGGGCCAGCACCAGUGUGAGAGAACAUGGGGCUCGUUGGGCCCACUCGGGAGUUUCGUCGAUUCGCAAGGUUAGUGGUCCAAUUUGAAGGAAAUAUGCCCUAGAGGCAAUAAUAAAGUUAUUAUUUAUUUCCUUAUAUCAUGAUAAAUGUUUAUUAUUCAUGCUAGAAUUGUAUUAACCAGAAACAUAAUACAUGUGUGAAUACAUAGACAAACAGAGUGUCACUAGUAUGCCUCUACUUGACUAGCUCGUUAAUCAAAGAUGGUUAUGUUUCCUAACCAUGGACAAAGAGUUGUCAUUUGAUUAACGGGAUCACAUCAUUAGUUGAAUGAUCUGAUUGACAUGACCCAUUAUAUUAGCUUAGCACCCGAUCGUUUAGUAUGUUGCUAUUGCUUUCUUCAUGACUUAUACAUGUUCCUAUGACUAUGAGAUUAUGUGACUCCCGUGUGCCGGAGGAACACUUUGUGUGCUACCAAACGUCACAACGUAACUGGGUGAUUAUAAAGGAGCUCUACAGGUGUCUCCAAAGGUACAUGUUGGGUUGGCGUAUUUCGAGAUUAGGAUUUGUCACUCCGAAUGUCCGAGAGGUAUCUCUGGGCCCUGUCGGUAAUGCACAUCACUUAAGCCUUGCAAGCAUUGCAACUAAUGAGUUAGUUGCGAGAUGUUGUAUUACAAAACGAGUAAAGAGACUUGCCGGUAACGAGAUUGAACUAGGUAUUGAGAUACCGACGAUCGAAUCUCGGGCAAGUAACAUACCGAUGACAAAGGGAACAACGUAUGUUGUUAUGCGGUCUGACCGAUAAAGAUCUUCGUAGAAUAUGUAGGAGCCAAUAUGGGCAUCCAGGUCCCGCUAUUGGUUAUUGACCGGAGACGUGUCUCGGUCAUGCCUACAUUGUUCUCGAACCGUAGGGUCCGCACGCUUAAGGUUUCGAUGAUAGUUAUAUUAUGAGUUUUGAUGUAGUGAAGGAGUUCGGAGUCCCCGGAUGAGAUCGGGGACAUGACGAGGAGUCUCGAAAUGGUCGAGACGUAAAGAUCGAUAUAUUGGACGACUAUAUUCGGACAUCGGAAAGGUUCCGAGUGAUUCGGGUAUUUUUCGGAGUACCGGGGAGUUACGGGAAUACGGGGGGAGAAGUAUUGGGCCUUAUUGGGCCAUACGGGAAAGAGAGAGGGGCUGCCUAGGGCAGGCCGCGCGCCCCCCAAGGCCUAGUCCGAAUUGGACUAGGGGAAGGGGCUGCGCCCCCUCCUUCCUUCCCUUCUUCGUUCCCCUUCCUUGUCUCCUACUCCUACUACAUGGAAGGACUCCUAGUUGGACUAGGAAAGGGGGAAUCCUACUCCCGGUGGUACUAGGACUCCCCUAGGGCGUGCCAUAGAGAGGGCCGGCCCUCCCCUCCUCCACUCCUUUAUAUACGGGGGCAGGGGGCACCCCAUAGACACACAAGUUGAUCAUCGUGAUCGUUCCUUAGCCGUGUGCGGUGCCCCCCUCCACCAUAUUUCACCUCGGUCAUAUUGUUGUAGUGCUUAGGCGAAGCCCUGCGAUGGUAGAACAUCAAGAUCGUCACCACGCCGUUGUGCUGACGGAACUCAUCCCCGAAGCUUUGCUGGAUCGGAGCCCGGCGAUCAUCAUCGAGCUGUACGUGUGUUGGGGAACGUAGUAAUUUCGAAAAUUUUCCUACGCACACGCAAGAUCAUGGUGAUGCACAGCAACGAGAGGGGAGAGUGUUGUCUACGUACCAACACAGACCGACUGCGAAAGCGAUCACACAACAUAGAGGAAGUAGUCGUACGUCUUCUUCCCGAUCCGACCGAUCCAAGCACCGUUACUCCGGCACCUCCGAGUUCUUAGCACACGUUUAGCUCGAUGACGAUCCUCGGGCUCCGAUCCAGCAAAGCGUCGAGGAAGAGUUCCGUCAGCACGACGGCGUGGUGACGAUCUUGAUGUACUACCGACGCAGGGCUUCGCCUAAGCACUACAACGGUAUGAUCGAGGUGGAAUAUGGUGGCAGGGGGCACCGCACACGGCUAAGGAACGAUCUCAAGGAUCAACUUAUGUGUCUUGGGGUGUCCCCUGCCCCCGUAUAUAAAGGUUGGAGGAGGGGGGGCUGGCCGGCCAGAGAGAGGGAGGCGCAGGGGGAGUCCUACUCCUACCGGGAGUAGGACUCCCCCUUCCAAUCCUAUUCCAACUAGGACUCUCAAGGGGGAAAGGAGAAAGAGAGGGGGCCGGCCCCUUCUCCUAGUCCUACUAGGACUUGGGAAAGGGGGGGCGCGCGGCCAGCUAUGGGCUUCCCCUUUUCUCUUUUCCACUAAGGCCCAAUAGGCCCAUUAGUCUCCCGGGGGGUUCCGGUAACCCUCCCGGUAUUCCGGUAAAAUCCCGAUUUCACCCGAAACAUUUCCUAUGUCCAAACAUAGGCUUCCAAUAUAUCAAUCUUUACGUCUCGACCAUUUCGAGACUCCUCGUCAUGUCCGUGAUCUCAUCCGGGACUCCGAACAACCUUCGGUACAUCAAAAUGCAUAAACUCAUAAUAACUGUCAUCGUAAUGUUAAGCGUGCGGACCCUACGGUUCGAGAACAAUGUAGACAUGACCGAGACACGUCUCCGGUCAAUAACCAAUAGCGGGACCUGGAUGCUCAUAUUGGCUCCUACAUAUUCUACGAAGAUCUUUAUCGGUCAGACCGCAUAACAACAUACGUUGUUCCCUUUGUCAUCAGUAUGUUACUUGCCCGAGAUUCGAUCGUCGGUAUCCAAUACCUAGUUCAAUCUCGUUACUGGCAAGUCUCUUUACUCGUUCCGUAAUACAUCAUCUCAUAACUAACAUCUUAGUUAUUAUGCUUGCAAGGCUUAUGUGAUGUGUAUUACCGAGAGGGCCCAGAGAUACCUCUCCGACAAUCGGAGUGACAAACCCUAAUCUCGAAAUACGCCAACCCAACAUCUACCAUUGGAGACACCUGUAGUACUCCUUUAUAAUCACCCAGUUACGUUGUGACGUUUGGUAGUACCCAAAGUGUUCCUCCGGUAAACGGGAGUUGUAUAAUCUCAUAGUUAUAGGAACAUGUAUAAGUCAUGAAGAAAGCAAUAGCAACAUGCUAAAUGAUCGGGUGCUAAGCUAAUGGAAUGGGUCAUGUCAAUCAGAUCAUUCAACUAAUGAUGUGACCUCGUUAAUCAAAUAACAACUCUUUGUUCAUGGUUAGGAAACAUAACCAUCUUUGAUUAACGAGCUAGUCAAGUAGAGGCAUACUAGUGACACUUUGUUGGUCUAUGUAUUCACACAUGUAUUAUGUUUCCGGUUAAUACAAUUCUAGCAUGAAUAAUAAACAUUUAUCAUGAUAUAAGGAAAUAAAUAAUAACUUUAUUAUUGCCUCUAGGGCAUAUUUCCUUCAACGUGUGCUAACAACUCGGAGGUGCCGGAGUAAUGGUUCUUGGAUCGGUCGGAUCAGGAAGACGUACGACUACUUCCUCUACGUUGCGUCAAUGCUUCCGCUUCGGUCUACGAGGGUACGUAGAUCACACUCUCCCCUCUCGUUGCUAUGCAUCACCAUGAUCUUGCAUGUGCGUAGGAAUUUUUGAAAUUACUAUGUUUCCCAACAGUGGCAUUCGAGCCUAGGUUUUAUGGUUUGAUGUUAUAUGCACGAGUAGACCACAAGUGAGUUGUGGGUGAUAUAAGUCAUACUGCCUACCAGCAUGUCAUACUUUGGUUCGGCGGUAUUGUUGGAUGAAGCGUCCCGGACCGACAUUACGCGUACGCUUACGAGAGACUGGUUCUACCGCCGUGCUUUGCACACAGGUGGCUGGCGGGUGUCAGUUUCUCCAACUUUAGUUGAACCGAGUGUGGCUACGCCCGGUCCUUGCGAAGGUUAAAACGGCAUCAACUUGACAAACUAUCGUUGUGGUUUUGAUGCAUAGGUAAGAUUGGUUCUUGCUUAAGCCCGUAGCAGCCACGUAAAACUUGCAACAAACAAAGUAGAGGACGUCUAACUUGUUUUUGCAGGGCAUGUUGUGAUGUGAUAUGGUCAAGACAUGAUGCUAAAUUUUAUUGUAUGAGAUGAUCAUGUUUUGUAACUGAGUUAUCGGCAACUGGCAGGAGCCAUAUGGUUGUCGCUUUAUUGUAUGCAAUGCAAUCGCGUUGUAAUGCUUUACUUUAUCACUAAGCGGUAGCGAUAGUCGUGGAAGCAUAAAAGUGGCGAGACGACAACGAUGCUGCGAUGGAGAUCAAGGUGUCGUGCCGGUGACGAUGGUGAUCAUGACGGUGCUUCAGAGAUGGAGAUCACAAGCACAAGAUGAUGAUGGCCAUAUCAUAUCACUUAUAUUGAUUGCAUGUGAUGUUUAUCUUUUAUGCAUCUUAUCUUGCUUUGAUUGACGGUAGCAUUAUAAGAUGAUCUCUCACUAAAUUAUCAAGAAGUGUUCUCCCUGAGUAUGCACCGUUGCCAAAGUUCGUCGUGCCCAGACACCACGUGAUGAUCGGGUGUGAUAAGCUCUACGUCCAUCUACAACGGGUGCAAGCCAGUUUUGCACACGCAGAAUACUCAGGUUAAACUUGACGAGCCUAGCAUAUGCAGAUAUGGCCUCGAAACACGGAGACCGAAAGGUCGAGCGUGAAUCAUAUAGUAGAUAUGAUCAACAUAGUGAUGUUCACCAAUGAAACUACUCCAUCUCACGUGAUGAUCGGACAUGGUUUAGUUGAUUUGAAUCACGUGAUCACUUAGAGGAUUAGAGGUAUGUCUAUCUAAGUGGGAGUUCUUAAGUAAUAUGAUUAAUUGAACUUAAAUUUAUCAUGAACUUAGUCCUGGUAGUAUUUUGUAAAUCAUGUUGUAGAUCAAUAGCUCGCGUUGUUGCUUCCCUGUGUUUAUUUUGAUAUGUUCCUAGAGAAAAUUGUAUUGAAAGAUGUUAGUAGCAAUGAUGCGGAUUGGAUCCGUGAUCUGAGGUUUAUCCUCAUUGCUGCAUAGAAAAAUUAUGUCCUUGAUGCACCGCUAGGUGACAGACCUAUUGCAGGAGCCGAUGCAGACGUUAUGAACGUUUGGCUAGCUCAAUAUGAUGACUACUUGAUAGUUUAGUGCACCAUGCUUAACGGCUUAGAAUCGGGACUUCAAAGACGUUUUUGAACGUCAUGGACCAUAUGAGAUGUUCCAGGAGUUGAAGUUAAUAUUUCAAGCAAAUACCCGAGUUGAGAGAUAUGAAGUCUCCAACAAGUUCUAUAGCUUAAAGAUGGAGGAGAAUCGCUCAACUAGUGAGCAUGUGCUCAGAUUGUCUGGGUACUACAAUUGCUUGAAUCAAGUGGGAGUUAAUCUUCCAGAUAAGAUAGUGAUUGACAGAAUUCUCUAGUCACCAUGACCAAGUUAGUAGAACUUCGUGAUGAACUAUAGUAUGCAAGGGAUGACGAAAACGACCCCCGAGCUUUUCAUGAUGAUGAAAUCAAUGAAGGUAGAAAUCAAAAAGGAGCAUCAAGUGUUGAUGGUAGACAAGACCACUAGUUUCAAGAAAAGGGCAGAGGGAAGAAGGGGAACUUCAAAAAGAACAGCAAGCAAGUUGCUGCUCAAGUGAAGAAGCCCAAGUCUGGACCUAAGCCUGGGACUGAGUGCUUCUACUGCAAAGGGACUGGUCACUGCAAGCGGAAGUACCCCAAGUGAUUGGCAGAUAAGAAGGAUGGCAAAGUGAACAUAAGUAUAUUUGAUAUACAUGUUAUUGAUGUGUACUUUACUAGUGUUUUUAGCAACCCCUCAAGUAUUUGAUACUAGUUCAGUUGCUAAGAUUAGUAACUCGAAACGGGAGUUGCAGAAUAAAUAGAGACUAGUUAAGGGUGAAGUGACGAUGUGUGUUGGAAGUGGUUCCAAGAUUGAUAUGAUCAUCAUCGCACACUCCCUAUACUUUCGGGAUUAGUAUUGAACCUAAAUAAGUGUUAUUUGGUGUUUGCGUUGAGCAUAAAUAUGAUUGGAUCAUGUUUAUUGUAAUACGGUUAUUCAUUUAAGUAAGAGAAUAAAUUGUUGUUCUGUUUACAUGAAUAAAAUCUUAUAUGGUUACACACCCAAUGAAAAUAGUUCGUUGGAUCUCGAUCAUAGUGAUACACAUAAUCAUAAUAUUGAAACCAAAAGAUGCAAAGUUAAUAAUGAUAGUGUAACUUAUUUGUAGCACUGCCGUUUAAGUCAUAUUGGUGUAAAGCGCAUGAAGAAACUCCAUGCUGAUGGGCUUUUGGAAUCACUUGAUUGUGAAUCAGUUGAUGCUUGCGAACCAUGCCUCAUGGGCAAGAUGACUAAGACUCUGUUCUUCGGAACAAUGGAGCGAGCAACAGAUUUGUUGGAAAUCAUACAUACUGAUGUAUGUGGUCCGAUGAAUAUUGAGGCUCAUGAUAGGUAUCAUUAUUUUCUGAUCUUCACAGAUGAUUUGAGCAGAUAUGAGUAUAUCUACUUGAUGAAACAUAAGUCUGAGACAUUUGAAAAGUUCAAAGAAUUUCAGAGUGAAGUGGAGAAUCAUCGUAACAAGAAAAUAAGGCUUCUACGAUCUGAUCGCGGAGACAAAUAUUUGAGUUACGAGUUUGGUCUUCAAUUAAAACAAUGUGGAAUAGUUUCACAAAUUCAUGCCACCCGGAACACCACAACAUAAUGGUGUGUCCGAACGUCAUAGCCAUACUUUAUUAGAUAUAGUGCAAAUCUAUGAUGUUUCUUACCGAUUUACCACUAUCGUUUUUGAGGUUAUGCAUUAAAGACAGCUGCAUUCACGUUAAAAAAGGGGCACCAUCUAAGUCCGUUGAGACGACACAAUCUGAACUGUGGUUUAGCAAGAAACCAAAGUUGUCGUUUCUUAAAGUUUGGGGUUGUGAUGCUUAUGUGAAAAAGUUUCAUCCUGAUAAGCUCAAAACCAAAUCGGAGAAAUAUGUCUUCAUAGGAUACCUAAAAGGAGACUGUUGGGUACACCUUCUAUCACAGAUCCUAAGGCAAGACAUUCGUUGCUAAGAAUGGAUCCUUUCUAGAGAAGGAGUUUCUCUCGAAAGAGGUGAGUGGGAGGAAAGUAGAACUUGAUGAGGUAACUGUACCUCCUCCCUUAUUGGAAAGUAGUACAUCACAGAAACCGAUUUCUGUGACACCUACACCAAUUAGUGAGGAAGCUAAUGAUGAUGAUCAUGAAACUUCAGAUCAAGUUACUACCGAAUCUCGUAGGUAAACCAGAGUGAGAUCCGCACCAGAGUGGUACAGUAAUCCUGUUCUGGAAGUCAUGUUACUAGACCAUGACGAACUUGCGAACUAUGAGGAAGCGAUGAUGAGCCCAGAUUCCGCAAAAUGGCUUGAGGCCAUGAAAUCUGAGAUGGGAUUCAUGUAUGAAAACAAAGUAUGGACUUUGGUUGACUUUCCCGAUGAUCGGCAAGCCAUAGAAAAUAAAUGGAUCUUCAAGAGGAAGACGGACGGAUAGUAGUGUUACUAUCUACAAAGCUAGAAUUGUCGCAAAAGGUUUUCGACAAGUUCAAGGUGUUGACUACGAUGAGAGAUUCUCACUCGUAUCUACGCUUAAGUCUGUCCGAAUCAUGUUAGCAAUUGCCGCAUUUUAUGAAAUCUGGCAAAUGGAUAAACAAAACUGCAUUCCUUAAUGGAUUUAUUAAAGAAGAGUUGUAUAUGAUGCGACUAGAAGGUUUUAUCGAUCCUAAAGGUGUUAACAAAAUAUGCAAGCUCCAGCGAUCCAUCUAUGGACUGGUGCAAGCAUCUCGGAGUUGGAAUAUACGCUUUGAUAAGUUGAUCAAAGCAUAUAGUUUUAUACAGACUUGCGGUGAAGCCUGUAUUUACAAGAAAGUGAGUGGGAGCACUACAACAUUUCUGAUAAGUAUAUGUGAAUGACAUAUUGUUGAUCGGAAAUAAUGUAGAAUUAUUCUGCAAAGCAUAAAGGAGUGUUUGAAAGGAGUUUUUCAAAGAAAGACCUCGGCGAAGCUGCUUACAUAUUGAGUAUCAAGAUCUAUAGAGAUAGAUCAAGACGCUUGAUAAGUUUUUUCAAUGAGUACAUACCUUGACAAGAUUUUGAAGUAGUUCAAAAUGGAACAGUCAAAGAAAAAGUUUCUUGCCUGUGUUACAAGGUGUGAAGUUGAGUAAGACUCAAAGCCCGACCACGGCAGAAGAUAGAAAGAGAAUGAAAGUAUACCAUGCUAUGUACCAGAUCUAUAAAGUAUACCAUGCUGUGUACCAGAUCUAUUGUAUACCAUACACUGUGUUAAGAGAGGGAGUACAAUUGUGAUCUAGGAGUAGAUCAAUGGACAGCGGUCAAAAUUAUCCUUACUGGAAUAAGGAUAUGUUUCUCGAUUAUGGACGUGACAAAAAGGUUCGUUGUAAAGGGUUACGUCGAUGCAAGUUUUUGACACUGAUCCAGAUGAUUCUAAGUCUCAAUCUGGAUACAUAUUGAAAGUGGGAGCAAUUAGCUAGAGUAGCUGUGUGCAGAGCAUUGUAGACAUAGAAUUUUACAAAAUACAUGCGGAUCUGAAUGUGGCAGACCCGUUGACUAAACUUCUCUCACAAGCAAAACAUGAUCACUUUUUGGGUCUUAAUCACAUAGCGAUGUGAACUAGAUUAUUGAAUCUAGUAAACCCUUUGGGUGUUAGUCACAUGGAGAUGUGAACCAAUCACAUAAAGAUGUGAACUAUUGAUGUUAAAUCACAUGGCGAUGUGAUCUAGAUUAUUGACUCUAGUGCAAGUGGGAGACUGAAGGAAAUAUGCCCUAGAGGCAAUAAUAAAGUUAUUAUUUAUUUCCUUAUAUCAUGAUAAAUGUUUAUUAUUCAUGCUAGAAUUGUAUUAACCAGAAACAUAAUACAUGUGUGAAUACAUAGACAAACAGAGUGUCACUAGUAUGCCUCUACUUGACUAGCUCGUUAAUCAAAGAUGGUUAUGUUUCCUAACCAUGGACAAAGAGUUGUCAUUUGAUUAACGGGAUCACAUCAUUAGUUGAAUGAUCUGAUUGACAUGACCCAUUACAUUAGCUUAGCACCCAAUCGUUUAGUAUGUUGCUAUUGCUUUCUUCAUGACUUAUACAUGUUCCUAUGACUAUGAGAUUAUGUGACUCCCGUGUGCCGGAGGAACACUUUGUGUGCUACCAAACGUCACAACGUAACUGGGUGAUUAUAAAGGAGCUCUACAGGUGUCUCCAAAGGUACAUGUUGGGUUGGCGUAUUUCGAGAUUAGGAUUUGUCACUCUGAAUGUCGGAGAGGUAUCUCUGGGCCCUGUCGGUAAUGCACAUCACUUAAGCCUUGCAAGCAUUGCAACUAAUGAGUUAGUUGCGAGAUGAUGUAUUAUAGAACGAGUAAAGAGACAUGCCGGUAAUGAUAUUGAACUAGGUAUUGAGAUACCGACGAUCGAAUCUCGGGCAAGUAACAUACCGAUGACAAAGGGAACAACGUAUGUUGUUAUGCGGUCUGACCGAUAAAGAUCUUUGUAGAAUAUGUAGGAGCCAAUAUGGGCAUCUAGGUCCCGCUAUUGGUUAUUGACCGGAGACGUGUCUCGGUCAUGUCUACAUUGUUCUCGAACCGUAGGGUCCGCACGCUUAAGAUUUCGAUGACAGUUAUAUUAUGAGUUUAUGAGUUUUGAUGUACCGAAGGAGUUCGGAGUCCCGGAUGAGAUCGGGGACAUGACGAGGAGUCUCGAAAUGGUCGAGACGUAAAGAUCGAUAUAUUGGACGACUAUAUUCGGACAUCGAAAAGGUUGCGAGUGAUUCGGGUAUUUUUCGGAGUACCGGGGAGUUACGGGAAUACGGGGGGAGAAGUAUUGGGCCUUAUUGGGCCAUACGGGAAAGAGAGAGGGGCUGCCUAGGGCAGGCCCCCCCCCAAGGCCUAGUCUGAAUUGGACUAGGGGGAGGGGCUGCGCCCCCUCCUUCCUUCCCUUCUCCCUUCCCCUUCCUUGUCUCCUACUCCUACUACAUAGAAGGACUCCUAGUUGGACUAGGAAAGGGGGAAUCCUACUCCCGGUGGGAGUAGGACUCCCCUAGGGCGCACCAUAGAGAGGGCCGGCCCUCCCCUCCUCCACUCCUUUAUAUACGGGGGCAGGGGGCACCCCAUAGACACACAAGUUGAUCAUCAUGAUCGUUCCUUAGCCAUGUGCGGUGCCCCCCUCCACCAUAUUUCACCUCGGUCAUAUUGUUGUAGUGCUUAGGCGAAGCCCUGCGAUGGUAGAACAUCAAGAUCGUCACCACGCCGUUGUGCUGACGGAACUCAUCCCCGAAGCUUUGAUGGUAGGAGCCCAGGGAUCGUCAUCGAGCUGUACGUGUGCUAAGAACUCGGAGGUGCCGGAGUAACGGUGCUUGGAUCGGUCGGAUCAGGAAGACGUACGACUACUUCCUCUACGUUGCGUCAACGCUUCCGCUUCGGUCUACGAGGGUACGUAGAUCACACUCUCCCCUCUCGUUGCUAUGCAUCACCAUGAUCUUGCGUGUGCGUAGGAAUUUUUGAAAUUACUACGUUUCCCAACACAAUUGUCGUCACGCUAGAAGUUAGCGAGCAUUACUAAUUUGAGGUGUGGCGGUUUCUAUUCUUAAAUUGGGUAUGCUUAUUAAAGACACAAAGAGACGCAAUGAUCACGUGAAUGGACUUGUCACGAUGCCCAGCUUGAGCGCGACAGAACUGGGGGCUCGAUGGGCCCACUCACCAGUUUCAUCAAUGCGCAAGGUCAGUGGUCCAGCUAUCGUCACGCUAGGAAUUUAGCUAGCGUUACUAAUUCGAAGUGUGACAGUUUUGAUUCUUAAAUUGGAUAUGUUUUUUAAGGACACCAAGAAGCGUGAUGAUCACGUGAAUGUACUUGUCGCGAUGGCCAGCACUAGUGCGAGAGAACAUGGGGCUCGUUGGGCCCACCCGACAGUUUUGUCGAUUCGCAAGGUUAGUGGUCCAGUUGUCGUCACACCAAGAAGUUAGCGAGUGUUACUAAUUUCAGGCAUGGCGGUUUCUAUUCUUAAAUUGGAUAUGUUUAUUAAAGUCACAAAGAACCGCAAUGAUCAUGUGAAUGGACCUGUCGUGAUGCCCAUCUCGAGUGUGGCAGAACAGGGGGCUCGAUGGGCUAACUCGGCAAUUUCAUCAAUGCGCAAGGUCAGUGGUCCAGCUGUCGUCACGCCAAGAAUUUAGCUAGUGUUACUAAUUUGAAGUGUGACGGUUUUGAUUCUUAAAUUGGAUAUGUUUUUUAAAUACAUCAAGAAGCAUGAUGAUCACUUGAAUGUACUUGUCGCAACGGGAAGCAUCAGUGUGAGAGAACAUGGGGCUCGUUGGGCCCACUCGGCAGUUUCGUUGAUUCGCAAGGUCAAUGGUCCAGUUAUCGUCACGCCAAGAAGUUAGCGAGCGUUACUAAUUUGAGGCGUGUUGGUUUCUAUUCUUAAAUUGGAUAUGUUUAUUAAAGACACAAAGAACCACAAUGAUCAUGUGAAAGCACCUGUCAUGAUGUCGAGCUCGAGCGCGGAAGAAUAGGGGGCUCGACGGGCCCACUCGGCAGUUUCAUCAAUGCGCAAGGUCAGUGGUCCAGCUGUCGUCACGUCAAGAAUUUAGCUAGCGUUACUAAUUUAAAGUGUGCUGGUUUUGAUUCUUAAAUUGGAUAUGUUUUUUAAAGACACCAAGAAGCGUGAUGAUCAUGUGAAUGUACUUGUCGCGACGGCCAGCACCAGUGUGAGAGAACAUGAGGCUCGUUGGGCCCACCUGUCGAUUCGCAAGGUCAGUGGUCCAGUUGUCGUCAUGCCAAAAAGUUAGCGAGCAUUACUAAUUUGAGGCGUAGAUAUUUUGAUUCUUAAAUUGGAUAUGUUUUUUAAAGACACCAGGAAGCGCGAUGAUCACGAGAAUGGACUUGUCGCGAUGCGCAACUCGAGCAUGAUAGAACAGCGGGCUCGAUGUGCCCACUCGGGUGUUUCGCUGAUGUGCAAGGUGACUGUUCUAGUUGUCGUCACGCCAAGAAUUUAGCGAGCAUUACUAAUUUGAGGUCUGGCAGUUUUGAUUCUUAAAUUGGAUAUGUUUUUUAGACAUACCAAGAAGCAUGAUGAUCACGUGAAUGUACUUGUCGCGACGGCCUGCUCCAGUGCGAGAGAACAAGGGGAUCGAUGAGCCCACUCGGCAGUUUCACCGAUGCGCAACGUCAGUGGUCCAAUUGUCGCAUGCAAAGAAGUUAGCGAGCGUUACCAAUUUGAGGCGUCGUGGUUUUCAUUCUUAAAUUGGAUACGUUUUUUAAAGACACCAAGAAGCAUGAUGAUCACGUGAAUGGACUUGUCGUGAUGCACAGCUCGAGCACGAGAGAACAGAGGGCUUGAUGGGCCAACUCGGCAAUUUCACCGUUACGCAAGGUCAGUGGUCCAGUUGUCGUCACGCCAAGAAAUUAGCGAGCAUUACUAAUUUGAGGCGUGGCAGUUUUGAUUCUUAAAUUGGAUGUGUUUUUUAAAGAAACCGAGAAAUACGAUGAUCUCUUGAAUGGAGUUGUUGUGACGCCCAGCUCGAGCGCGACAGAAUAGGGGGCUCAAUGGGCCCACUCGGCAGUUUCACCGAUCCGCAAGGUAAGUGGUCAGCUGUCGUCACGCCAAGAAUUUAGCUAGUCUUACUAAUUUGAGGCGGUUUUGAUUCUUAAAUUGGAUGUUUUUUAAAGACGCCAAGAAGCGUGAUGAUCACGUGAAUGGAGUUGUCAUGAUGCCAUGCCCAAGCGCGACAGAACAAGGGGCUCGAUGGGCUCACUCGGCAGUUUCGCCGACGCACAAGGUUAGUGGUCCAGGUGUCAUCACGCGAAGAAGUUAGCGAGAGUUACUAAUUGGAGCCAUAGCGGUUUCGAAUCUUAAAUUGGAUAUGUUUUUAAAGACUCCAAGAAACGCGAUGAUCACAAGAAUGGACUUGUCGCGACGCACAACUCGAGCAUGAGAGAACAAGGGGAUCGAUGGGCCCACUCCGCAGUUUCACCAAUGUGCAUGGUCAGUGGUCCAGCUGUCACACCAAGAAUUUAGCGAGCGUUACCAAUUUGAGGUGUGGCGGUUUUGAUUCUUAAAUUGGAUAUGUUUUUAAAUACAUCAAGAAGCGCGAUGAUCACUGUUGGGGAACAUAGUAAUUUCAAAAAAAUUCCUAUGCACACGCAAGAUCAUGGUGAUACAUAGCAACGAGGGGGAGAGUCUGAUGUACGUACCCUUGUAGAUCGCAAUGGAAGCGUUGACACAACGUAGAGGAAGUAGUCGUACGUCUUCUUCCCGAUCCGACCGAUCCAAACACCGUUACUCCGGCACCUCCGAGUUCUUAGCACACGUUCAGCUCGAUGACGAUCCUUGGGCUCCGAUCCAGCAAAGCGCCGAGGAAGAGUUCCGUCAGCACGACGGCGUGGUGACGAUCUUGAUGUACUACCGACGCAGGGCUUCGCCUAAGCACUACAACGGUAUGAUCGAGGUGGAAUUUGGUGGCAGGGGGCACCGCACACGGCUAAGGAACGAUCUCAAGGAUCAACUUGUCUGUCUAGAGGUGCCCCCUGCCCCCGUAUAUAAAGGUUGCCAGGGGGAGGGCUGGCCGGCCAAGGAGAGGAGGGCGCAGGAGGAGUCCUACUCCUACCGGGAGUAGGACUCCCCCCC